CCACAUUUCAACUUGGUUUGAGAAGCCUGAAAACGCUGCAUCUGCGCGAUGUGCGUGUUACGGGGGAGGAGUUAGGGUGCCUUCUGUCCAGUUCCACUACUUUGGAACACCUGAAGCUUGUAUACUGCGAUGAUAUUGUUCGCCUCGAGAUACCUUGCCUGCUGCUGCGGCUCAGCUUUCUGGAGGUGGCUGGAUGCAUGAAUCUUCAAGUGAUAGAGAACGAAGCUCCAAAUCUCUCCAGAUUUUACCUUGAAGCAGGUGAACUGGUGCAAGUCUCGUUUGGAGAGUCGAAAGUGAAGAAAGUGCAGUUGGUGCAGAGUUGUGCCAUCAGUUAUGCUAUUGACAACCUUCCUUCCCGUGCGCCGAAUCUUGAGACUCUUACCAUAUCUUCUACGUACUUGUGAGGUAUGCUCUUACUCUUAAGAACACGAGCAUAUAGAGUUUAAAGGGAUAAACACGCAUUUAAAGAUACAGCUAGAAGUAUCAGCCUCGCACAAGCACUAGAGAUAAAAUGACUAAACACGAAAUAUGCGUCAUGUUUCGUUACAGGACCAGAUGGAAUAACUUAAAUGCGGAGAACCCUAUCGGUGCGGGGAACGGCCUUCUUCUCAGCGGCAGCAACGUCAGCACCCACUGGCGGCUUCUUGAAGCCGUCGUCAAGAUCGAGCUCUGGGUGGCGAUAGGCGAUGUUGCUCAAGACCAUGAAGAGGGUGUUGCGAGCAAGCCUCCGCGAUUCGGUCGCGAAACGCUCAGCCCUCCCCUCUUCAUGCACCUUCAACUUGUCGAUCAACUCGUCGAAGAAGAUCCCCAGCUUGGCACUUGGGACCUCAUGUUCGCUGGCUAAGUAGACCGGGCCGUCCAUGCCCAUCGUCGCGACUUGGGCUCCAAGGCGUUCUGCAAUAUCGAUCAGGCUCUUGAGCCAAAGGUUGCUCAUGUCGACCUGGUUCUUCAGCCUGUCCUCUGCUUCUUGUCGGAGGCGCUUGGUGUUUUCCAAAUCCUUGGACAGCAACUGUUGCCGUGAUUCAAGGGAUUCCGCCGACUGCUCCAGCGAGCCGAUCCUCGCCCUCAUAUCAGAGAUGUUGCUGUCAGCGGUCUCAGGGCUUUGGGUCUUGGAGGAGAGCUGCGACUGCACAUCAGCCAGGUGAAGCUCUGCUUGCUGUGCCUCUUCUUUGAGUGCCUCCACCUCCUUGGCACUCCCGGCAAGGUCUUCAUCCAGUUUGGCCACCUGCCGGUCGAGCUCGGCCUUGGUGGAAGACGCGGCAUCCAGAUCUUCAACAAGCUUCUUCAGCUGGGCAGCAUGGUCAGUAGCAAGGGUGUCCAGAGCAGGCCCAUGCUUGUCCUUCAAUUCUUUGGUGCGUUGUUGCACCAAGGUCUCCAAACUUUCAUCCUUGGCGCGGAGGGUAGCUGCAAGAUCCUCUUCCCGAAGGGAGAUCUCCCUCUCCCUAGCAUCCAGAGAUGCCUUAUGAUCCGCCAGGCCCCCCUCCCGUCAUCUGAAGGAUCUUUUGCUGCCUCAUGAGCGCCUUGAACUGCUUGUCGUGCCAUUCACGCAACUGCAGGCACUUGUCCUUCAGCUUCUGAUCCGCUUUGCUGACGGAUUCGUGCCGCUCCUUGAGCUCCUGCCACUUCUGGUUGUGUCGAUCAUGCAUUUCUUUCAAGCCCACCGCCAUGGACUCGAUAAAGGACAAAUCCAUGGUGAUGGCAGUUGAAUCGUCGACCUCCCCACCUCCCAGAUGCAGCGGUGCCAGAAGACGCUGAAGCUCUUCAUCAAGCUCUCCGUCUGUCAAGAACGGGCCGGGGGCUCCGAUAUCAGGCAACAAUGGCACCACGACCAACGUGUUCGAGGAAGACGGCGGGGCAUCGGCAGCGCCCCCGGAAGAGGGGAGUGGACCCAUGGUUUGAAGAGGAAUCUUCGCCUCGAUAACCAAUUCCUCUACCGGGGCGCUUUCUAGAGAAUGCUCCACCACUGCCAAGGAACCUUGUGUUCCCCUGGCAGCGAGAUCCUGCCCCUUAGUACCGUGACCUUCGUGGCUUCAUCUGUGGUGGACCUCCCUAUGUCCGCCACCCCUCCAACAAGUCUGGUUCUUCAGCCUGGGGGGCUGUAGAUGGAAGGGGCCAGUGAAAAAACGAAGGAAUGGAAGUCUCAAAAAGCGAAUAAAGAAGCCAGUGGAGGCAUCCAGAAUAUGAAAGAGAAGAGGGGUUAAGCUAGAUACUUAAGGAAGUCUGUCGGGCAGGCAUCUCUGUUUCCCCGGCAACGGUCGUUGCCGGGUCACGAGCUUCAUCCUCUGCCGAGGUAGACUCGGCAGCCUUCUGCGCUGUCUCUGCCAUGGAGGAUUCCAUGAUGACAUCUUCGGCUUGAGCGGCAGGGCACACGUGCUCCUCCAGGCACUACAAAAAAAAGACACAUCCGUGACAUUUUGGGCCGAACGAAUUUUUUUUCUGUCAUACAUAUGACACUUCUAUGACGAUAAUUGUGACAAAACCCGGUAUCAUCAUAGAUGUGGUGGGCUCCUACUUCUAUGACAAAAAAUGGGCUUUUCGUCCUGGGCGGGCCGGAGACGCAGCUACAUGACAUUCUUUGGGCCGUCCAUGACGGAAAAAACCGUGGUAGAAGCGAGGGGGAGGAAAAUUUCGGGGAGUUCCCGGUUAUGGUGGGAGGUCGGGGGCCGAGCGAUGCACGUUUCUCUCGUACACGUACGCGCGUGUGUGCGAGGCGUUCGCUCUAACUGAACCCAAGCGAGGCGUUGGGCUCUAACUGAACCCGGGCGAUUGCACUGCAGGCUACGCAUUACUGAACCCGAGCGAUAGAUCGAUGGCUGUUAAUUGAACCCGAUCGAGCGAUUCCUUCGCUACUGCUGCUAACUGAAGCCGAUCGAUUGGAUGAACAGUGAGCGUUGCGGGGGGGGGUGGAUGAACAGUGAGCGGUGGCGUUGCCUCUGGAUGAACAGGACCCCGUGGUGUGGAGGGCUGGAUGAAUAGUAGACGGUGGAGGGGUNNNNNNNNNNNNNNNNNNNNNNNNNNNNNNNNNNNNNNNNNNNNNNNNNNNNNNNNNNNNNNNNNNNNNNNNNNNNNNNNNNNNNNNNNNNNNNNNNNNNNNNNNNNNNNNNNNNNNNNNNNNNNNNNNNNNNNNNNNNNNNNNNNNNNNNNNNNNNNNNNNNNNNNNNNNNNNNNNNNNNNNNNNNNNNNNNNNNNNNNNNNNNNNNNNNNNNNNNNNNNNNNNNNNNNNNNNNNNNNNNNNNNNNNNNNNNNNNNNNNNNNNNNNNNNNNNNNNNNNNNNNNNNNNNNNNNNNNNNNNNNNNNNNNNNNNNNNNNNNNNNNNNNNNNNNNNNNNNNNNNNNNNNNNNNNNNNNNNNNNNNNNNNNNNNNNNNNNNNNNNNNNNNNNNNNNNNNNNNNNNNNNNNNNNNNNNNNNNNNNNNNNNNNNNNNNNNNNNNNNNNNNNNNNNNNUUCGACCGUAGGAGGUCCGUUUCGUCCGUUUUGUGAUACGCCACACCCCUCCCGAUCGACAGGACCCCCGUUUCGACCGUAGGAGGUUCGUUUCCUCCGUUUUGCGGUACGCCACACCCCUCCCAAUCAACAGGACCCCGUUCCGAACGUAGGAGGUCCGUUUCCUCCGUUUUGCGGUAUGCCAGGCCUCGUUUCCAUCGCCUGUUCUGUCCAAGCCCUCUCGAUGAACACGACCACGCAUUCCGUUCCACCCCAGCCGGUUGGCUCCCACGCGUUCCGUUGCCUCCCGAUGAACACGACGCAUUCCGUUGCCUCCCCAUGAACACGACGCAUUCCGUUGCCUCCCCAUGAACACGACGCAUUCCGUUGCCUCCCCAUGAACACAACGACGAUGCUAUUUCUCCGUUCCGAUCCAGCCAUGUACACGAGCCCUGGCCGUACGUAUGCGCGAGUAGGCGUUCGAGACCCCGCCCGUAUGUACACAUACGUGGCCGUAUUUUCUUUCUUGCACCCUGGCCGUUGUACGUAUGUGUACAUGCUACGUGUGCGCCUCUACUACGACACGUGCGCGCCUCUACAUCCACCCGUAUAUAUGUACGUACACGUUCGCGACCAGAAUGACAACGCUACGUACGCUUCGACCAGGUGGGUACCGACUGUCAGGCACUUCCUUGCGUGCGAAGAUGUAGCUGGUGGGUCCCAGCAGUCAGGGGGGAAACGUUUUUUUGCGAAAUACGGUGGCCCGUCCGGUGGGUCCCCGCUGUCAGGAGGAGGAAUAAUUAUUUUGCACGUAAUAAGGAGGCACUUCCUUGUUGCAGCCAUGGACCCAACUGUCAGCCUCUCCACGUACAGUCCACGUCCGAUGGAAGCCGUUCCUUGACCACGUUGACCACGCCGCACCGAGAGCACCAGGGCGGUGGACGACGGUGAGGCCUAGGAAGGGGACGAAGCGGCAGUGGAUGCCCACGCAUAGAGGAGUACGAGGGUUCAUUGGUUCGCUGCGGUGUGAGGCUGCCGUCGCCGCAGAAUAACAGGGGGUGUGGGUGAGUAGAGGGAUGGCCCGGCCAGCGGUGGGAGUAGUAGGGGUAGUGAUGUAGCGACCAGACCUCAAAUGACCUGUGCUGCUGUGCACCAGUGUCAUCCCUGGAUCAGUAAUGCUGACACGCACAGUACAAAUGGAGGAUUUAUAACAGAGUAGCAAUCACACACUUAUUACAUCGAAUAUCUCCAAAGAGAUUAAGUAUGAUAAACAUGGCUUAAGGCCAUCUAAUAACGAUAACAGCGGAAGACUUGGAAGAUAAGUGAGUCCAUCAACUCCAGCGGCAUCACUGAGUAUAAGACCACGACCUAAGGCACCUUACUCGUCGUCUGAAAAGUCUGCAACAUGAAACGUUGCAGCCCGAAAAUGGGUCAGCACAUAGAAUAUGCUGGCAAAGUAACACAUAGAGAGCAAUGAACAAUAAUAAUGCUAUACUACAUGCAUUUAUGGCUGGUGGAAAGCUCUAUGGUUACAGUUUUGCGAAAAGCCAAUUUUAUCCUACUGCAAAGGAAUAGAUUUUAUUUAACUAUCAUGGUGGUUGAAACAUUGAGAAGGUACCUCCAACUCAAUCCCAAUUAAGUGUCAUCAUUAACCCAACCAAAUUAAUUAUAAGUAUCACGGUGAUGAGAUUCAAAUGAUAAUCCAAGUACUAGAUACUCAAGUUGUCCAUAACCGGGGACACAGCUAAUCAUGAUCAGUUUGUACACUCUGCAGAGGUUUGUGCACUUUUCCCCACAAGACUCGAUCGCCUCCGCUUGAUUCUCGCACUGCAUGAUGUUUGAGAAAUGGAUGACCGAGACACAGUCUUUCAGAAACGAUCACUCUUUACUCUGGAUGGACCGGUACACCUACUUUCCCCUACAUCUGCUAGUCCACCUCUUCAAGAGAUCCUGUAACCUACUCAGCUAUGCUAGAGCCCAUAAUAGCUUGCGGCUGCACACGGAAGUUUCUAGCAUGAAUAAUCUUAUGAUCCCUUUGAGCCUGGGUGGCGGACCUUAUAAAAUCAGACAACACUGGGUUCUCCAGGUGCCUCAAUCCACCCAGAUGUGAGUUUUAGUUGCCACCUUAAGUUGAACCAUUAUUAACAAUCUCACAUCUGUCAUGAAUAUCACUCAAACCCAAUCCACGUCUACGAGCAUAGCAUGGCAAUAAUAAAAGCAACGUAGAAGUAACUCCCAAGGGUUUGAUAAUAAAACAGGUAAUAGGUACUACCUCAACUACUUCCCAGUACCCACAAUUUAAUCAGAUCCUAAUCAUGCAAUGUUUGAGGAAUAGAUCUAAUGCAAUAAAAACUGGGUAUGAACGGGGUAUGAUCAAAGUGUUACUUGCCUUGCUGAUGAUCCGCAAAACCUAGCGAUUCGAAGUAACAAGCGGCACACUCCGGGUACUCUAUCGCAAACAAACAAGCAUACAAUCAGUACUCAUCUAAUGCACAGGUAAAACUCGAAUGAAAGAUCCAACCAGAAAGUUCAACUUAAGAACUCCGGUUUGCAAAAAAAAUCAACUCGAAAGAAGCAACGAAAGUCAAACGGCGAAAGGAAGAAACUUCGUUUGCUAAUCUGAAUCUAGGUCAAAUUUUACUGUAGCAAAAACUUGUUUGAGUAGAUUAAUCAGAAAGAGAAUUUCGAGACGAAACUCUAGGCGCUUGAAUCGCCUGAUUCCGAUAAACGAGCGAGAAGUUAAACAGAUUCGAAAAUUCGAUCAGAAAUCGAAUCUGAGAAAAUAACGAGAAAAUCCGACGAAAAAGAAAAAACGGACGAACGGUUAAAUAACGGACGUUCAUUAACAGAGAAAAACCGAUGAACGCGUUCGUUAAAACAAACGGUUCGGUGAACGCUCGUAGAAUAAGAAAACCGAAAAAAACCGAUCUAGGGUUUUUUUUAAACAAAAGGUUUUUUUUCAGAAAACCGGUCAACACGAAAUGGCCGGCGGCAGUACCUCGUGGCGGGGNNNNNNNNNNNNNNNNNNNNNNNNNNNNNNNNNNNNNNNNNNNNNNNNNNNNNNNNNNNNNNNNNNNNNNNNNNNNNNNNNNNNNNNNNNNNNNNNNNNNNNNNNNNNNNNNNNNNNNNNNNNNNNNNNNNNNNNNNNNNNNNNGGAGGGGGGGCUAUAUAUAGAAGGGGGGGUGCGGGCGGCUUGGGGAAGGGGCAUCCGAGGCGGCGGCGGCGUCGUGGCGCUCCCGGACUCCGGCGGCGUCGUGGGGAGGAAGGAGAGGUCGCGGGUGACGGGCCGUCGGCUUGGGCUCGGCCCAGCCGGCGCGGGCGCGUUUUUUUUUAAAGUUCCGCGGAAAAUAUUGCGUAGAAACAUAAAUAAAAAUCAGAAAAAUACGAAAUAAAUUUUCCCCGUCUAGUUAGAAAAUCUAGACUAGGGUGAACAUUUUUAAAAUAAAAAAAUAAAUACUUUCAAAACAUGCAUAUUUUUAAAUGCAAUAAAAAUUGCAAAUAAAAUCCAAUAAAUUCCAAAUAAUGAUUUUAACAUUUUUCGUCCGGUAUUUCAAAUGUUUUGGAGAAGUCAUAUUUUCUCCUCUCGUUUAUUUAUAAAUUGAAAUAUUUUUCCGGAGAGAAAAUAAUUAAAACCACAAUCCUCGUUUGAAAAUCAAAUUUGAAAAUUCGAGAAAAUCCCCAACUCUCUCCGAGGGUCCUUGAGUUGCGUAGGAUUUAUCGAGGAUUUGUCAAAAUGCAAUAAAACAUGAUAUGCAAUGAUGAUCUAUGUAUAACAUACCAAAUUGAAAAUUUGGGAUGUUACAAACCUACCCGCCUUAAGAUGAAUCUCGCCCUCGAGAUUCAGGUUGGCUAGAAAACAGGUGGGAGUGGUUUUUCCGUAGAUCUUCCUCUCGCUCCCAGGUGGCUUCAUCUUCUGUGUGGUGGCUCCACUAGACUUUGCAAAACUUGAUAACCUUGCUGCGGGUAACUCGGCUGGCAUACUCGAGAAUCUUAACUGGUUUCUCCUCAUAGGUCAAAUCACUUUCCAACUGAAUCGCUUCUAGUGGCACAGUAUCUCUUAGUGGUAUCUCAGCCAUCUCUGCGUGGCACUUCUUCAAUUGCGAAACGUGAAAUACAUCAUGUACUUCAGACAAUCCUUCGGGCAAUUCCAACUUGUAGGCAACUUCUCCCAUACGUUCCAAUACUCUGUAUGGUCCGAUAAAACGGGGCGCUAACUUUCCCUUAACUCCAAUGCGCUUCACUCCUCGAAGGGGUGAUACUCGAAGAUAUACUCGGUCUCCGACUUCGUGAACUGUCUCCUUUCGUUUAGAAUCCGCAUAACUCUUCUGUCUGGACUGGGCUACUUUGAGUCUAUCGCGAAUCAACCUUACUUUCUGUUCAGACUCCUUAAUCAAAUCUGGUCCAAACAAUUGACGGUCUCCAACUUCGUCCCAUAACAACGGUGUUCUACACCUCCUUCCGUAUAAAGCUUCGAAAGGGGCCAUCUUCAAACUGGUUUGAUAACUGUUGUUAUACGAAAACUCCGCAUAUGGCAAAUUGUCGUCCCAACUAGAUCCAUAAUCUAGUGCGCAAGCUCUCAACAUGUCCUCCAAAAUCUGGUUGACUCUCUCGGUCUGUCCAUCUGUCUGCGGGUGAAAUGCUGUACUAAAUUCCAGCCUGGUUCCCAAUGUUUCAUGUAGCUGCUUCCAAAACUUCGAGGUAAAUUGGGUUCCUCUGUCUGAUACAAUGGUCCUCGGAACUCCAUGCAAACAUACUAUCCUGGUCAUGUAUAUCUUAGCCAACUUAGCACUGGUGUAAGUGGUCUUUACUGGAAUGAAAUGAACCACUUUCGUCAAUCGAUCAACUACAACCCAUAUUGAGAAAUAGCCUGAACGAGUCCGGGGUAAUCCUGUGAUAAAAUCCAUGCCUAUUUUAUCCCACUUCCAUUCGGGUAUCGGCAAUGGUUGUAGCAAUCCUGCUGGCUUCUGAUGCUCUGCCUUCACUCUCUGACAUACAUCACAAACUGCUACAUACUCCGCAAUAUCCUUCUUCAUUCCGGUCCACCAGAAAGUAUUUUUCAAAUCCAAAUACAUCUUGGUAUUCCCUGGGUGAAUCAAGUACGGUGAAUCAUGGGCUUCUUGCAAAAUCAACUUCCUGAUCUCCGGAUCAUUUGGCACAUAUACACGGUCCUCAAACCAUAAGGUAUCGUGCUCAUCCUCAUGAAAUCCCUUGGCUUUUCCUUUGCUCAUCUUCUCCUUUAUCUCUGCAAUCUCCUUGUCUGUCUUCUGAGCUUCUCUGAUCCUUUCCAUCAAGGUAGACUGAACCUCCAACGUCGCUAAAUAGCCUCUAGGGACUAUCUCCAAACAUAGCUCGCGUAGGUCCUCGGCUAACUCCUGGGGUAACUCUCCUGUCAUGAGGGUGUUGACAUGACUCUUGCGGCUCAACGCGUCUGCUACUACGUUAGCCUUUCCAGGGUGAUAAUGCAAUCUCAUAUUAUAAUCUUUAAUGAGCUCCAACCAUCUCCUUUGUCUGAGGUUUAACUCCUUCUGCGUGAAAAUGUACUUCAAACUCUUGUGAUCCGUGUACACCUCACAAUGGUUUUCGAUGAGAAAAUGUCUCCAUGUCUUCAAUGCAUGCACCACGGCUGCUAAUUCCAAAUCAUGCGUAGCAUAAUUCUUCUCAUGGGGUUUAAGUUGUCGUGAAGCAUACGAAACAACUCUUCCUUCCUGCAUAAGCACUGCUCCAAGUCCUCGACGAGAAGCGUCGCAAUAAACUUCAUAGUCCUUGCGUUGAUCUGGCAGAAUCAACACUGGUGAUGUAACCAAUCGUUUCUUCAACUCUUGGAAACUAGCUUCACAUUCCUCAGUCCAAUUGAAUUUGGUGUCCUUCUUCAAUAGCUCAGUCAUGGGCUUAGCAAUCUUUGAGAAAUUCUCGAUGAAUCUCCGGUAGUAUCCUGCAAGUCCAAGAAAACUCCGGAUUUCUCCAACUGUCGUGGGUGAUUCCCAACUUGUCACUGUGUCAACCUUGGCAGGGUCUACUGCUAUUCCUUCUCCAGAAAUAACAUGUCCAAGGAAUCCAACUUCCUUCAACCAAAACUCACAUUUGCUGAACUUGGCAUAUAACUGAUGUUCUCUGAGCUUCUCAAGUACCAAUCGCAAAUGCUCCUCAUGCUCUUCCUCAUCCUUGGAAAAGACUAUAAUAUCAUCAAUGAACACCACGACGAACUUAUCCAAAAACUCCAUAAAUACUUUGUUCAUCAGGUUCAUGAAAUAGGCCGGUGCGUUGGUCAGUCCAAAUGACAUAACGGUAUACUCAUACAACCCAUAUCUGGUGGUAAAUGCCGUCUUGGGUAUAUCCUGCUCUCGAAUCUUUAACUGAUGGUAUCCUGAUCGUAGAUCGAUCUUGGAAAAUACUUUAGCUCCUUGCAGGCGGUCAAACAAAUCAUUGAUCAUCGGCAGUGGGUACUUGUUUUUGAUGGUCACUUCAUUCAAUCCUCGGUAAUCAACAACCAUCCUCAGCGAUCCAUCUUUCUUCUCCACUAGAAGUACUGGUGAUCCCCAAGGUGACGAACUUGGGCGAAUAUAGCCUUUAUCCAGCAACUCCUUGAUCUGCUUCUUAAUUUCCUCCAAAUCCUUUGCGGGCAUCCUGUACGGUCUCUUAGAUAUUGGCCCUGUGCCUGGCAAAAGUUCAAUCAAGAACUCAAUGUCUCUAUCCGGUGGCAUGCCUGGCAACUCUUCUGGAAAUACAUCCGGAUAAUCCUUCACCACUGGUACUUCCUCCUGUACAACUCCUGAUAAGGAAUUCACUUGAGUCCUCUUCGUCAUAUGCCGGGAUACAUACUUGAUCCUUUUUCCUUCUGGGGUGGUAAGCAAAAUCGUCUUGCUGGCACAAUCGAUGUUUCCUCCAUACAACGAUAGCCAAUCCAUUCCCAGAAUCACAUCCAAACCUUGCGAUUCCAAAACAAUGAGGUCUGAGGGGAAAACAUGCCUACCAAUGGCCAAUGGUAUCUGAAAACAUCCUUGAGUGGCCAUAUACUCUGCUCCUGGCGAGGUUACUAACAUAGGGGUUUUGAGAACUUGGGUGGACAUCUUAAACUUAUUCACGAAUCCCCUUGAUAUGUAUGAAUGCGAUGCACCAGUAUCGAAAAGAACAGUUGCAGUAAAUGACUUAACCAAAAACUUACCUAUUACUGCAUCAGGCUGAGCUUCAACCUCCUCCACGCUCACGUGGUUCACAUGUCCUUUGUUGAACGGGUUCGGCUUCUUCCUAGAGCUUCCAUUGCCAUUUCCAUUUUGGGCUUCGGGACAAUCAGUAGCGUAAUGUCCCGUCUUCUGGCACUUGAAACAAGUAAUGUGACUUAGAUCUCUCUUGGUUGGGGUAGAUGGGUUGGUGCGGUUCUGUCUGUUUCCUCCUCCAUUCCCAUUACCAUUCUUGGAGCCAUUAUGGUUGUGCGAACUACCUCCUCCAUGGGUAUGCUGAAACUGUCCUCCCGGCUUCGGGGUAAAUCGUGGCUUCUGCUGGGCUCCAGAAUUGUACUUCCCUUGUCCAUACUUCCUCUUGCGGUUUUCAAUCUGCUGUUGCUUCCCUUCAAUCAUGAGAGCUCUAUCUACCAGCUCCUGGUAGUUGUUGAAAGUUGCUACCAUCAACUGCAUACUCAGCUCAUCAUUCAAUCCUUCCAGAAAUUUCUUCUGCUUGGCAGCAUCCGUAGCAACGUCAUCUGGUGCAUAACGUGCUAGCAUACUGAAAUCCUCCACAUACUGGCCUACGGUGCGUCCUCCUUGGCGUAGGUUACGAAACUCACGCUUCUUCAUAGCCAUAGCUCCUGCUGAAACAUGAGCUGUACGGAAAGCUUGCUGAAACUGGUCCCAUGUGACAGUGUCAAUAGGAUGCGUGGCUGUGUAAUUCUCCCACCAUGAUGCUGCGGGUCCAUCAAGCUGAUGUGCGGCAAAACGCACUCUUUCCGCAUCUGUGCAUCCUGCAGUGGUCAACUCCCUUCCAACUUUGCGGAGCCAAUCAUCUGCAACAAUCGGCUCGGUGCUGCUGGAAAACACCGGCGGGUUUAACCUUAAGAAACGGGCUAGGUGGUCAACAGGUGGUGCUGGCGGUGGGUUGUUGUUGUUGUUGCCUUGGUUCUGAACUAACACUUGCAUCAGGGCAUUCUGUUGCUGAAUCAACUGGGUGAUCUCUGGCGGAAAAGCAAAUCCGGUGUCGCGUCUCGGAGGCAUCUGAUAGGUUUAGAAAAGAUGAGAGUUGAGAAAAGAAUGAGGUCUAGAGAGAAAACACUACCCAUAUGCUCAUGAGACAAUUUCAAUCAAUAUCACUCAAUCAAUCCAAACAAGGCAAAACAAUCGAUCUAACUAGCGUUACAAAGUGCUUGAACUAUACUACUAAAUGGGGAAACUACUACUGAUAUGGUGGUCUACUAAAAAUUCUGAUCCGUCGAAGACUCCAUGAUGUCUGCUCCAGCUUCAUCAAUCCAUUCAUCUUCACUUGGUUCCGAGUCGGUGUCGUCGAUGAUGAUGUAGUUAUCCGGACAAGUGCAUUUGUCGUCUUCUGCUUUUGGCACUGGAUUUCCCAUGAAUGCUCCAAUCUUAUUCUCCAGGUCGUCAAUCUUCCCGACUAGUGCGUUGAUUUCCUCCAAAUAAUCUUCGCGUGUAACCUUAAGUUCGUCUUGGAGUUCCUUGAUCUUCGUUAAUGCCUUCUUCAGUUCUUCCUUGUCCGUGCACAUCUGGUUCUCCUGGCGACGAAUAUGUUGGUUCUGCUCCUAGAUGAAAGCUGCAAUUGAUCCAUCCUUCUUGGUCUUGAUCAUCUCCCAUUGCGCGUCUCGACGUCCACAAAUUUGGUAAAUUGUAUCCUUAAGCUCCUGGUGGUAGACUUCUCCAAUACGUCCCAUGGCGAUGUGUGCGGCCAUGCUCUUCCCUAAACUCCAAGUUGGUGCUUCGAAAACCAAUCUCAUGGCACUAAACAUCCUCCCGGGAAUGAUAACUUGAAUCUUCCAGCUCUCCUCUUCAGGUAAUGUGGCGUUGUAGGUUCCGGUGACGCUUGGUAUUCCUAUGUUCAAGUACUUGGUGACUUCCUUCAAAUGUCGUCCAAACGGUGUGUCUUCAUCUGGUUGCAUGAACUUUCUCCUUGCAUUCGCCAUUCCUAAAAGAGUAGAAAGUGGAGAGGAGUCAGAAUUGAGAAGAGAGAAGCUUUCUAGGGCUUAAGCUUAGUGGUCGUGUCCUAUAGUCAGCGUGUGCUCUGAUACCAACUUUGUAGCGACCAGACCUCAAAUGGCCUAUGCUGCUGUGCACCAGUGUCAUCCCUGGAUCAGUAAUGCUGACACGCACAGUACAAAUGGAGGAUUUAUAACAGAGUAGCAAUCACACACUUAUUACAUCGAAUAUCUCCAAAGAGAUUAAGUAUGAUAAACAUGGCUUAAGGCCAUCUAAUAACGAUAACAGCGGAAGACUUGGAAGAUAAGUGAGUCCAUCAACUCCAGCGGCAUCACUGAGUAUAAGACCACGACCUAAGGCACCUUACUCGUCGUCUGAAAAGUCUGCAACAUGAAAUGUUGCAGCCCGAAAACGGGUCAGCACAUAGAAUAUGCUGGCAAAGUAACACAUAGAGAGCAAUGAACAAUAAUAAUGCUAUACUACAUGCAUUUAUGGCUGGUGGAAAGCUCUAUGGUUACAGUUUUGCGAAAAGCCAAUUUUAUCCUACUGCAAAGGAAUAGAUUUUAUUUAACUAUCAUGGUGGUUGAAAAAUUGAGAAGGUACCUCCAACUCAAUCCCAAUUAAGUGUCAUCAUUAACCCAACCAAAUUAAUUAUAAGUAUCACGGUGAUGAGAUUCAAAUGAUAAUCCAAGUACUAGAUACUCAAGUUGUCCAUAACCGGGGACACAGCUAAUCAUGAUCAGUUUGUACACUCUGCAGAGGUUUGUGCACUUUUCCCCACAAGACUCGAUCGCCUCCGCUUGAUUCUCGCACUGCAUGAUGUUUGAGAAAUGGAUGACCGAGACACAGUCUUUCAGAAACGAUCACUCUUUACUCUGGAUGGACCGGUACACCUACUUUCCCCUACAUCUGCUAGUCCACCUCUUCAAGAGAUCCUGUAACCUACUCAGCUAUGCUAGAGCCCAUAAUAGCUUGCGGCUGCACACGGAAGUUUCUAGCAUGAAUAAUCUUAUGAUCCCUUUGAGCCUGGGUGGCGGACCUUAUAAAAUCAGACAACACUGGGUUCUCCAGGUGCCUCAAUCCACCCAGAUGUGAGUUUUAGUUGCCACCUUAAGUUGAACCAUUAUUAACAAUCUCACAUCUGUCAUGAAUAUCACUCAAACCCAAUCCACGUCUACGAGCAUAGCAUGGCAAUAAUAAAAGCAACGUAGAAGUAACUCCCAAGGGUUUGAUAAUAAAACAGGUAAUAGGUACUACCUCAACUACUUCCCAGUACCCACAAUUUAAUCAGAUCCUAAUCAUGCAAUGUUUGAGGAAUAGAUCUAAUGCAAUAAAAACUGGGUAUGAACGGGGUAUGAUCAAAGUGUUACUUGCCUUGCUGAUGAUCCGCAAAACCUAGCGAUUCGAAGUAACAAGCGGCACACUCCGGGUACUCUAUCGCAAACAAACAAGCAUACAAUCAGUACUCAUCUAAUGCACAGGUAAAACUCGAAUGAAAGAUCCAACCAGAAAGUUCAACUUAAGAACUCCGGUUUGCAAAAAAAAUCAACUCGAAAGAAGCAACGAAAGUCAAACGGCGAAAGGAAGAAACUUCGUUUGCUAAUCUGAAUCUAGGUCAAAUUUUACUGUAGCAAAAACUUGUUUGAGUAGAUUAAUCGGAAAGAGAAUUUCGAGACGAAACUCUAGGCGCUUGAAUCGCCUGAUUCCGAUAAACGAGCGAGAAGUUAAACAGAUUCGAAAAUUCGAUCAGAAAUCGAAUCUGAGAAAAUAACGAGAAAAUCCGACGAAAAAGAAAAAACGGACGAACGGUUAAAUAACGGACGUUCGUUAACAGAGAAAAACCGAUGAACGCGUUCGUUAAAACAAACAGUUCGGUGAACGCUCGUAGAAUAAGAAAACCGAAAAAAACCGAUCUAGGGUUUUUUUUAAACAAAAGGUUUUUUUUCAGAAAACCGGUCAACACGAAAUGGCCGGCGGCGGUACCUCGUGGCGGGGCUCGGCGGCGAGGGGUGCGGGGCUCGGGGCGGCGGCUCNNNNNNNNNNNNNNNNNNNNNNNNNNNNNNNNNNNNNNNNNNNNNNNNNNNNNNNNNNNNNNNNNNNNNNNNNNNNNNNNNNNNNNNNNNNNNNNNNNNNNNNNNNNNNNNNNNNNNNNNNNNNNNNNNNNNNNNNNNNNNNNNNNNNNNNNNNNNNNNNNNNNNNNNNNNNNNNNNNNNNNNNNNNNNNNNNNNNNNNNNNNNNNNNNNNNNNNNNNNNNNNNNNNNNNNNNNNNNNNNNNNNNNNNNNNNNNNNNNNNNNNNNNNNNNNNNNNNNNNNNNNNNNNNNNNNNNNNNNNNNNNNNNNNNNNNNNNNNNNNNNNNNNNNNNNNNNNNNNNNNNNNNNNNNNNNNNNNNNNNNNNNNNNNNNNNNNNNNNNNNNNNNNNNNNNNNNNNNNNNNNNNNNNNNNNNNNNNNNNNNNNNNNNNNNNNNNNNNNNNNNNNNNNNNNNNNNNNNNNNNNNNNNNNNNNNNNNNNNNNNNNNNNNNNNNNNNNNNNNNNNNNNNNNNNNNNNNNNNNNNNNNNNNNNNNNNNNNNNNNNNNNNNNNNNNNNNNNNNNNNNNNNNNNNNNNNNNNNNNNNNNNNNNNNNNNNNNNNNNNNNNNNNNNNNNNNNNNNNNNNNNNNNNNNNNNNNNNNNNNNNNNNNNNNNNNNNNNNNNNNNNNNNNNNNNNNNNNNNNNNNNNNNNNNNNNNNNNNNNNNNNNNNNNNNNNNNNNNNNNNNNNNNNNNNNNNNNNNNNNNNNNNNNNNNNNNNNNNNNNNNNNNNNNNNNNNNNNNNNNNNNNNNNNNNNNNNNNNNNNNNGCGGCGGCGGGGCUAGAAGCGGCGGCGGCGUGCUCCUCCGGCGGCGGUGAUGACGAAAACGGAGGGGGGGCUAUAUAUAGAAGGGGGGUGCGGGCGGCUUGGGGAAGGGGCAUCCGAGGCGGCGGCGGCGUCGUGGCGCUCCCGGACUCCGGCGGCGUCGUGGCGCUCCCGGACUCCGGCGGCGUCGUGGGGAGGAAGGAGAGGUCGCGGGUGACGGGCCGUCGGCUUGGGCUCGGCCCAGCCGGCACGGGCGCGUUUUUUUUAUAUAAAAAAGUUCCGCGGAAAAUAUUGCGUAGAAAAAUAAAUAAAAAUCAGAAAAAUACGAAAUAAAUUUUCCCCGUCUAGUUUGAAAAUCUAGACUAGGGUGAACAUUUGUAAAAUCAAAAAUAAAUAUUUUGAGAACAUGCAUAUUUUUAAAUGCAAUAAAAAUUGCAAAUAAAUUCCAAUAAAUUCCAAAUAAUGAUUUUAACAUUUUUCCUCCGGUAUUUCAAAUUUUUUGGAGAAGUCAUAUUUUCUCCUCUCGUUUAUUUAUAAAUUGAAAUAUUUUCCGGAGAGAAAAUAAUUAAAACCACAAUCCUCGUUUGAAAAUCAAAUUUGAAAAUUCGAGAAAAUCCCCAACUCUCUCCGAGGGUCCUUGAGUUGCGUAGGAUUUAUCGAGGAUUUGUCAAAAUGCAAUAAAACAUGAUAUGCAAUGAUGAUCUAUGUAUAACAUACCAAAUUGAAAAUUUGGGAUGUUACAGGUGAGGCCUCCGCCGCAUCGCAGCCGGCCACGGGAGGCAGGAGCACGAGGCACGGCCGGCGCUGGUUUGGGCGGCUGGAGCAAGAAGACCAGAGGUUGAAGAAGCACUACAGCCGUUGGAUGGACAUCGUACGGUCACUGGAGCUAGAAUCGUGCAUAUUGACUAAGUUGACAAAGCCCUACGUCCCCGUCAACUUAGUAGGCACACAAGUCAGCCUGCCACUAUACUGGGUCCCAGCUAACAGGGGGAGUAUUCAUUUUUUUGUGCGUAAUAAGGAGGCACUUCCUUGCGUGCGAAGAUAUAGCUGGUGGGCCCGAGCUGUCAGCGGCGGUAACGUUUUUUUCGCGAAAUACAAUGGCCCUUUCGGUGGGUCCCUAAUGUCAGGUGGAGGAAUCAUUAUUUUGCGCGUAAUAAGGAGGCAUUUCCUUACGUGCGGCCGUGGACCCAACUGUCGGCCUCUCCACGUACAGUCCAGUUCAGAUGCAUGUCGGUCGUUGACCACGUUGACCAGGCCACGCCGAGAGCACCAGGGCGGUGGAUGACGGCGAGGCCUAGGAAGGGAACGACACGGAGGCAGGGAAGACUCGGCAGUUGUUUCCCACGCGGAGGGGAGUACGACUGUACGAGGGAUUACUGGUUCGUCUGCCGUCGCCGGAGAAUAACAGCAGGUGUGGGUGAGUAGAGGGCUGGCUAGGCCAGCGAUGGGAGUACGGUGGGGCGGUGAGGCCUGUGCGGCAGCAGAGCCGGCCGCGGGGAGGAGGGAGCAGGCAGUCCCGCCGGCACUUGUUUGAGCGGCUGGAGCAGGAAGAGCAGAGAUUGAAGAAGCACGACAACCAUUGGAUGGCCAUCCAACAGUCACUGCUUGUGCGUCAACCUUUUUUUUAGGAAAGCCUCAAAUCUGUGGAAAACAGCAUACAGCCCAUCUGCCAUUAUUUCUAAUAAUUUACAGCCCAUUUGCUAAUUAUUAAGGUUUUUUGGAGCCCAUAUUCUUUUUGUUAGCAUUACAGCCCAUAUUGUGGCCACGGUUAAAAAAUUAUACGAAAUUUUGCAUAUUUCGGUGCGGUCCGAACUGUUUUUAAUCCCGAAAUUUCGACUCACAUUCAAACUGACUUUAAAAAUAAAUGUAUAUCAAUAUAAAAUCCAAAAAAUUCUCCACGCAUAAAAAUUAAUGUAAUUUAAAAUCUUGAAAUGAAAAAAAAGAUAUUUGAAACUAAUUACCGGUUUGAUGUGUUUUAAAAAUGUACAGCCCAUUUCUCAUUACUGAUGGGCCAUUUUCUCGGCUAGCCGAAUGAAAGCUCUCCUCGUCUUGGAAGAUUUGCAGCCCAACAGGCCUGACAAAGCGACUUACUUGGCAAAUCACAAAAAAACUGGGCUGUGGCCGUGGACCCAGCUAUCAGCCUCUCCAUGUACAGUACUCUUCCGAUGGAAUGUCGUUGACCACGCCGCGCCGAGAGCACCAAGGCGGUAGACGACGGCAAGGCCUAGGAAGGGGACGACGCGGAGCCGGGGAAGACGCGGUAGUGGAUGCCCACGCGGAGAGGAGUACGAGGGUUCACUGGUUCGGCUGCAGUGUGAGGCUGCCGUCGCCGCAGGGCCUGGCUAGCAUGGGAGUAGUAGGGGGCGAUGAGGCCUCAACGGCAGCACAGCCGGCCACUGGAGGCAGGAGCAGGCGGUCUCCCCGGCGCUAGUUUGGGCGGCUGGUGCAAGAAGAGCAGCGAUUGAAGAAGGAGCAGGACCAUUCGAUUCAAAUCCAACGGUUACUUUUGCUAGAAUCGUUUGUUGACUAAGUUGACAAGCCCUGCGUACGCAUCAACUUAGUAGGCCCACAGGUCAGCCUCCCAACCGGUGCGCCCCAGAUGUCAGUGGGAGGAAUCAUUUUUUCGCGUAAUAAGGAGGCAGUUGAUUGCGUGCGGCCAGGCCAGCGGAGGGAGUAGGGUGGUGUGACACCCAAAAUUUUAUUUGGCUUUUUCAAAAAAAAUUACUAGAAUUGAGGGGGGUUAUUUUAAAAAAAAAAAUUGAAAAGAACUCUCCCUUUCAAAAUAUUUUUUUUGGGCAAGGAUUUUUAUUUGGAUUCACCCAAGACUUGAUUUUGGUCUUGGAGGUUCUUUCUGUGAUUUGGACUCAAACCAAAAUGCCUUUCACUUGGGAAAAAUGGCUUUUGAAGAUUUCUUUGAAAAAAUGCACUAUGGCCUUUGAAAUGAUUCUUUGCCACUUUCAACAAAACCUCUCUUGCCAUGACCUUAGUGCAAAUCCACUCUCAUAAACCUCUCCUCACCUUUGGAUCAUGAUUUACUUCAAAUCCAGCAAGUUGGACCUCUCCAUAUAUUUAUUUCCACUUAUUUCUUAUCAAAAACAAUUUCUGCCUCAUAUCUUGACCCUUGGAGGUUUACAAAGGAACUACACUUUCUGCUUUGAUUUUUACUCCCAAACCUUUUUCCCCUCAUAGUCCUUUGAACCCUCAACCAAGAUCCAUGAAGAUCCACUGGUCUUCAGUUCAAAAUUUUUAAACUACACUUCUUGCAAGUUUGGACCAGAUUUGCCAAAUUUGAUGAAAUUCAUUCAAAUCCUUCUCCAGAAAUUCUGAGAAAAAUCAGGCAACCUCUGGGUGCAUUGAGAGGUCACCUCACCAAGUCCCAGCCCCAGGAAAAAUUUUCUUCACACCAAAUCAUUUCAUCGAACACCUUCAGAGCACUGGCAAUGUCAUGUUUAGUCAAAUUCAGUUAACAGUGUCUGAACCACUGUCGUUUCUUCAGUGUCCGUUGCCGAUCUCACCAGUGCCCCGGCGUCGCCGCGUUCCCUGUCCCCUCCCCCUUGUCCUCUGCACCGCACGAGCGCCUGGAUGUUUGCGGGCGUCGGCGACGUGCUGGAGGAGGUGCGCCGCCCCGUGACCGACGCCAGCGGCGGCUUUGCGGCCGCCAGAGAGAGGCGCGGCGCAGACGGCGCCACCCAGCGCCGCCCAAGCCACCAGAGAUCGCCGCGUGGUCUUCCACUCCCCAGUGCACGCUGCCACCUUCGUCGCGAACCGCUGGUCGCGGAGCGCGCUCUCUUCCGCCGUUGUGCCCGUGCAGCCACCCCACCGUGGACCGGUGCCAUUACGCCAAGACCGACCAGAAUUAGCAGGGGAACAGCACCAGUACACCUCACUGAUGCUACCUGGCCACCUAAACUCCUUGCCAAGCCACUGCCUCGCCGUAAUUGCUCGCCGGAGCAACCCCGUUCACGGCCACCCCCUCGAGCCGCCUAUAAAUAGAGGCCCCAAGCUCCAGCUAGUACCCAAACCACCUCUGCACUCCACCAAGACCCCGCCCAGCCACUGGAAGAGCCCCGAGGGAGUCUCCUUCCUCAACUCCGGCCGCCGCGACCCGCCACGGGAUCCAGCUCGAUUCGCUCCCGUGCGUGCACCCCUGCCUCCCAUCUCUUGCCAGUAACCCUCUAGUGCAUCCCUCCUUCUGACCCGCGGUUCAAUUCGAGGUUUGCAGCACACCACCGGAGUUCCCCACCAUCGCCCGAGCCGCCGUCCGCCGGAGAAAGUGUCGCCGUCGACGUGGUGCUCUCCGACGCCCAAGUCCACCACCCACCGACGCGGAAGGACACGCUGAUACUCUUGGUACACUCCGAUCACCCUGACUCGCCGUGGUUCAACGCCGGCGACCACCGCAGCCUUCGGGCGCCGGCGAGGUUUUCAAACCUGACAAGUGGACCCCCCCACAUUAGCCUCUCUUCUCCCCCCCCGAAGCGUUUUCUGUUGGCGCCUUCAGGCAGAGUACGCUUUCUCUGUGGGCUGACGCAUUUCUAUUCGAAUCGUUUUCUGUUUUCUCAGUUUAGCCCCUGGAACUUUUCUGUUUCAUUACAAAUGAGUCCCUAGACAGAAACUCUUAUAACUUUUUGAUAAAAAGGGCUUUUUGAGUGAUUCUUUUUCUGACAGUCUUAAAAUUUUGUCUAGUUGUUUAUGGGAUUUAUUUGAAAAAAAAUUGGAACAACUUUUGUACACGUGUUGAUUUUCACGUUAGUAUGCAUUUUCACUAUACCGUAGGUUCCGGGAGAGGUGACGGAGCCGCGAACUUCGCCGAGCUAGACUCCGACUUCUCCGAACCAGGCAAGCAUGUUUGAACAUUUGAUAUGAUAGGUGUUUUGCAUGUUUGCGUGAAAGGUUGUGCAUGGCAUAUGAGCAUCGGUGGGUAUCUCGUUGCAUGUGAGGCAACUACCCGUGUGUUCCAAAGUUACUGAGAUCUCUCAUGAGAGAUGGCCUAGUCAUGUGGUGACAUGAAGGGCAGUGAGGUGGUACUGUUGUAGCAUGCCAGCCUUAUGUCUGCCGUUUAAAUUCUGAUGUUAACGUGGACGGAGUCACGUUAUCGUUCUUUCCCCUUCCGUGCAACCACAUGUUUUCUGCCAGAAUGCGGUUUAGUAAGUUGGUAACCUCUUUCCGUGUACACACCAAAUAGAGGGGCCGGGAUGAUGGUUCCAUGGCCCUGGAUUAAAGCCAGUCAUCCGGUCAGGGGGCAUGGUUGUUUUCGGUUGGGACCGAGAGGGGGGCACCCCUUAGAGCGCGCGUAUAGAAAUUUGAUCCCAUGCUACGCGAGGUUGUAGCCUCCCCGUCUCAAGGUUUUUCUUGAACAUUGCCAAGGGUGGUUCCUGGCUUCGGAAUGUUGAAUGGGUGUGUACUGGUUAGAUGUGUUUCUCCUAAAACACCGUAAACGGAACUAGUCCCCGUGACUACUGAAAUCCGUUGGCUGUGGUUAAAGUACAAACUCUGCAGAGUCAAAUCCUUCCAAAUCAUCGUACCCAUGAUCAAGUAGAAUGAUCAGUAUAUCCAUAUCUAUCCUCGUGGAAAUUUAUCCCCGGUGAACAAACUCAAGUGGUAAACCCAGUUUAAUUGUUAUUCCUGUGGAUGGACUAACCUUAUAUUUGUCUCAUACUUGUAAUAAUUUAUAUUUCUCGAGCUACUGAAUUAUUGAGUUAUGGUAUAAGCCCUUUAUGUGAUGUCGCUCAGACGUCCGACUGUGGCAUGUUUGUCUUUUAUUUUCUGUUAUAAGCCCUUUAUGUGAUGUCGCUCAGACGUCCGACUGUGGCAUGUUUGCCUUUUACUUUCAAUAUAAGCCCUUUAUGUGAUGUCGCUCAGACGUCCGACUGUGGCAUGUUUGUCUUUUAUUUCCUGUUAUAAGCCCUUUAUGUGGUGUCGCCUUGACACCCGACUGCGGCAUUGUAUUUCCUGCAUUUUCCUCUCGAGGAGUCAUUCAGACCCUCGUUUGGCACCCAGUAUACUAUUUUGGGAUUUCGGGAGGACUACUGCCCGACUUCUCUUUUUCCCGUACAGUUUUAUCUCUAUGUCUGAGUGCACUUGUUGACCUGUGCAUAUGCAUCAUGCUUACAUUUGUUAUAUCUUAUGUCCGAACUGUCUUGCGAGUACUUUCAUAGUACUCACCUGGCUUGUUGAUUUGGCCAGAUAUUGACGAAGGCGAUCUCUUGGAUGAAGAGUUUGCUAGUGAGUCCGACGCCUAGAGGAGUCCCAGUCAGCCCCAUGCGAUCUUGGAUUUUGGUCACUUGUAUUAUAUACGCUUCCGCCACCCGCAAUAAAUCUCCUCGAGCUUCACUCCGACGCUCGAAGGACUGUAGUCUUCAGGAGUCAUGUCACCUGCUCCGCUGUGAUAUUUUCACCACCGUUGUUAUCGUGAGUUAGUAGUAAUGCCACCAUAUCCGCCGUUAUGUUUUAUCGGCGUGCAUGUAAUAAACUGUUGAGCAGUCUCCGCUCAACUUUGUAUUAUAAUCAGUACUCCUGGUAUUUGUCUUCUGUGACCAAGAUAUUGUCUGUCAGUGAGAAGGAAUUCUUCUUUACUGGUCCGUAAAAGGGAUUGGUCUCUCAAUAAAUAUUUUAUUGAAAGACCGGUCGUGACAAGCUUGGUAUCAGAGCCAGGCUGACUGUAGGAAGCCACUAGGUGCGAUCGCUAAUCGGUUAUUAGCGUCUUUUGUGCUUUUUUAGCACUUUGCAAUUGUAGCUAUUUUCUGUUGGUCAUCAUAAAAUUUAUGACUUGACUACUCAGAAUUUUUGCCUACUUUUGUAGAUGGCUGGCAGCAACUGCGAGACUCGAGUGUUCACGAACGUGCCCGAGGGGUUUGUCAAGCUCCUCGUUUCCAUCACCAAGCUCGCGAUCGGGCCAGCGACUCGCCCGGAGUUCACACUUUACCAGCACAUGCUCAGCGACGACGUGUCUAUGCACCAGGCCGUGGUGAAAUUCAAGGGAGGACGUUCUGCAUCUCGCCACUUCCGUUUUGCGGGAAGGGCCAUGCCUACGGAGAGGCAUGCCAUGCAGAUGGCUGCCCGUGAGGCGAUAGCUCGCCUUCGGGACAUUCUUCCUGUGAUGAAGACUCGUCGCUACCGCUACCUCCCAUGCCAUGUGCCCUACACUUGUCUCUAUGCAUUCGCCUGCCAUCGGGGAGAGCGAGAUGAAGCCAUCGAGAUGGUUGUGGAGUAUCUCAAGGCUCUGGAGGAGUCUUUCGACAACCUCGUGGACGAUCUUGUGGCUGCCCGGAUGGACUUAGUUCGGGGCGGUCCUACCUGCAGGAAGGAGCUUCUUCACACAGCACCGCCUCUGACAUUCGUCUCAUCUUCAGCCUCUUAUGCACCGGCCAUUUUAGCCACUGCUCGCCGUCUGCCUACCACUGAGGAGUUCGACCGAGUCAUCGCUCCUACUCCAGUCAGGGCUGCACCGCCUGCCGCACCCACACUGCCACCGGUCGCCCCCGCGCCAUCACCGCAGCGCAGUGCGUCGCGCCGGGAGCCUGCUAGAGAGGAGGUGGAGGUUGAAUCUCCUGCACCGCUGAGUCUUGCUCUCGGCAAGGGAAAGGACAUCGUCACCAUCUCCGACUGAGAGCGCCGUGUAGUCGCGCGUUAUGUCUGCCUGUAUGAUGUGUUUUAUAUGUACGCUAGUUUGUAGUAGUUGUGCUCGCUGCACCCCCGAGAGUGUGCUAAUAACAUGUCAGGAAUGUGUACACACAUCCUGAGUGCUGUAUCGUAUGUUGCGUUUCGCGUGUAAGAUUUGUGUUAAGCGUCUCUUCUCCGUGCAGAGUUGUUUAUGUUUUCUUGAAAAUCUUGAGAUCUUUUAAAUUUUUGUCUUUGCAAGAUUUUCCUUGCACCUCGCAGUUCUUCUCAUGAUUUUCGCAAAUAAUACCCCAGAGUGGAAAAUGUCUCGUCCAUGGACCCGUUCCAUGCCCAAUCAGCCAGAAGAAGUUUUUGGGACUCAGACCAGCAACAACUUCACUCAGGGACAGUCUAGUCAACAAGACAGUGAGGCCGCCUUAUCUCAAGUAUGCCGCCUUUUUGAACAAAGCCAACAGCAACACCAAGAGAUGAUGAACCACGUCAUCAAUAUGGGAAACCACCGUGAGCCGUACCAGCCACACUCCAAGUUGUCUGAAUUACAGAAGACUCGCCCUUCAACGUUUGCUCACACCGAUAGGCCACUUGAAGCCGAUGAUUGGCUUCGUGACAUCGAAAGAAAACUGAUUAUUGCUUAGUGUUCAGAUCAUGAGAAGGUGCUUUAUGCACCACACUACCUUACUAGAGCAGCUGCUGCAUGGUGGGAAAACUUCCUACACAUGCAUCCCAGUGAACACAACAUCACCUGGGAAGAGUUCAAGGAAGGCUUUCGUGGGGCGCACAUCCCCAGGAGCAUCAUAAAAAUCAAGAAAAGAGAAUUUGAUGACCUCAAGCAAAGAGGCAUGUCAGUGACAGAAUACAACGGUCAGUUUACCCAGCUAUCUCAUUAUGCCUACGACGAGUACAUGACAGAGGACAAGAAGAUGGAAAAAUUCCUGGACGGCCUCGCACCGGCACUAAGAUGCCAACUGGUUGUACACACCUUCCUGGAUUUUAAAACUCUGGUUGACAAGGCUAUUACCUUGGAGAAUGAGCGCCGUAGUCUGGAAGAUAUCCGUAAGCGAAAGAGGGACAAGACGACUCUUGCUCGGAACAACAGAAGCAGGACUGAGGUUCCAAGGACAGAAGCAAGGAAACCCACGACUACUGAUCCAAGGCCCGUCAGACAGUUUCAUGCCAGAGACAAGGAGUUCACGUACCGUCCAGGGGUCACAUGCUAUGCUUGUGGUGAAGAAGGACACUAUGCCAAACAGUGUCCAAAACCAAGGAACUCGGCCCCCAAGACAAACAAUGGUGGGAAUAAUCCGGCCCCCAAGCGCAACAAUUUCAAUCCCAACAACAACCACAGGAAGGGUCACCUGAACCAUGUGACCAAGGAAGAAGCGCAGAAUGCCCCAGACAUCGUGCUCGGUACGUUCCCUGUCAACACAGUACCUGCCACGGUUUUGUUUGAUUCUGGAGCUUCCCAUUCGUUCGUUUCGAAGAAUUUUUUUUUGCAACAUGGUUUUCCGAUACUUCCCUUGGAAAAAUCUAUGAUCAUCAAGUCCCCCGGAAAUAAACAAACCGCUCAGAGUUACUGCCAAGGAGUGAUCAUUGAGUUCGAAGGACUACCGUUCCAAGCAAACCUCAUCGUGUUGGAAAAUAAAGGACUGGAUGUCAUUUUAGGGAUGGACUGGUUGACCACCAACAAAGGAUUUAUUGACUGUUUCAAUCGGACUGUGAUCCUCACUCAUCAUCACGGCAAGACAAUAAAGGUUACAGCUCAGGAAAGACCACGGUCACAGCAACCAAAUUUGAACAAAAUGGACAUUUCGGAAUUGAGAAAGGUUCCAGUGGUGUGCGAGUUUCCAGACGUAUUUCCUGAAGAACUACCAGGCAUGCCACCAGACCGAGAAAUUGAGUUCAACAUUGAACUAGCACCUGGCACCACUCCCGUCUAUAAGAAACCUUACAGGAUGGCACCCUCAGAAUUGGUAGAGUUGAAGAAGCAGAUAAAGGAAUUAUUGGACAAAGGAUUUAUUCGAGCCAGCUCCUCACCUUGGGGUUCGCCAGUUUUAUUCGCCAAGAAAAAGGAUGGGACACUGAGAUUGUGUAUAGACUAUCGAGCUCUCAAUAUGGUUACCAUCAAAAACAAAUAUCCGAUGCCACGGAUAAAUGAUUUGUUUGACCAACUCGCGCAAGCCAAGGUGUUCUCAAAAAUUGAUUUGAGAUCAGGAUAUCAUCAAUUGAAAGUACGGACGGAAGAUAUCCCUAAAACAGCAUUCACCUCCAGAUACGGAUUAUAUGAGUUCACCGUGAUGCCUUUUGGGUUGACAAACGCCCCCGCUUAUUUCGUCCACCUCAUGAACAAAGUGUUUAUGAAGUUUAUGGACAAAUUUGUUGUGGUGUUCAUUGACGACAUUCUGGUAUAUUCAAGAACACCAGAGGAGCAUGCUGAGCACCUCAGAAUCGUUUUGGGAGAAUUAAGGAAACACCAAUUGUACGCCAAAUUUAGCAAGUGUGAAUUUUGGCUAAGACAAGUUGGUUUCCUGGGUCAUAUAUUGAACCAAGAAGGCAUAGCCGUAGACCCAGAAAAGGUCAAAGCCAUACUUGACUGGAAGCCACCAGCCAACGUGACCGACGUUCGGAGUUUCCUAGGAAUGGCUGGAUAUUACCGGAGAUUUAUUGAAGGAUUCUCCACUGUGGAAAAACCAAUAACCCAGUUGCUCAAGAAAGAUAGGAAGUUUGUAUGGACGGAAGCAUGCGAGAAAAGCUUCCAAGAACUCAAGAGGAAGCUAACAACCGCACCGGUAUUAACCGUGCCAGACAUACACAAGAGUUUCGAAGUAUAUUGUGACGCAUCCCGGAAGGGUCUCGGAUGUGUGCUGAUGCAGGAUGGCAAAGUUGUCGCGUAUGCCUCCAGGCAACUGCGGAAACAUGAGGAAAAUUACCCAACACUUGACUUGGAGCUAGCACAGUCAUACACGCACUCAAGGAGUGGAGGCACUUUCUGUUGGGAAAUCGUUGUGAAAUAUAUACGGACCAUAAGAGCCUUAAAUAUAUUUUCACACAGCCAGAACUAAAUUUACGCCAACGGCGCUGGUUGGAAUUGGUCAAGGACUAUGAUGUCGGCAUUCACUACCAUCCAGGAGGCAAAUGUAGUGGCUGAUGCCCUUAGUCGGAACCCUAGCCCGGAUGGCGACAGUACAAAACUUUGAGGCCUGAGUUUCAGCAAGAGUUCACUAGACUCAACAUGGUGUUAGCCGCUGAGGGCACCUUAUCAAAUCUGGAGAUACAUCCCACCCUUAUGGAACAAAUUAAGAAGGCUCAACAGGGACAUCCCAGCAUCGAAGGUAUAAAAAGGAAAAUGAACCUUGGUAAGGCUUCAGAGUUCGUCACAGACAAUGAAGGAAUAUUAUGGUACGGAGACAGACUUUGCGUACCUAACAUUGGGGAACUCAAGCAACAAAUCCUAACCGAAAGCCACACCGCUCCAUACUCGAUCCACCCUGGGGGACCAAAAUGUACAAAGACCUUCAGGAAAGAUUUUGGUGGCACGGUAUGAAAAGAGAUAUAGCCGCAUUCAUCGCUUGUUGCGAUUCAUGUCAACGCAUCAAGGCCGAACAUCAAAGGCCAGCAGGGCUACUCCAGCCAAACAGGAUACCUGAAUGGAAGUGGGAUGAGAUUGGGAUGGACUUUAUUGUCGGACUACCCCGAUCGCAACACGGAAAUGAUGCCAUUUGGGUCAUCACAGAUAGGCUAACCAAGGUAGCCCAUUUCAUUCCCGUGAAGACAACCUACUCCACUCAAAGGCUAGCCAAGCUUUAUCUCUCCCGUAUAGUUUGUUUGCAUGGAGUCCCAAAGACUAUAAUAUCCGACCGAGGCACUCAAUUUGUCUCUAAAUUUUGGGAUCACCUGCAACAAGCUCUAGGCACACAACUAGCUUUCAGUACAGCGUACCACCCUCAGACUGAUGGACAAACGGAACGUGUGAACCAAAUCCUAGAGGAUAUGCUGAGAGCCUGUGUGCUCACAUAUGGAUCCAGUUGGGAAGAGAGUUUGCCGUAUGCCGAGUUUGCUUACAACAACAGUUACCAAGCCAGCUUACAGAUGGCACCUUUUGAAGCACUGUACGGACGGAGGUGUCGUACCCCACUGAAUUGGUCAGAAACAGGCGACGGUCGUAUCUUCGGCCCAGACAUGCUUAAGGAGGCCGAGGAGAAAGUUAAACAGAUCAGGGACAGACUCAAGACAGCACAGAGCCGACAAAAGAGCUACUACGAUCAAAAACACCGCGAGGUCAGCUUUGAACCCGGUGAUUCCGUAUACCUAUGAGUAUCUCCUAUGAGGGGCCUGCAAUGGUUCAAAAUUAAGGGGAAGCUAGCCCCGAGAUUUAUUGGACCAUUCUGUAUAAUUGCACGAAGAGGCACGGUAGCCUACCAACUAGACCUACCCAAGGAACUGUCAGACGCCCAUGACGUGUUCCAUGUCUCACAAUUGAGAAAAUGUGUAAGUAACCCGGAGAAGCAUGUGCCUCAUGAAAGCAUUGAUAUACAACCAGACCUCACCUACAGAGAGAGGCCAGUAAAGAUUUUGGAAGAGUCUGAAAGGAGGACCCGUCAGAAAACAACAAAAAUUUUCAGGGUUCAGUGGAGCAACCACACUGAGGAUAAAGCUACAUGGGAAAGGGAAGAUUUUCUCCAGGCAGAAUAUCCAUAUCUAUUCGAGGGUCAGCUGAAAUCUCGAGGACGAGAUUUUUCCUAAGGGGGUAGGUGUUGUGACACCCAAAAUUUUAUUUGGCUUUUUCAAAAAAAAUUACUAGAAUUGAGGGGGGGUAUUUUAAAUUUUUUUUUUGAAAAGAACUCUUCCUUUCAAAAUUUUUUUUUUGGGCAAGGAUUUUUAUUUGGAUUCACCCAAGACUUGAUUUUGGUCUUGGAGGUUCUUUCUGUGAUUUGGACUCAAACCAAAAUGCCUUUCACUUGGGAAAAAUGGCUUUUGAAGAUUUCUUUGAAAAAAUGCACUAUGGCCUUUGAAAUGAUUCUUUGCCACUUUCAACAAAACCUCUCUUGCCAUGACCUUAGUGCAAAUCCACUCUCAUAAACCUCUCCUCACCUUUGGAUCAUGAUUUACUUCAAAUCCAGCAAGUUGGACCUCUCCAUAUAUUUAUUUCCACUUAUUUCUUAUCAAAAACAAUUUCUGCCUCAUAUCUUGACCCUUGGAGGUUUACAAAGGAACUACACUUUCUGCUUUGAUUUUUACUCCCAAACCUUUUUCCCCUCAUAGUCCUUUGAACCCUCAACCAAGAUCCAUGAAGAUCCACUGGUCUUCAGUUCAAAAUUUUUAAACUACACUUGCUGCAAGUUUGGACCAGAUUUGCCAAAUUUGAUGAAAUUCAUUCAAAUCCUUCUCCAGAAAUUCUGAGAAAAAUCAGGCAACCUCUGGGUGCAUUGAGAGGUCACCUCACCAAGUCCCAGCCCCAGGAAAUUUUUUCUUCACACCAAAUCAUUUCAUCGAACACCUUCAGAGCACUGGCAAUGUCAUGUUCAGUCAAAUUCAGUUAACAGUGUGUGAACCACUGUCGUUUCUUCAGUGUCCGUUGCCGAUCUCACCAGUGCCCCGGCGUCGCCGCGUUCCCUGUCCCCUCCCCCUUGUCCUCUGCACCGCACGAGCGCCUGGAUGUUUGCGGGCGUCGGCGACGUGCUGGAGGAGGUGCGCCGCCCCGUGACCGACGCCAGCGGCGGCUUUGCGGCCGCCAGAGAGAGGCGCGGCGCAGACGGAGCCACCCAGCGCCGCCCAAGCCACCAGAGAUCGCCGCGUGGUCUUCCACUCCCCAGUGCGCGCUGCCACCUUCGUCGCGAACCGCUGGUCGCGGAGCGCGCUCUCUGCCGCCGUUGUGCCCGUGCAGCCACCCCACCGUGGACCGGUGCCAUUACGCCAAGACCGACUAGAAUUAGCAGGGGAACAGCACCAGUACACCUCACUGAUGCUACCUGGCCACCUAAACUCCUUGCCAAGCCACUGCCUCGCCGUAAUUGCUCGCCGGAGCAACCCCGUUCACGGCCACCCCCUCGAGCCGCCUAUAAAUAGAGGCCCCGAGCUCCAGCUAGUACCCACACCACCUCUGCACUCCACCAAGACCCCGCCCAGCCACUGGAAGAGCCCCGAGGGAGUCUCCUUCCUCAACUCCGGCCGCCGCGACCCGCCACGGGAUCCAGCUCGAUUCGCUCCCGUGCGUGCACCCCUGCCUCCCAUCUCUUGCCAGUAACCCUCUAGUGCAUCCCUCCUUCUGACCCGCGCUUCAAUUCGAGGUUUGCAGCACACCACCGGAGUUCCCCACCAUCGCCCGAGCCGCCGUCCGCCGGAGAAAGUGUCGCCGUCGACGUGGUGCUCUCCGACGCCCAAGUCCACCACCCACCGACGCGGAAGGACACGCUGAUACUCUUGGUACACUCCGAUCACCCUGACUCGCCGUGGUUCAACGCCGGCGACCACCGCAGCCUUCGGGCGCCGGCGAGGUUUUCAAACCUGACAAGUGGACCCCCCACGUCAGCCUCUCUUCUUCCCCCCUUGAAGCGUUUUCUGUUGGCGCCUUCGGGCAGAGUACGCUUUCUCUAUGGGCUGACGCAUUUCUAUUCGAAUCGUUUUCUGUUUUCUCAGUUUAGCCCCUGGAACUUUUCUGUUUCAUUACAGAUGAGUCCCUGGACAGAAACUCUUAUAACUUUUUCAUAAAAAGGGAUUUUUGAGUGAUUCUUUUUCUGACAGUCUUAAAAUUUUGUCUAGUUUUUUAUGGGAUUUAUUUGAAAAAAAAUUGGAACAACUUUUGUGCACGUGUUGAUUUUCACGUUAGUAUGCAUUUUCACUAUACCGUAGGUUCCGGGAGAGGUGACGGAGCCGCUAACUUCGCCGAGCUAGACUCCGACUUCUCCGAACCAGGCAAGCAUGUUUGAACAUUUGAUAAGAUAGGUGUUUUGCAUGUUUGCGUGAAAGGUUGUGCAUGGCAUAUGAGCAUCGGUGGGUAUCUCGUUGCAUGUGAGGCAACUACCCGUGUGUUCCAAAGUUACUGAGAUCUCUCAUGAGAGAUGGCCUAGUCAUGUGGUGACAUGAAGGGCAGUGAGGUGGUACUGUUGUAGCAUGCCAGCCUUACGUCUGCCAUUUAAAUUCUGAUGUUAACGUGGACGGAGUCACGUUAUCGUUCUUUCCCCUUCCAAGCAACCACAUGUUUUCUGCCAGAAUGCGGUUUAGUAAGUUGGUAACCUCUUUCCGUGUACGCACCAAACAGAGGGGCCGGGAUGAUGGUUCCAUGGCCCUGGAUUAAAGCCAGUCAUCCGGUCAGGGGGCAUGGGUGUUUCCGGUUGGGACCGAGAGGGGGGCACCCCUUAGAGCGCGCGUAUAGAAAUUUGAUCCCAUGCUACGCGAGGUUGUAGCCUCCCCGUCUCAAGGUUUUUCUUGAACAUUGCCAAGGGUGGUUCCUGGCUUCGGAAUGUUGAAUGGGUGUGUACUGGUUAGAUGUGUUUCUCCUAAAACACCGUAAACGGAACUAGUCCCCGUGACUACUGAAAUCCGUUGGCUGUGGUUAAAGUACAAACUCUGCAGAGUCAAAUCCUUCCAAAUCAUCGUACCCAUGAUCAAGUAGAAUGAUCAGUAUAUCCAUAUCUAUCCUCGUGGAAAUUUAUCCCCGGUGAACAAACUCAAGUGGUAAACCCAGUUUAAUUGUUAUUCCUGUGGAUGGACUAACCUUAUAUUUGUCUCGUACUUGUAAUAAUUUAUAUUUCUCGAGCUACUGAAUUAUUGCGUUAUGGUAUAAGCCCUUUAUGUGAUGUCGCUCAGACGUCCGACUGUGGCAUGUUUGUCUUUUAUUUUCUGUUAUAAUCCCUUUAUGUGAUGUCGCUCAGACGUCUGACUGUGGCAUGUUUGCCUUUUACUUUCAAUAUAAGCCCUUUAUGUGAUGUCGCUCAGACGUCCGACUAUGGCAUGUUUGUCUUUUAUUUCCUAUUAUAAGCCCUUUAUGUGGUGUCGCCUUGACGCCCGACUGCGGCAUUGUAUUUCCUGCAUUUUCCUCUCGAGGAGUCAUUCAGACCCUCGUUUGGUACCCAGUAUACUAUUUUGGGAUUUCGGGAGGACUACCGCCCGACUUCUCUUUUUCCCGUACAGUUUUAUCUCUAUGUCUGAGUGCACUUGUUGACCUGUGCAUAUGCAUCAUGCUUACAUUUGUUAUAUCUUAUGUCCGAACUGUCUUGCGAGUACUUUCAUAGUACUCACCUGGCUUGUUGAUUUGGCCAGAUGUUGACGAAGGCGAUCUCUUGGAUGAAGAGUUUGCUAGUGAGUCCGACGCCUAGAGGAGUCCCAGUCAGCCCCAUGCGAUCUUGGAUUUUGGUCACUUGUAUUAUAUACGCUUCCGCCACCCGCAAUAAAUCUCCUCGAGCUUCACUCCGACGCUCGAAGGACUGUAGUCUUCAGGAGUCAUGUCACCCGCUCCGCUGUGAUAUUUUCACCACCGUUGUUAUCGUGAGUUAGUAGUAAUGCCACCAUAUCCGCCGUUAUGUUUUAUCGGCUUGCAUGUAAUAAACUGUUGAGCAGUCUCCGCUCAACUUUGUAUUAUAAUCAGUACUCCUGGUAUUUGUCUUCUGUGACCAAGAUAUUGUCUGUCAGUGAGAAGGAAUUCUUCUUUACUGGUCCGUAAAAGGGAUUGGUCUCUCAAUAAAUAUUUUAUUGAAAGACCGGUCGUGACAGGUGGGCCAGGGAAACCUGCGCGGCAUCACAGCGGGCCACAAGAGGAGGGAGCAAGAAGUCCCGCCGGCGCUAGUUUAGGCGGCUGGAGCAGGAAGAUCAGAGAUUGAAGAAGCACGUCGGCCGUUGGAUGGACAUCCAACAGUCAUUGCUGCUAGAAUCGUGUGUUCACUGACAAAGCCUUGCGUAAACAAGUCAGCCUCAAAAUCUGUGGCGUGUACAGCCCAUUUGCUAUUAUUUUUAUAAUUUUUACUCUUUUUCUAAUUCAUAUGGAAUUUAUUGCAGCCCGUUUUCCAUUUUUAGAAUUGUUGGCCAUUUUCUGGUCAGUACCAGGGUCAAAAAAUUAACUAAAUAUGUGGGAAAUUUUGAAAAUUCGCAAAUUUUUGCUGGGGAACGAAAUAUUCUUAAUCCAAAAAUUAAUAGCCAUACUAAAACAAAUUUAAAAAUAAAUUAGUACUAUGUCAUGUUAAAUCCAAUGAAAUACGUAUAAGAUAUCAGUGAAGAACAAAAACAAAAAAAGACACUUAUAUCCCAUUUGCUAUAAAUUUUUUGGAAUUUUCAACCCCUUUUGAUAUACUUUUAACAGACAUUGACCAUACUCUUAAGCCAGGCCGGAAUGCAUCCCUCCUCAUCUUGAAAGAUUUACAGCCCAGUAAUUCGGAGAAAACAAAUAGGCCUAGCUUGGGUAUUCUUCAAAAAGAAAUACUGGGCUACCUAUUUUCCCAAAGAACUGGUGCAUGAGCAUUUAGCUUUAUUUAUUUAUUUAUUUACUUAUUUAUGUUUAGGGGACCAUGAGCAUGUACCUAGGCCGGAUUCAUGUGAGAGCCUCCCUUCCAGUUAAUUAUGGGCUUCUCUAUUGGGCCUUCAUCAGUGGGCUGCAUGUUAUCAACAAGUGGAAAAUGUGUUCCGUACGAAAAAUAGUAUGCGCUACGUACGGUACGGGGCACUAAAGGAUCGAACCGUGCAACGACUUCCAAAACAUUGUGUUUAUCAUUCUAACAACACAUUUAUUCAACCAACAGACAAAAUAUACUACUGAUUGUACAUUGAAAACAGCAGCAGCAACAACCAGGGCUGGGGGUGCAACAGAAGCAGUAAGCAGGCCAGAAGAGUGAAGACGCAGCUCUCACUUCCAAACCAAACAUCAGCCAUCAUUACAAAAGGGCUACCAAAAAAGAACAAGUGUAUGCAUCAAACUAAAUAAAGAUCCUACUACACCAAGUGUACGCAUCUAACUAACUGGCUCAGUUAGACGUUACUAUUUAUUAAGCUAUGGAGAUUGGCUGACGGCUUGAACCAGAUGGGUGCCUGACGGGGGAAACUCCAGCCAGCAGGUCGAAGUCUGAUACUUGCGACCCUCUCUCCUACUUUGGGCUGCAGAGCGUGGCGGCACAUAUCAGGGUAUGGUGCAUGCAGAGACGCAUGGUACGCUGUGUACACACAGUUUUGCCUGAUGAACGAAACCGUGCUGCCAUCAUGAUCCUUGCCAUCGGUUAUCUCCUGGUUAAUCGGAUAAUUCAGUCCGACAAACAGAGAGCGUGUACCAAGGCUACUUACCAGCCUCCAGUCAAAAUUCCUGAAGGCCCAGAGAAGCUGGGAUCCUGCUCAAAGACCUUGCAGUGACUGUGAUUGUAUUCCGCGAAACAACAUGUCCGGUACGUGCGAACGAUCAUCAAUCUUUCGCCGUCGUCUGAUCGAGCCAGGAACCACCUGCAACUGCCAUGCCACUUUUCUUUGAAAGGUUCUGGGAUUAGGAAGGGUAGGGACACCAGGCGGCCUACAACAUCAUAUCAAGUUGGAGUCAAAUAAAAAAGGGCUCUUGAUUUAGUCAAUCUUAAGAACAGCAUGUUAUGAGCAUGAAUAUUUUUUCAGCAAAUGUUGACAGUAAUAUAAGCAAGCCAUCAUGAUAUCAUAGGAAAGUAACAUACUGCUGUAACAGCCGUUUGUAGCGAUGACUGGAGUAGGCCAGCAAUACGUCCAGCCAUAGAAGGAGUCGACAGCGUAAAUGAAGCCCUUGUGUUCAAUGGCAUCAGAGAACCAUGGAGGAUGUAUGAUCCUGCGAUGGACGUGCAGAUUUAUCCACUUGCCGCAGUGACCUGUCAGAUAGGCGAGACCGCGGUUGAAGAACGCAAAUAGACUGAAGUCUUUAUAAUUCGCAGAUCUUGUGGGCACUUGGCAGAUUACAACCUUGAGAAAAUCGAACUUGGUAUCAUGUUGGCUACUGUAAGAUUCCGAGUAUUCUGGGCUGCGGUGCCAAAGCAGUGCAGUGUUAAUCGAAGGAAGGGGGAUCAAUCGCCGAGUGUAGACCUCCACGAGCAUCCAGCUGCCGCGACCGUUGACGAGCACCAUCCAAGACGUGUUCAUGCCGACCCAGUACAUACCGUUAAUGUAGUUGAGGCUGACGGGGAUCAGAUCGCAGUCAAGGGGGUUGAUGCUCGCCACCCUAUGAUCGUUAUGCUGCGUGACACGCCGUUUCUGAAGAUCAGGCGGCAUCAGCAAGCAAGGAGCUGGCUUAAAAAGCUCCAGCCUGAGGGCUUUGAGUAAACGGUACAGCCCCGACGAGCACGCGCUGAGCGGCAUGGUACUGAGAUUGUCCACACGCGAAACAAUGAGCUUGAUUACCUCUGUGGGGAGCGAAUUCCAGCCACUCUUUUGGCGGACGCUGCUCGGUUCUGCCAUUGUUAGUGCUUGGGUUUCGGACGAGGGGGGGAGGCGCCUUAGCGUGGAUGGAAGAUUGGACGAGAUUAUGUGCGGACAAAGACGGAGAAGCGAAUAUGUGCUGCGGGAAGUGGACAGGUGAUGAUGACUACAGCACACCGCUUGACUUACGAGACACAUACCAGCAGCGUAGGUCAUGUCGAUGCCAGACAACUUGCUUGAGUGAUCACAGUACUGGUACUCCCUACAGUGCUAUGCCCUAACUUUCUUGAGUAGAGUAGUAGAGUAGGACUCUGCUCUACUACUAGCACUGGAGGAGUAGUAUAUUCUAAUCUAAAAUAGUUACAAACUUCAAUGCCCGAGCGUGGAACGACUACGAACCGUGCUCAAAGACCGUGUCUACGUGGUGUUUGGACAUGGGCGACAACCUCAACGCCAACGGUGCUGCUCCCGUUGCACCGUAUGUGUUUCUGUCCUUCCUGUUCGAAAUCAUGGUAGAAUUCAUGUUUCUACUCUGUAUCCUACUACUAUGCUAGUCCACAUGAUUAGUUUCAUCUCUGUAAUAGCCGUCAUGAUUUAUUUUGUGCUUAUUCGGAUUAAAUCUCGUAGUAACUUGCUCAUAUAUUCAACUGGCGCAACGUCCCCUACAGCCACUCCCGUUUCAUGGACGGCCUGGUCGAUGCCUCCAAGGAGCCCUUCGUCCACUGCUAUGAGUGCCCGAUGCCGUUUUGUGGCUCGCCGGCGGACAUGGUGCAUCACCUCACGGAUGCGUGCAGCGGUCACUGCUGGCCCUUGGCGGAGAACAUCAAGUACGAGACGUGCUACCCGUUCACCAUGCCGGAGUCGCUGGAGGAUCACCGCCGCCUGCUAGUCUCGGAGGAGGACGGCAGCGUCUUCCUCUUGAUCGUGGGCACCGGUGAGGCCCGCACAGGCCGCCAUCCCGUCUCUGUAAUGUGCGUCAGGGGCGACGCCGCUGACGCUGACACUGACACGAGGCCGAUGUACGGGUGCGUGGUCAGUGUUACUACCCCUCCGGGUCACGUGGGCGGCGACACCGGCCUCAUCGAACGGACUUGGACUCUGGGGAGCUGGGACUAUCCCGCCAAUGUGGACUUGGAAAACCCAUGGCAUCCUUUACCCGCCGACGCGGUGCACGGGGACUCCAGGGAGGUUCACCUGGACAUAUGCAUUAUCAAGUUAAAUGUUGAUCACUAGUCUUCGCUCAAUGUAAUCCGCUGUCUAAGCAUGUGGAGACUUCCAUGCAGGAUCUUGCUCUAUUGGAGUAUCGCACAUGAAUAAAAGUGUAUCCGUUUAUGGUUUAGUCUAGAAUCUUCCAUGUAUGAAUUUUUACUACAGUACUGGUGAAAGACUUACGAUGAACCAUUUCUUACAUCUCCUCUGCCCGCUUGCAAGUCAUCCUGAUUUAAUCCCUCCGUCUAGGUGUAUAAGGGCAUGGUUAAUAUUACUUAAUAGUAUAGCCAACUGUUGACUAUAAGAAAGUGUCAUGUCAUCUGUAGCCAACAUGUAUAACAAUCGAUACACAAAAACUAAUUCUUAAAGAUCAUUUCUUGCAAAGCACAAUAAGUGUUAUUUCUUCACAAGUUUUGGAUGCACGUUGAACAGUUGAACGCUUUUGUUUGCAAAAGAUACCUUUUUAUCUAUUUCACCCGGAUGUUUGUGAGCUCUAGAGAUGAAAUAAUAUCCGAAGAAACCUAUCGAUACCCGUUACACCUGAGAUGACCCCCACAUCCUUUGUCAAAAUAAGCAACUCCCCGAUCAAUGCAUUUCACUCUUCGGUGCAACGCACGGGCACCUUACUACUAUAGAUUAGUACGACCAAAAAUUGAACUAACAUUAUAUAUAGUACGAUAAAUGCUGAUGCAUUUCACCUAAAAUUAUAUCAUUCAAAACUAUGUUCAAAUACGAAUCCAACGAUAUAGUUUUUGUUGACAUGCACUAACAUUUUGUCAGUUAAAUCUUCAGUCAAAUUCAACGGGGGGCUAAUAAACCACGACCGAUGUAGUACAAGUGUAGAGGGCGGCGCUGCACGGGAGUCUCACCUCUCACCCCGCUCAUGGCGCGGCAGUAAAGCCGUCAUAUCACAAAACCCAACCACUCCCAGUAAUAAGUGGCCUGGUAAAAUAAACGGACAAGCAACCAUCACAUCCCUCCGUCUUUUUUGCAUUUCAUCUCUCUGCAUUAUUUUCUCCGGUUCAUCUCGCACACUCGAUCCCUAGCUACUACUCCUAGGGCCAUUUCUUUUGGUUGCUUCCCCAGCUUUUCCCACAAGACUAGUCACAGUGGAGAGUAACAAUAAGGCGCCUCACUCAUUUAUUUGGGCUUCUAAACUACUACUCCGUCCUGGUUUAUUCCUCACCAUUGUAAUUUGUGCUAAAUUUUGACCAAAGAUUUAACUGGUUUAUUCCUCACCAUUGUAAUCCCUCCAUCUAGGUGUGUAAGUCAUCUUAUGAAAACCAAAUAUCCCAAAACACUUAGGCACGGUGCAUUAACUUCUACUCCGUACCUCGUUUCUUGUUUCUUGACAUAUACCCCAAUAAGAGAUAAAGAGUGUGCAUGCUUUUAAUGACUUGAGAUAUCAAACACGACAUGCAGUGGUUAGUUCAUUGCAUGCAAUACUAUUAAUUAGCAAAUAAACAUUAACGUUUCUCGUUUUCUCCUCCUCCUUGGUCACGGUGCACAGCCUAAGAUGACUUACUCACCUAGACGGAUGGAGUAGUGCAUGUGACAUGCACUAACAUUUCAUUAGUUAAAUUUAUGAUCAAAAUUUGACACAGAUUACAACGGGGACCAAUAAACCAGGACGGAGGUAGUAGUUAUGGGAUUACUAAUCUAGAAGCCUAAAAGAACUGGCCCUUGGUACUCCUGCUAGUAGUGGUACUCACGCUAGAAUUCCAAUUGCACGGCACAACUUGUUAGGCAAAAAAUUCGAUACAGGGUGUAGGAAGCGGUUUGGGAAUUUGCAUGCCUUUCCAACCAGUGAGAUACUUCGUACAAAGUACGACAGAGAAAUAACCACAGAGAAGAAAGCUAAAAGUAAACAAUCAAACGAGCAUUUUUGCAUUUGUUUUGCAUUGAAUCGUUUCACAAGCUUGACUAGUGUUGUUUUUCUACUUUUACAAAAACCGCAUCGUAAUGUUAAAACGUGCAUUUGCACGUACAUAAGUAAUAGUAGUACUCCCUCCGUCUAGGUGUAUAAGUCUUCCCUCCUUCUUGGUCACGGUGCACAACCAAAGAUGACUUAUUGACCUGGACGGAGGGAGUAGCACAGUCUACAAGCAUAUAUCAAGAGAGACGUGUGCGAUAGUAUAUAGUAAAGUUUGUGCUAUAUGCACGUACUUGCAAAAUGUGUACGAAUACACAAGGUUUCCAAACUUUCCCUUUUACAUACUUAAUUAAGGACGCUAAAAAUUGCUGAACGUUCGGGAUUUAUCAUUUGCGUCCCAAAACUAAUGAGAUCGCCUUACGAAACAAAAAUUAUAUUCCUCCUAAAAGCCACGGCGCUCGCAGGAGCGCUUGCGGCGCGCCACGAGUGCCCUGGUGCGCGGCCGUUUCCCAGCGCGCCGACACAACGCCUCUUCCUCAGCCUCGCAACUCGCGAGGUGCUGAUUGGCGGCUUGCCGGCGGGUGAGCGCGAUCUCACCGGUGUGGUGAUCCGGCGCCAACAGGUACUCCUCCUCGCUGGAAGCGUGCACCUGGUCCACGUACCGCCAAGCGUAGAUGAGGCGCUUGGGCCCGACUGCACUCAGGGCGUCGGCACGGGCGUCCUCCGCCACCCUCACGGCCCUCGCACGAGCCUUCUGCCAAAGAGCCAAUUGCCUGACUCUCUCGGACGCGACAUAGGCCUCCCAGGCAGCUUGUUCUGCGGUGCGGUUCUCUUCCUCGGCCUUCUUCUCCGCCUCUAUUUUGGCGCGCUCUGCUGGAGGCAAAGCCUCCCACAAGGCGACAUCCAUUUCUUUCCAAAGCUCCUCAAGGCUGGGGGGCUCGGCGGGUGACGCGGCGUUCUCCUCAUGGCGGGGAGCCAACGCGUCCUCCGGCGCGCGUGCUGGCGAGAUUGGGAAUGCCGACGCGUCCACCUCGACGCGUCGCGGUGAGGAGCAGAACGCCGACGCGUCCUCCUCGACUAGUGGCGGCGAGGAACGGAACGGCGACGCGUCGCGUCGCGGCGAGGAGCGGAACGCCGACGCGUCCUCCUCGACUAGUGCCGGCGAGGAACGGAACGGCAACGCGUCGCGCAGCGGCGAGGAGCGGAACACCGACGCGUCCUCCUCAACUAGUGGCGGCGAGGAACGGAACGGCGACGCGUGACCGUCCGCGCGGUGCAGCGAGGGGCUCCUAGGGCUUGGGAGGGGUGAUGCCAUGGUGGUCGACGUGAGAGGGAGGGGGAGGAGAUAGCGAUGAACGUGAACGUGAGGGGGAGGAGAUAGCGAUGUCGUGGGAGGCGCAGUAUUUAUAGCGAGCAAUGGCACACCUACGUAAGAUAUGGACUGAGCUGCACUGACUUAACUGCAGGUCCAGUUGCGUCACUGACAUGUGGGCUAGACCCCUGUUGGGCCCAUAUGUCAGUGACCCAAUGCACCUGCAAUUAAGUAACAACUACGUGGGCAUAUUUGUUGGAGUAAAUUACAGGGGAGCGAAGGGGUGGAAAUAUUGCUGGUCACAACGGAUUGGACGAGCGUGGGGGGAGGAGAGUCAUGCAUGUAGAUUUUUUCACACUGGGUGGAGUGGUGGGACCGCCGGAGGGAGAAGGAGAGUUUGGCAGGCAUAUUGUUUCCACACAUGGAGAGGAAAAGAUUUGGAGACGAACGGGCUUCCUGCAGGUAUGGGGAACGGUGCAUAAUAAGUCAUCUUGCAUGCCGGGCUAGGUAUAGUCUCAAGUCAUUGAAAACAUACACGCCCCACACAUGUUCAUAUUUCAAGGUGCACUAAAUUAUUGCAUGCGAUGAUUAAGGCUGGCCAUAAUGGUGGUAUCUUAGCUGGUAUCAUGCACACGGGAAUAGCAAACAUGCUGAUGUGGCAAAGAAUUAAAGAAGAGAGGGGGGUUAGAGUAACUAGUGUUCAUGCAUGCAUUGGUAAACACAUUUUUUUGUGAAGAACGACAGCACUAGUUGAGUACUUUUGCAGACUUCAAAAACUAUUCCACCGCCUCUACUAUCUUGCUAAGAGUAGGUGAAAUUUUUGAAUCGAGCCCUUUAAACUCGAAGGGAGGUAGUGGUACUCUAAGGCUGGUCACAGUGGGGAGUAACUUAGACUAGUAACAUGCAUAUGUUACUAGUCUAUGUUACGACCUCUAUAGUGCAUAGUAUCAUAGGUGGUCUCAUUUAUUGCCAUGCAUGACACAUAGUAGCAUCACAUUUAUUAUGUUACGAUAUCUACCUAUGUUAGUAUAACCAUCUCUCUCUUCUUUAAUUGCCUACCACAUUAGCAUGUUUGCGAGUCCCAAGUGCAUGAUACUACUUAUGUUACCCUCACUAUGGCCAGCCUAAUAGCUAACCUUGUUGUGAUGACAAGAUAGGACAUGGCACGCACCUGGACGGAGGAACUAGUCUGCAUUGUGCAUUUAAGUUUUGUCUGAAGUCAAUGUACCUCUACUUUCACCAGACUUAUAGAAAAAUGUGUCAACAUUCACAAUGUCAAAUCAAUAUUUUUACACUCAUUAUAAAACGUAGUUCUUAUACUCAUUAUAAUCAGUAUUGUAGAUAUUGAUAUUUUUAGUAUAAAUUUGGUCGUGGGAUUUCAUUGAUGCCUGUCAAAGCGUGGAGGAAGCGGAUCUUAGGGCUUGCAUUGCCGGUCUCUACAUAGGUAUUUCUCUUCAUAAUCCUGUAAUUUUAGAGACUGAUUGCGCUUUUGUGGUAGCGUCUCUUCAAUCGGGGGACUACGACAGGUCUGCUAUGCGUGACCUGAAGAUGAAAGCGUUGAGCAUCUCAAAGUUGAUCAACAAUCUUCAAUUGUCAAAGAUUAGCCGUUCGGCCAAUAAGGUGGCACACUUAAUCACUAAGUAUAGCUUUGACAAUAGAUUAGAUGGUAUUCUUGUAAAUAACGUACCGCCCUGUGUGGUGAAUAUUGUAUCGAAUGAGUGUACUGUUGUGGCUGGUUAAUUAAUAUAAGGUGGUGUUAAAAAAAAGUAUAAAUUUGGUCAAACACUUUGCAAACGGUUGAUGGGAGUAAAAAGGACCAGAGGGAGUAUCAUGCAUGCGGAGUAGGCAAAAAAUUGCUUGUCUAAAAGAAGGCAAAAAAAUUGCUCAUUUAUAGCCGGUCAAAGUCUCAAAGGGCGCGACCACGCGAGGGAGGCGAAGGUCGUGGGAGGCGCGACGUUUGACGGAAUUAAGUGAAGUUACAUCCACGCGCCGGCAUGGCGUGCGAAUAGGCAGAAGCUAUACCGUCAGGCCUACGAUAUGGGUCUAGUAGACAUGACAUCUAGUGGGUCCCGCAUAGUUCUCGAGAACUCUUUGGGGGCUUGCAGCCGUUUAUCCACCGGGCAAGCCAGCAACCCCACGCCGUUCGCACGCCCUACUCGUCCCCGUCUUCUACCUUACAACAGUUCACUCCCAGUCGUCCCGUCCUUUCACAUUAGUUUGCUCCCAGUUUUUUUUUUCCGGGGUACAACAGUUCAACUUCUCCUAACCCUCCUCCAAAAUCCAUGGCCUCCCAAAUCUCCAUGGUCGCCGCUGAGUACCAGGUUAGAGCCAUCACCGGCGAUCAGUUCAUCGUCAUCUACACACGUGGAUCCGAGACGGUGAAAGCAAAGCUUGCUCGCUUCCUACGCAUGUUCAACAGUUCAACGGAUGAGUGGGUCGCUGGGCUAGAUGUUGAGUACACCACAGUCCUGGGACGAGAGAAGGAUCUAAAGGACGAAGAGAGGAAGAAGCCCGUCGUGAUCCAGGUUUGCGUACAUAACGUUUGCUUGGUCUACCACAUAUGCCAUGCCGACGUUGAGUGCCAGGAUUUUAAGAACUUCCUCAAGGACAAAAGAGUGAAAUUCGUUACUAUAGGCUUUAAGAACGACAGGGAUGUCCUGCGUCGGAUAGGUCUCGUUGUAGGCUAGCCCUUAGAUCUCCAGAAGGCAAGCCUGGUGUCCUCCUCUCAACCUUCAAUGCUGACCCUAGCAGCAGCCAUGAUUGAUCCUUCGUACGCUAAACUGAAGAAACCUCAUCACGAGUUUCAUCAUGCAUGGGAGCCGAAGACAUUAGAUGAAGAUCACAUCCUGUACGCAGCAAUGGAUGCCUACCUUUGUUUAAAUAUCUACAAGGGUUGGAUGAAGAAGCAGAGCCCAGUGUCCGGUUCAAGCAAAGAAGCGUCGGUGAAGAGGAAGAGGAAGAGGGACGAGGACGAAGUCGAGGACGUGGACUCGGACUCCGAGUAGGUGGCAGUGCCGUCGCUCAUGCUGGUUCUACUGCAGUGUCAAGCGGACUAGUUGCUUAGUUUAUUUUCAAGGGUGUGUUGUGCUGAGGCCCCAGCAGAACUAUGUUUAUGUUCUUUCUCGUUAUUUGAACUCUUUAGUACGUACAGUAGUACUAGUACUAUGUCUUACUACUGUUCUUCUUGCAGUUGGUACUACUGCUCGUAUCUUCGUGUUCCUACUGUACUUAAUACGUUCGUACUAGUAGUAUAAUUUGGGUCAGUCGAUUUGUGAAAGAAGUUCGACGAAGCGAAAGAAGAAGACGGCAGAAGAGGUGCAAGAAGCCCUUCUAGCCAUCCAUGUUGCAUCAAACGGCUCACAUGAGUCGACUGACCCAAAUUGCUCCUUCAGAUUGCAGGAUCCACGUGGCAUUCAAGGUCUCGAAGGUAGAUUCCACGUCCGCACCCGGUUUGCAGCCUCGACGCGCGCGCAACCGGCUUCCGCCGCAACAGCCACCAUGCGCGCCUCCUCCGCGCGGGCGGAGACGACAAUGACACGCUAGUUCCUCCUCGCCGGCGUGCUGGAGCACGCGCUCGUCCUCCUCUUCGUACGCUGCGUGCAUAGACGCGGCUCCACCAGCUGCUCGCGUGCUUGGCAGCGCGGCGGCAUCACGAGGAGGGACUGCAGACGACGUGAGCGGGCGAGCCUUCGGCUUCAUGGCACAGGGAUGGCGGCGACACGGCGGUGAUGGGCGAGAAAUUGUUGGCCGGAGCAGGCGGGCGCCGGCAUGCGUAACGGCGGCGGCGGCAUAUUGAUGAGUGCGCAUGUGGGAGCUUACUUUAGUUUUAUAUAUAAGGUUUGUCAAACUUAAAAGAAAACCGUACUAGUACACGUAAACAUUAGACUUAGUCAGCGCUUUUAUUAGUUAGUACCACAGCCACGAUACGGAAUCCUGUGCAAGCGCGUGAACCGCGGCCGCGCAGUCGAUCGAACGGUGCGUCACCAUGUCGCGCUCGAAGGACAUCCACCGAACCUUUUUGUGUGUGUGAAAACAAUCCUCGAAUAUUACUCAACUUUUUUUCCUGUGAAAGUUCUUGACGCUGCAAUAUUUCCAUAUAUUUGAAUUUAGCUCCAGUUCGUGUUUAUUUGGAUUUGGACGUUUUAGGUGCGCCCUGGUUUUUUAUAAUACUGAUUUUGUGUGUGUGACUGAGAGAGAACGUGUGUAUGUGUCCAUAUGUGUGUUGUGGCGAAAGGGCAAUGUGGAGAUGGUGCGCGUGUGAUACAGACAUAGAGAGGUGUGGAUGUGCAAAUGAUCAUGCAUGAGUGAGACAUAGACAGAUGCCGAUACGUUGUGUAUACAUGAGAGAACGGUCUUCUAGUUUACUUGUGUGUGUGUGUGUGAGAGAGAGAGAGAGAGGGGGGGGGGAGAGAGAGACAGAGAGAGGAGCAUCCGUAACACAACAACCAUCUCUCUCGAUUCGUCCGUCCCUCGCACGGUCGCAUGCAACACAUGCAUCAACGCGCACAUUUUGACACCCUCACCCGGCCCCUGCCCACCUCAAGGCCCGCACAAUCUCUUUGUGAAUACCCAUUUCUCUCCUUAGGUUUCUUUUCUCUCAAUAUCUGACGUACACACAGAGAGAGAGAGAGACACACGCAGCACAACACACACACACACACACUCCCCCGAGCACGCAAUUCAUCCCCAUCCAAGGUUAUACGGCGACCACUCUCGCUUGUGCUUCUUUGCACCCCAACAUGCACAACACCUCAAUCUUCAAAGAGGGCAUCGAGCAGAUCGAAGACGGCAACCACACUGCGCUAGAGAAUGCGGGGUCAUUUGGAAGCAGGGUGAUGUGACAACGGCUGACUGACUCCUCCCCCCACCCUCUCUCUCUCUCUCUUGCACAAAAUUACCAAUCCCUCUCUCCCCCGCACAAAAUUGUCAAUCCCUCAACCCACGAGAUCCUUCCCCUCUUGUCCAUGUUUUUCCAGCUCUCUCAUCAAACAUGUUGUCUCUUCUCCUUCCACGUAUACAGAAUCCAGAUGCACACGCAUCUCAUGUAUAUUACAUGUAUCCAUCUUUCUCACUGACCUAACUUCUUCCUCUCUCUUUCUCUCUCUAUCUCUCUCUCUGUCUCGUUAGGUUUGUCUCCUACUCUCUCGUCCACAUACAUACAAUCUUUCCCGCCCUAUCUGCUCCAUCUUCAAAAGCUCUCUCUGCACAUUUCAUUCACACAUUGGGAUAUGUCAAAAUGUUGCUUCUAUAAUGGCUGAUGUAGAGUUAUGGUUGUUUUUGUUGCAUCCUACAAAGUAAUAACUAUGAAAUGCAUUUAGAUUCUCAUUUGACUGGGAUUAUGUGAGUUUGAGCAUGUUGUGAAGUACUAUAGACCUUGUAUACAUCUUGGGAUUCGACAAUGAUUGUAACUAUUGAAUUGUAUAGACCAUUACAUUCGAAGUCAAUAGCCUAAUAUAUUUAUUUCACAAUUUCAACAAAUGAUUAGUUCACUACAAACUAAGAAAACAAAUGUGUACUCCCUCAGUUUUUAUUUAAGUCCGCGUAUUAGCAUUGGUCAAAGUCAAGUUUUGUAAACUCUCAGAAAGCUUAUAACAAAAAAUAUUAACAUAUACAAUAACAAAUAAAUACCAUUAGAUUCAUUAUUGAAUGUACUUUCACAUCAUACAUAUAUUUAUGGUAAAUGUUUAUAUUUUUCUAUAAACUUGGUCAAACUUUAGGAAGUUUGACUUCGGUCAAACCUAAUAUGCAGAGUUUACUACUACUACUCGCUAGUUGCUUAGCCAAAUCACUCAACACGCCACACGGGGAGUCCAGUGUCACAAAAUUUUGAGGUCGGCGGGAAAAUCUCCCGCGACCCUGAUUCGAGCAGUGGGAAGUUACCAUCAUAGCCUUCGGAACAGGCCUACGGAUGACGCUUGGUAGGGGGCUGUUUUCGUAACUUCAGGUUCACCCUACCCAGCCAACCCCACCCUGGCACCCAGAGUAGUACACCUGAAUACUCCCCAUUUUCUAUCCCCACCGCAAAAUAGACUUCUCCACGGCACCGCAGCCUUCGUGCUCCUCCCCUUUACAUCAGCGCACUCGUCCACCGUAGCGCAUCUCCCUCAUCGACGACCUCGUACGCCGCACUGGAGCCGGUCCACCGUCGUUGUCGUACACGGAGCCUCUUCCCCAGCAUCGUCUUCCCCGGUCUCGGAUCUGCUUCCCGGAAGUCGAUGCCAAGCGCGGAAGUACCACCAUCGUGGACAAUGAACUGACUCCCGUUGCCGACCAUGACUCAUAGAGGCCGCCGCGACCAUCGUUCUCCACCUCGAUUGGUAAUGUGUGUAUUGAAUCACUUAGCAGUACAUGUGCAGCUCCAAUUUUGUUCAUACCUACCCUUCAAAUUUCCUGGGUGCUGUUGUUCCCGUAAAAGUAAUUGGUUAUAGCCUCCAUUGUCCAACAGAAUAUCAGCUUGUAAUUGUGCGUCGCUCCUGUAUCGCGCUAGUAGAGAAGAGAGUAGAGAUAACACAGACGUCGGGAAAGGAUCGCGCGCGCGGGAAAAAGCGGCCGGGCGUGCGCUAGUUUUGGCACGCGGCGUCCGGCGCGCUUCAUAAAAUCCAACGCCCUCCCACCGCUCUGUGCCUUGCCACCGCUCUCUCCCCGCUCUGUGCCUCGCCACCGCUCUCUCCCCGCUCUUUUUCGCCUCGCCGCCACCGCGCCACCAUGUCUUCGCGUCGCCGGGAAACUUGGGGAUACCGCGGCGUCCGCGCGUGCCCCUCCGGCGGCUUCUCCGCCGAGAUCCGGUUCCGCGGGAUGCGCCUCGGCCUCGGCAAUUUCGACACCGCCAACGAGGCCGCCCGCGCGUACGACGCAGCGAUGUGGCGCCUCCGGUGGCCUCAUAGAACAUUGAACUUCCCCAACGUGCCGACGCAGGAGUGGGCGCAGGAGCUCGCGCCUCUGCCACGGCUUAGGGCGCUGUGGCGCCAACACUUCCCGCAGGACAUCAUCAACGAGCGCGAGUUCUACGCACAAAGGAGGGCGGAGAGGGAUAAGAGGAGGGCGGAGCGAGCCGCCUAUCGCGAGGACAAGCGUAGGCGAAAAGCGGACGCUCAAUUCAACAUGAGGCUAGGAGCAGCGUCGCCCUGGGAAUCCGACGAUGAUCGGUAUCUUCACGCCUACAGUCAGACGUCGGAGGAGGACAUCAUCGAGGAGGAGUCGGACGAUGAGGAGUAGUUGAAUUAUCUUUUUUUAUCUAUCUAUGCUGAGAACUAUCCUCUACUCUCUAGUAUCUACUUCUCGAUCUCAGCACUGUAAACGCUUUUUUAAAGCGCCGCGCGUUGCGAUUCUGUUGGAGAUGCUCUAACAUGGCAGAUGAGUGCUUUAAUGUUGCCCACAAGAUGCGCGAGUAUUACUAGUAGUAUAUUUUUCUUGCCAUGUUGAGAUUUUAAAACCACGAGUGCGAACAUGCAGAGGAGCAAUGAAGACCAAACACGGGAUAUUCGGGACAUCUUCAAGGAGCGUGGCAAGUUAAAGAGGAGCUGCACCGAACCUGUAAAAUGAGCUUUGGUAAGUAACACCCUUUCAAUUACUUUCGUGUAACCUCGUGUUCUUCGAUGUGUAUAUGUUGUAGUUUCUGUUUCUCUUAAGCGUGGUGUUCUUCGAUGUGUAAUAAGAAGAGUCUUAAUCGUCCUAAUGCUUUCGUUUUUAGCUUGAUGUAGGAAGUGGGUAUUCUCACCUUGUAGUCUUUUUUUAUUUUUAUUUUCCUUUUGAAUUCACUUCUCCGAGUGCUGUUUAUCUGGCUUCUACUAAAUGGAUCUAGGUUGCUCUGAGUAUUGAUCUAAAAAAGAAGUAACUUCAUGUCAGGAUGCAGUUCUUGCGAGGAGGGAAGUAUGGUCAACCUCGAGAUCAUGUUUCCAAAAUGAGGCUGGAUUACACACAAGGUGCUAGUUCCCUAAUGAUGCUGGAUUAGACACAAGGUGCAAAUUCCCAGAUGAUGCUGGAUUACACACAAGCCAGGUGGAGUCGUCAGCUGUUCGUGUCCUCGUGGCAUUAGUAAAGGCUGAAAGAAAGCGUGCAGCAGCCCUUGAGAAUGUAGCUGAGUUCCUGAAGAAGCGAAAAGAGCAAUCAGAUGCUCUCUUCACCCAAGCCAAAGAAGAGAUGGAAGAAGCCAGAAAUAAGCUAGCAGAGGUAGACCAGGCUAGGCGUCUCCUGCUAUCUAAAACUGUUGUCAAUACAAAAUUUCCUUCAUAAUAGCUAGGUUCAAAUGUUUAUCCAGUCAGCAUGCCUGUUGUGAUGUUCGUGCAUCUACUGAUGUGGCACAAAAUGUUUUUUUCGGGUCAUGUAAUAACAGCAAUUACUUUCCAAACAAUAACAGACGAAGCAUUGGACAUGGUAUAGUUCACGCGCAAGCCCAACAUUCCAGGUUCAACUUCCACAUCAAACUCAUGUUGACAGAUAUCUGCACAUUCAUACAUAAUGUCCACAACCAUGAUUCACUUCAAAGCCAAAAAAAUGUGAGCAGAGUUAUAAAUGAAGAAAAUCCUCUACUAGUUCCUGCUACUAGUGCGAGCACAACAAGUCAAGACCAUGCGUAAAUUAAUUAUAUUUUAGUCAUUUUUUGUGUUCUAAAAUGCCUGCCGGCUCGCGGAAGGACGUGUUGCCGGCACACGCGUGGAUUCAAUGAAGGCAGGCGGGGCAGUCUUAAGAUGGUUGCACGCGGCGAGGAGGCGUGCUCAGCCGGACCUGCAGCGAGUGCGGCCCUCUUGGCCGGUGCGCCGGUUCAAUGCCUGCGCUAGGAGAGGUCGCGUCCGUGUCAGAGCAAUCACUCCCUCCAGUCCUUUUUUUUGGGUAUAACAAAAUCUCGUUUUCCAUUCACAUUUUACAAGUAAAAUUCGUGGACAAACUUUGACCCAAAGUACGAUGGGGACUAGUAAACAAGAAUGGAGGUAGUAGUUUUUUUUAAUCAAAGAAGGGUUUCCCCUUCCGAUUUUCAUUACUGAAAACCAGCAUCUAAAUCUAAACCAUAGUAUUUGCCCUAGAACUACCAGGUUCAACAUCUCGCAACAUAAACCCAUACAACCUCCAUCGCAAAAAAAAACAUACGCCAAGGAGGUACGUAGUACUAUGAAUUCCAUUUUCGCUCCAUACCAAUCGUUCUAAAACUACUUACUACUUAUAACGCGCCAUUGAAAAUCGGAACUCUUAACCCCGCUAAAAAAUGAUAUUUUAAACGUGGCUACUCGAUCUGUGGCAACUGGCGAGCCACCGCGCUCCAAGUCGUUCACCUGUGGUCCCGACCAUCAACCCCUACGGAUCAAAUUAUCACGCGAGCUGACUAUUCCUACAAAGGUGCUCCACCACGUAACCGGUCCCCGUGAAUGCAGCAAUCGUGCACCUAGGGUUUUAGGGUUUAUUUGUUAACGUUGCCUUUAUGUAACACUCAUGUGUGCGAGACAGCGAGAGGCCGACUGCGUGCGUGCGCCUCUUCUCUUCGUAUAUGUACUCCACCGUUUGUCUGGUGUCCAAAAAAUUAUAAUAACUACUAGCAAUGUGCCAAUGCGUUGCCACACGAUCAAAGUAGAUUAAUACAUAUUCACUGAUUUGAUAGAAAAAAAGUCUAGUUUUGAAAUACGUAUAUCACUAAAAAUAUGUUAUGUUUCACUCAAAAUAUAUUCCUUUGGCGGUUUUGAUGAGAUAAGGGAGGAAUGUUGUUGGUUUCAAGAUUCGAGAAGUGGUAUAUGUCUAAUUUCUACUCUUACUAGCAAGAUGCCCGUGCGUUGCACGGAACAUCAAGAUCUUGUGGGAGAAAAGGAUGAACGAGGGAAGGCCUUAUCUGCAAAUGUGGUGAAGAGUGCGGGUAAAUUGCCAUAUUUUCCUUCCUAUCCGUCAGAUAUAAAUCGGACGACCUACAUAUUUUUCAUCCCUACUCUUAUAAAAAGCAUUGUCGGUGAUGAUCGUGUGCCUGCCAUCCUGCAAUAUAGGCCGUCCGAUCUAUAUCUGACGGAUAGGAAGGAAACUAUGGCAAUUUUGCAAAAAGAUACCCACACCCCUCUCCACAUUUGCAAAUAAGGCCUUCCCUCGUUCAUCCUUUUCCCUCACAAGAUAAACUACUCAUACAAAUGCAUCUUGAUGUUCCGUGCAACGCAUGGGCAUCUUGGUAGUUGUUGCAAAAAGCUCAUGUGUGUGUGAGAGAGAGGGAGAGUGGAGGAGGACGGAGUGCAUGUGUGACAAAGACAUAAGGAGUGUGUGUGCGAUAGGUAUCAGCUUAAAAUGAGGCGAUAGUGUGUGUGUGCACGAUCGAGAGGGCGUGUCUCAAGAAGGGAAGAAAAAUCUACAUAGAUACAAGGAGCGGGAGAGAGACAUGUAUGCGAUGGUGGAAGCACGAGUGUGCGGGUGUAUAAACCUAUCUAGAGGCUAGCUAGUCGAUAAAUGUUUGUGAGAGAAAUACGAGUCGGGUGCGAAAGCGAGAGUUUUGUGUGUGUGAGAGAGAGACGGUAGUCGGGAAGGGGAGUGGAAGCAGGAGUUGUGUGUGUGUGUCUGUGAGAGAGAGAGAGGAGACGGUAGUCGGGGUUGUCUGAUCGGUAAACAAAUGAAUAAUGUCAGUCUGGGAUGGAGACGAAAAGGAGACCGCAACAAAUGUUGUGUCUACAGGAGAGAGAGAGAGAGAGUAAUUUUAGUGGUAUGAGUCAUAUGUAGAGACAUAUAGGGUGUGUGAGAGAAUCCCAUAGAGAGAAAGACAAAGUGAAAGACGAGUGGAGACUGUGUGUGUGGUGGUGAAAAAGAAAGCUUAGGUACCGAGUGAUACCAGAGAACAGUAGAGACAUGAGAAUAAUGAAAACCGUGUAAUGUAUAAUGAUAGGGAGAGUGUGACACUUCUCAAGGGAGAUGUCGAGAGACCAUGUUUGUGAGGAUACGAGAAACAUGAAGUGAGCGUGCGGGUGAGCUGGAGAAAAGAGAGUUAUAGCUACCUGAAGGAGCAUGCAUGCGAGAGAGAUGGACGUAAAAGGAGUGAACAAAAAAGGGAUUCAAAUAUUUGAAUUCGAGAUGAUGAUACAUGUAAUCCAUACUCGAACCAAAAUUGAUCUAUCAAACAUGCAUACUCAUAUGAAUUCACGCACAUCUAUGUUAUUUAAUAUGUAGAUAUUACUGAUCCAUACAUUUUAGUAGAACAUAAUUUGGUUAAAUUUUUUCGAAUUCAACCUUAAGAUUUCGAGAUCGUUGUAUUUGUAAAUCAUAUUAUACAUAUAAAGGAGCAUAAUUCUUUGUUGUGCUUUUGAAAGUAUAUAUAAAAAAAUGAUGUAUAUAGAAUGUAAUUCCAAUUGAAAAUGGAUCCCGCCCGAAAAAAAAUAGAAUACAAACGGGAUUCGAAUUGAGUUGGCAUGGUAAACGUGCACUCUGCAAAAUUUGAACGAAGCGGGGAAAGUCGCAGUAACCGCCCGAAACCAAAAUCUGCGAGAUGGAAAUCACUACUGCCUAUCCCUGCCACACAAAGCGAGAUGGAUUUCUAUAGGUUUCGAUAGGGGUAGGUUUGUAAUUUCACCCAAACGUGACGUAACCGCCUCUCACCCGGAUUCAUACACGGUGGGCGCCAAAACACAGUGUGUCCUCGGCCGAAAUCGACUCCCUCCCCGAUUCAUAUUCGUACACGGUGGGCGCCAAAAACAAACUCUCGUCGGCAAAUAUUCGGUGUAUGCGAGAUUACCGUCCUAUCCCCAACCGACUAAUGUUGCUGUGAUGUAGUAGAAAUUUGAAACGGGGGCUAAGUUUGUAAAUUUCCUCGCAUUUGAGACAAGCGUGCCCUGAAUACAUGGUUCCCCCCUUCCUCUCUACCUCCCUUUUCCCCAUUCGUACUCCGUGGGCGCCAAAACACCCUCUCCACCCCACCCUCCUCCGUCCGCCGCCGUCCGCCACCCCAUCCACCGCCGUCCUCCUCCACCAUGUCGGAGCUGAUACCCCGACGCCGCCAUCCAUUACAAGAGAUCGACCUCUCUCAUCCACGGCUUUAGACCAGGAUCCUUGCAUCCCGUCCUCUCGCUUCAUCCCCGCCGUCGUCCAGCUUGCCGGCGCAACUCCUACGACCGUCUCGUCCACCGCGCCCCGCCGCCACCGUCUACCCUCCUAGAUCUGCUUCCACGCCACCGACAGCCAUCGCUACCGCAGCACCGUCAAAUUCUCAGCAGAUGUGUACACGGCGCCGCACCAGAGGCGGUACUCUUUCGUAUCUGCUCAACUUAUUUAUCGCAGCAAGAAAAUAGAUCGCCACUGCUUUACUCUGAUUUCUUGUCUUGGUUGCGAAGUUGCCUUUGUCCGGUUUGCACCUUCAGAUCCGCCAUGGCACGCUCAACACUAUACUCCCAAUGCUUAUGGUUUUCCCCUUUUAUAUUCCACACUAGUUAAAUCACAGUAGAGUAAAUUUCAAAUUUGGGUCAGUCGAUUUUUCAGAGCUCGCCGGAGUUCGCCGGUGCGAUCGAAGGGGCUCGGGUGGUUGUGGGGCCUCGCCGAACGAAGAAAACUUGACGCGGGUGGGGAUUGGGGCGGGGGUGGGGGUGGCGGAGGAACACAGGAGGUGGGGGCCGGUGGUCCGGCCGGGGGCCCGUGUGGUGUUCUGUAUGGGAAGAAUCAGAGACGAGGAAGAAGAAGGGUUAGGAGACGUAGGAUCUUCAUCCAACCGCCUGAAAUGGUCGAGAGACAGCUGGGAGUUGCAUUCUUAAUGUGCUCUGGUUCAUCAUGUGUGGGCACUGCGCAACCAACAUUUUAUUAUCCAAAAUCUGCUUGCUCUUCUUUACCAUGUUCCUCUUCCGUUCUUCUUUAAUAUGUACUCUCUCCGUUCCUAAAUACAAGUCUUUGUAUAGAUUCCACCAUGGACUACAUAUGGAGCAAAAUGAGUGAAUCUACACUCUAAAAUGUAUCUGGAUACAUCUGUAUGUGAUCCAUAGUGGAAAUCUCUACCAAGACUUAUAUUUUGGAACGGAGGGAGUAUGAUAGUAGUACAGUAUGUUCCUUGUACUGAAGAUGAGCAGGGACAUUUGCAGUGUAGAGGUCUAUAUGGUCGGUUGUGAUGGACACUUUGAGCCUCUUUGAUUCGUAGGAUCUUGUAAACAUAGGAAUAGGAUUUGUAGUGGCCUGCCCACUUUCAUCCUAUAAGAAUAGCAAGGAAAUGCGGGGAGCUGUGUCGCCUUUGAGAGUUACACUGAUAUUAACAGUACCGCACCUUCACUUGAAGAGAGCUAGUAUCCGAAGCCUUUCUAGCCGUACCGGCAAUACUAGCACAUAUAUUCCAGCAAGUUCCACUUUGCUGAUUUUACUCUGAUGCUUAAGGUUUUCCCGUUAUAUCUACACUAUGAUCUGUGUAGCUGCUUUGUGUCGCACUAGCAGCAGUCCACUCUUGAAGUAAACACUGCAAUGACUUACAAAAUUGGCACCAAGGCAUUGAGUGCCAUUCUGGAUGCAAUGAAACUCAUACGCUCCCCACCUGUUGAUUCUUGUUCAGAAUAUGAUCCUAAUGACUAUUCUAACCUCGAGGAGUCAAAGGCAGAUGGCCUGUCCUGUUCACCCAUCAAGGUGCCUGUUCUAAUUUGGCAAUGUUUUAUUGAUUGCGGGUAUCUUGCAUAUGUUGUCUUGCAUUUCUUCUACUUUGUUGCACCGCCAUCUGCUUAGUUUACUCAUCAUAUAUGUCGAGAUGCCAUGCCCAUCCAUUAUCAAUACAUAUUCCAUCUGUCAUCAUACCAUGUUUUUCCACUCAAAUGAUGUUCUUGUGCAUCAGACAUCAAAAAGGAAGAGGGUGAUUGCCGAACCUGAAGGAGCACCAGCAAAGUCCUUGAAAAACGUGGUGGUGCCAGAGAAAUCAGACAGCACCCCACUUAUAUUGGCUGUACAACCAGUGACACAAAAUGUAGGACCGACUCCAGCAGACUGUACCCAUACUUCACUGGCCACACCACUAGCCCCACCACACAGGACCUGCACUCCGGCAAAAGGUAUACCGAUUUCAUUUGCCAUAGCACCAGCUGUACCAUAGAAAAAUCCCACUCCAGCAAAAAGUACAGCAAGUCCACCGGCCGAAGACCUAUCCCAACUGCAGAGAUGGCCAAUUCCUGCAGAUUGGAACCCCAUUCCAUUUAUUCCCAGUUUAAAAGACAAUGCUUUCAAUGUUGUUAGGGACUACGUACAUAUAUUCCCAUCAUGGGAAGAUUAUUGUGAAGACAAACACCAUUUUCACAUCUUCCUGUCCAACUUACGUGUAAGUGCUAUUAUUCAUGGUUAUUAUUUUCCUGUUUUCUGCUGAUUGAACACAUCAAUGAUUUACAUUACAUUGUUGUAACUAGGCGAGGGUCAAUCUGGAUAGUCAUGACGAUCAAAGCUUGCUUGUGCUUUUCAAGGAAGCAUUGCAGCAGUAUCGGUGUUACCUGAGGAAAUCACACUUUGAUGGCAAGUCUAUAAACGAAUUUUGGUGAAGUCUCCUGUGCUAAAUUUAGAAGACAUUGAAUGGAAAAACCUUGUUAUGCACUGGUCUCGUUCCCAGGAUGAGGUACUGUCUAUGAAAUCACAUGACAAUUUGAACUUCUACUUUUCCGCAUGUGCCUUAUGAAUCUUUUUUGGAGGAAAUCUGCUCGAAGAAGAAUUCCGGUUUGACAAGAACGACAGGAUAUCGCAAAUAUGCUGCCCGCUGCUUUGCUCUUGUUAGUACCUGUUGUCCUGUAUCACUGUACUUGCAUAGAUACCUGGUUUAUUAUGUGACAGCAGUAUGCAUGAUAGCUUGCUUAUCAAUUGUUCGCUCCAAAUUAUCUGAUAUGUAUGAAUGGUUACAUUAGUGUAGAAUAUAUCCAAUGCCAAUGUUUUUUUAGCUCUGCAUUGUUCUUGUAAGUACAUGUUGUCCUUUAUCAGUGUACUUAUAAUGACAGGUAGUUGUUCAUGUACCAUCACUCUGCAGCUUAUUUUCCUUUGCCCUCCAUUUUCUACACAUCAGAUCUAUAUUUACUCUUACCAUAAGGUUGGUACUGAAGAAGUUUAGCUGUGCAUUGCUCUUGGCUGUACCUUUUGCCUGUAUUGCUGCACUUACAUUUAUAGCUACUUGGUUAUGUAGCAUCACUCUUCAUCUUAUCUUAAAUAUUCUCCAUUUUUUCGUAUAUUAUCACAUCUAUAUUUAUUCUUAACAAAAUGUAGAAUAAAGGCAAUGCUUUUGAAGAAGAUUCUGUGGUAAACUUCUUGAAUUGCCCCCCCCCCAUCAGCAUGGACAAGGCCUUUAUAGAGCCUGUCUUCACCAAUAAUGUAAGUUUGUCCAUCUCAAGCCUUCAAACUUUGUUGUAUAUAUUUGGUUAGGCAUGACUGCAACAACUGUUUAUUUUUUGUGUUUGCAUCAAAUUGCUUGUUUAAAGUUUAUUAUGUAGUUCAUAAACAAAAGUUUGUCCUUUCUCAAUUUAAGUUUUCAGUUGUACAACCAAGUUCCUUCUUCAUACCAUGUAAAUUAAACUAUACAGAGCAAGUGAUCUUCUUUUGCACUGCAUGUAUGCUUCUGUUCUUCAUCUGUAAUCCAGUGGUGUGGUGAACCUACCCACUACAGCACAAUGUCAUAUUCUACAAUGUCUUAACUAUGAACAAUGUCAUAUCAUUCUACUAUUAUUUAAACUGUCUCUUUAUUUGCCAAUCUGAAAUGGUAUAAAUUGACAACACACUAACCAUUGAUACUUAUGAGUUCUUGAUCUGUAAUCCAGUGGUGUCGUGAAGCUGCCAACUCCUUCGCAAUGUCAUUUCCUGCCAUGUCUUGACCUGAACAAUACCAUAUUGUGUCAAUGCAAUUUUAAACUGUGUCACUUUAUUCGUCGGUAAGAAAUGUGAUAAAUUGUCAGCACUGAUACUUUUAUGUGCAAAACCUGUCAUCUGUCUGCUUGUUUAUCUUUCAGAGUGAGGAAGAUAUAAGUGUUGAACAAGCGCAGUCUCAUCAUCUUGCUCAGCUGCUUGCGCUGCAGCUCCCCAGCAGGGCUAACCUUUCUUGAACUCUAUUAAAGUGCUGUCGGUUUUGUAUAUUAUUUUGUCGGCGUGUUUAUUUGCACUGGUGGCGAUCUUUGAUGCCCAGUGUAUGUAAUCUGCUGUCUGCUUGUGCUUUAUUAUCAUAGUGGCGAACUUUGAUGCCUAGUGGAUGUAAUAUGCCAUAAUUUCUUUAUUGUAUAGUCUAGGUUUUUUCUAAUUCACGAUGCUACAGUUAUUUUACUGUAUAUAUAUCCUGUCUUCGCAGUAAACCGGCCAAACCGUAAAAUUACGGUACAUAAUCGGGUCGUCAUGCAAUCACGAUGUAGGUUGGGCCUGAAACGUGCCGAACAGCUCACGGGCCGGCAGCAGCCCGAAAUGAACCCCGGCCCAUGAUUGUGCGAAUCAAAUCACGGGCUUUUAACAUGCCAAAAUUGUCUCGAUCCUUGUUUGGCCCAAUCAGAUAUCGGCUGCGAGCAGGCCGGAUGCAAACCGGGCCGUAGUUAGGCCCAACUAUAUGACGGGCUUUUAACAUGCCGAAAUUAACAUAGGGCCGAAAUGUUAAAUUGGCCCUUAACAGGCCAAAACUAAUAUCAGACCGAAUUACUAAGUGGGCCUUUAGCAAGUGGGCCCAAAAGCAUAGUGUCCAGUUGACGGGCCGAAUCUGACAUGGGCCAUAAUUGAGCCCAAAGCCUCUUAAAGGGCCGGACCUUAUCUGGGCCGUAAUUUGGCCCAGAACGUGGUAGGCUUUUAACGGGCCGGAUCUCAUAUGGGCCACUAUUAGGCCCGGAGCGUGGCAGGCCAUUAAUGGACUAGAUCAAAUAUGGGCCGGCAUUUGGCCCAAAACAUGGCAGCCAGUUAAUGGGCCGGCCUACUAGGGUCCUCAAAAUCUUGUGGGCCUACAGCUGGGUCGGCCCAUUAAUGUCGGCGAAAUCUCGUGGGCCUUUAGCUGGGCCGGCCCAUUAUGAUCCGCAAGAAUCUUGUGGGCCUUUACCUGGGCCAGCCCAUUAUGGCACACAAAAAUCUUGUGGGCCUUUACCUGGGCCGGCCCAUUAUGGCCCGCAAAAUCUAUUGGGCCUUUAGCUGGGCCAGCCCAUUAUGGUCCGCAAAAUCUCGUGGGCCUUUAGCUGGGUCGGCCCAUUAUGGUCCCAAAAUCUUGUGGGCCUUCAGUUGGGCCGGCCCAUUUAAACUUGAUGGGCCGGUCCACGUGUCAACAUAUUUAGGUGCGUCUCGCCCAUUGGAUGAGUGACACCUGUGCCAACGUGGACCUGACACGUGUCUCCUCCAGCCAAUGAUGAUUUUACACGUGGAAAAUCCCCAUUGGUCAGGGCUGUUAGCGGGUUACCGGAUCCAAAACCCGACCUGAUAGCUUAACAGCGUUCCGUUACGGUGGAUGCCACGUGUCGGUCACCCUUGACGAAAGCACUUCUGUGAUGCGCGAUUUAUCGUCAUGGAAGUGGACACUUCCGUGAUGAUAAUUUUGGUAAUGUCAUGGAACACUUCUACAACAGCACAGGUAUGACUAUCUUGAUUCUGUCAUAAAUUUGUCAUGGAUGUACAUGCAUGACAAAAAACGCGACCUACUGUGACAAACACGUAUCAUCACGGAAGUAUAUUUUUUUUGUAGUGAGGAGUGGCUCUCCCUACGUUCCCUCGCCCCCUCCUCUGCAUGAAGGGGCGGAAAGGCUGUCUCCAACAUCUCCGGCGGGCGGGGUUAAGUCUCCGCUCCCAGGUCAGGGGCUGGGUUGGGGGCUCGGCACGGGAUCUUCUGCAUCCUUCCCCACCGAAGCCGAGCCCUCUACGCCCUCCAGCGACCCGAGGCGCCGGAGCCUCUUCCGGGAAUGAUGGAUGAGGGUCUCCGUCUCCUCUUCCACUUCCCUGCCGGCAACAACAAGAACAAGAGGUUAGACGGCAAAAGCAUUCAAAUCUGCUUAGGAAGAUAACUACCACAAAGAAAAAUCCUCCUUACUCUUCCGCGAUGAGCAUGGAGGUCAAGUUGAACUCCACGGGAGGAGGGGACUCCCACCCUCUCUUUAGAGACGGAAGGGUAGAGCUCCCCGACAGCUUCGGUGCCUGCCGUGACAUCAAGGGCUUCGGGGAAGAUGAGCUCUGCGAAGAACUCGAGUCGGGGCAGGGGCUGGACUCCUCCUCCGUGGCCACCGGCCGUUUGGCGGAAGGUGCCUUAGCCUGAGCGAGGCGAGGGGAUUGGUGACACGCCACCUCGCCCUUGGUAGCCUUGAUGGAGAUCUUCUUCACCUUCUUGGUGGGUGGCACCGAGUUGGAGGUCGCCGCUCUCCGAGCCGCGGCACGCCUACAGGUACGCCGAUCUGGGUCCGGUGCGGGGGAUUGUGGUCCUUCCGCAAGCCAUUCCUCUUCAGGGCCGCUACCGCGCUCCCCUCCCUCUCCACCUCCUCUCCCUCCUGGAGCUCCUUUGCUGCCGUGGCUAGAGCGUUUAGCCCGGUGAAGUUACCCCCGACAAGCUCUUCCCCGGCAGUAUCUUUUGUGGCUUGCGCCUCGCUGCCGCCCUGGGAAGAGCUCCCGUUCCUAGCCUUCCCUUUGCCUUUCCCGGCCUUUGCGGCUUUCUCCAUUUCUGCGCGGCGGGCAUCUUUGUCCUCUGUGACUCUCUUCAGAAUAUACGCUACCUCCGCAGCAGAGGUGCGUUUAUACAUUCCAUCUUCGGCCCUGGUGGCCUUCUCCACCAAAGUACUCGGCCACUGGAGCUCUUCGUCAAGAGAAGGGAGCUGCCAAGUGCCCGAUACUCCUUCAGCGUUGCAAUCUGGCAUCCACUUCAGUAUUUGAUACCGGGCAGAGUUGAUGUUUAGGGGAACGACGGUUGCCGGGAGCUUGAACAACUCGAAGCGACCGAAUAGUUGGCCGCACAACCAAGCAUGGCCAUAAACUGACAAGUUAUUGGCCAGCCCCAGCAGCAGCCUCAUCCUAUCCGCAACGCCGCCAUACAGCCACUCGGGCCUGUCCCUUUCCUGCAGCGGUGAGAUGCGGCGAAGGAGGAAAUCUGCCCCCACAUGCUCGAUGGCUAACCCGGCAGCCGCCAGGUGGGUGAUCCUAUUAAUUGCCGUGCGCAACCUGUCCUCAGUAAGGCCCUUGGCGCUCCAAUCCUUGCCGCGCUCGACGCACUCCUGUCGCGCUUCGCAAAACUCGGGGGCUUCCUUGUCCUGGAUCCAACACCAGUCCCCUCUCCAUUCGUCCCACCUCUCGCGCUGGUAUCCAAGGAGAUAAUCCCAGAUCUUCCUUGCUACGCGCGGCAUCCAAGUGAUGAUCCCAGUGCGGUUAACUCUGCUCUCCACCCGCGGGACGAAGUAAUGCCGGAAUAGAUCCACAUUGGGCUUCACCCCGACGAAAUUCUCACACAAAUCCGCGAAGAUGGCCAUGGUCGCCAUUGCAUUUGGCGUGAAAUCGAGGAGGUGAAAUCCAUAGAUGUUCAUGAUUGCCUCAAAGAACUCAUAAAAGGGAGGGCACAGAUCGCAGAUGAAAUAAGCGGCAAAGAACCGAUAAGAAUCGGGGGGAUUCACCUCACCCGCUUCGUAGACCAUGGGCGCCCCGUGCCCUUUCUCAACAGGCCGCCCCCACAGAUACCCGUACUUCGCCUGAAGGACGGGGCCGCUCAAGUUGGACGGAACGAAGACGACGUCCUCACUCCGCUUCUUGUUCAGCUUCGCCGACCUUUUGUUCCCCUCGGCGGCGGUCUCCUUCACCGCAGUCGUCGACUUCUUCUUGUCCGCUGGUAUCUUCCCCAUUUCUGCGGCAACACGAGAAGGAUUCCUUGGAGAGGAUGGCGACGGAAGGAGAAGCGAGAAGGGGAACUCUCGCUUGGUGCUACCUCUUGAGCACUGCGUUGGUUUUCCCUUGAAGAGGAAAGGGUGAUGCAGCACAGUAGCGUAAGUAUUUCCCUCAGUUUUUGAGAACCAAGGUAUCAAUCCAGUAGGAGGCUACGCGCGAGUCCCUCGCACCUACACAAAACAAAUAAAUCCUCGCAACCAACGUGAUAAGGGGUUGUCAAUCCCUACACGGUCACUUACGAGAGUGAGAUCUGAUAGAUAUGAUAGGAUAAUAUUUUUGGUAUUUUUAUGAUAAAGAUGCAAAGUACAAUAAAAGCAAAGUAAAAAAGCAACAGAAAUAACUAAGUGUUGGAAGAAUAAUAUGAUGAAGAUAGACCCGGGGGCCAUAGGUUUCACUAGUGGCUUCUCUCAAGAGCAUAAGUAUUUUACGGUGGGUGAACAAAUUACUGUUGAGCAAUUGACAGAAUUGAGCAUAGUUAUAAGAAUAUCUAGGUAUGAUCAUGUAUAUAGGCAUCACGUCCAAGACAAGUAGACCGACUCUUGCCUGCAUCUACUACUAUUACUCCACACAUUGACCGCUAUCCAGCAUGCAUCUAGAGUAUUAAGUUCAUAAGAACAGAGUAACGCCUUAAGCAAGAUGACAUGAUGUAGAGGGAUAAAUUCAUGCAAUAUGAUAGAAAAAACCCCAUCUUGUUAUCCUCGAUGGCAACAAUACAAUACAUGCCUUGCUGCCCCUACUGUCACUGGGAAAGGACACCGCAAGAUUGAACCCAAAGCUAAGCACUUCUCCCAUUGCAAGAAAGAUCAAUCUAGUAGGCCAAACCAAACUGAUAAUUCGAAGAGACUUGCAAAGAUAACCAAUCAUACAUAAAAGAAUUCAGAAAAUUCAAAUAUUGUUCAUAGAUAAACUUGAUCAUAAACCCACAAUUCAUCGGUCUCAACAAACACACCGCAAAAGAAGAUUACAUCGAAUAGAUCUCCACGAGAGAGGGGGAGAACAUUGUAUUGAGAUCCAAAAAGAGAGAAGAAGCCAUCUAGCUACUAACUAUGGACCCGAAGGUCUGAGGUAAACUACUCACACUUCAUCGGAGAGGCUAUGGUGUUGAUGUAGAAGCCCUCCGUGAUGGAUGCCCCCUCCGGCGGAGCUCCGGAACAGGCCCCAAGAUGGGAUCUCGUGGGUACAGAAGGUUGCGGCGGUGGAAUUAGGUUUUUGGCUCCGUAUCUGAUCGUUUGGGGGUACGUAGGUAUAUAUAGGAGGAAGGAGUACGUCGGUGGAGCAACAUGGGGCCCACGAGGGUGGAGGGCGCGCCUAGGGGGGUAGGCGCGCACCUACCUCAUGGCUUCCUGCUUUGUUUCUUGACAUAUGGUCCAAGUCUUCUGGAUCAUGUUCGUUCCGAAAAUCACGUUCCCGAAGGUUUCAUUCCAUUUGGACUCCGUUUGAUAUUCUUUUUCUGCGAAACUCUGAAAUAGGCAAAAACAGCAAUUCUGGGCUGGGCCUCCGGUUAGUAGGUUAGUCCCAAAAAUAAUAUAAAAGUGAAUAAUAAAGCCCAAUAAUGUCCAAAACAGAAGAUAAUAUAGCAUGGAGCAAUCAAAAAUUAUAGAUACGUUGGAGACGUAUCACUUGGCUUGCGGAGGAAGAAGAUGGGGGAGCGGGGCGAGAGAUAGGUGAAUCGUGCCGCUCCGACUUACCCUGCUCUUAAGAGGGGGGAAAGUGGGACAGAGGCGCGACGCUUCAGAAAGUUACCGUUUUACCAUAACUGCAACCGUCCACGACCCCACUACGCACAGUAAUUGCGCAAAGAGGACGUUGGAUUGACUGGUCGCCGUAGCAAAACGGCGUGCGCAGCCCUCCCCUGCCACGUGUCCGCGCACUGUUUGGGGCUCAACCCAACGUGCCACGCGACACGUAUGGCUCACGCCCGGGGGCUUAUGUCGGGGAAAAUAUACAGGGGUAUGCAUUUUUUCCCCUGACUCAGUGCACGCACAAGCCAAGGCAAGGCAGAAUACAAGAAAUCAAGAGAUCCAGAGGAACCCGCACGCAGUCCAGAGAGACCAAGAUCGAGCAAGACAUCGGCAAGAGAAGGGCCUCCCUUGCCGGGCAGAUGAGCCCGGCAAGGGGCGAGGCCACCACCAGGAGCAAGCAAUCAAGGCUCCCCGGCAGAGCCUGCCGGGGCUCGCGGGGGCAGAACCACCCCACCACCCACUCAAACACGACUCACGUCGUCGAUAAGUGCGGUGCCAAGCCGCAAGGUGAUUAAGUGGCAGCCAUUCGCCACAUGGCAGCCAUUUCCUACAGAAGAAACCUGCAGAUGACACCCGUCCUGCAUGUGUCAAGGGAACAGAUGCGGAGCUGGCAAGAUAGCCCGACAAGCCUUGCCGGGCGACCAGUGAUGUGACACCAAGCGGCACAUUUAAUGCACCCCUGUCAGCCCGCAGAGUUAGGUAUGAUAGCACUAUUCACUAUCAUAUCAGUGGAUAAUGACCACUUUGCCACUGUGGUGACCCCUUAAUCUAUAAAAGGAGGCCCAUGGCACUCGUAGGGGGGGUUGGAAAGUUGAUGAACCCAAGCCACCAUACACGCGUAGUCGCUGCGGCCCCUAGGCAAACCCUGCCGGGAAAAUGUACUACGCGUCACCACACUCAUUCCACCAUCAAUCCACUAAAGCAGGAGUAGGGUCUUACGCCUUGCGGCGGCCCGAACCUGGGUAAAUUGCUUGUGUGCUCUCUGUCGUGCUGCCGCACGCUGAUCUGCUCUUUGUGCAAUGUGACGUCCCCCUGCUGAACCAGCAAGGGGUCACCCGGUCCCAUAGGUGGCCGCGGAUAUCCCGCGACACCACUGUAGUGCAGAGCAGAGUUAGCGCCAUUCAAGUCCAUUAUUGAAUGUGUGGAUAUUACCAAAUGAUGUAUGUCUCAUUUUCAUAUUAAAGUGUGGCUUUUAUUGCAAAAAAAACUUGGGGCAAAGCCGAGGAGAUGGAUUGCAAGGGGGAAGUGCAGAUGUUUCAAUAGAUUAAAUUUUGUAAGAAAAGUAGUGUGUAUACUCUCUCUGUGAUUUAACUUUGAUCACCAACUUAAUCUAUAAUAUAUAUGUUGUGUGUCAUAAAAUUAUACCAUUGGAGUUUUUUGUAAUACGAAUUUGAUGAUAAAUUUUGUGACAUGUAAGCGACAUUUUGUUGAUCAAAGUGCAUGAGUGAUGCGUGGCCGAUAGGUAAAUUGUGACAGUGAGAGUAGUAUUUAUUUGCCUAAGUUGGGUGGAGAAGAGACCUCUUUAGUGUAUCCUAGAGUGCAUGGCGAAAUUGAAGGCAAGUCAAUUUUUGUCUUUGUCAUUAUCACGGAGUAGAAGGCAUGAGUUCCCCAGAUUUAGUCAUGGUAAGUAUGUCCACCUCAAAUUUGAAUAGGAUUUUGUCUUAACAGUAGUCAUGAUUUUGUCUUAACAGUAAUACACAGUGAUGUUUGUUGCAAAGAAAUCAUAAACGGCAAGCGACAUGUUGUGAGUUAAAAUGAUUCUUUUAUCAGUGUAUCAUGGCAACGCACGGACAUGCAGAUGUAUGUACAUGGCAACAUUUAUUUCCGCUUGGUAUUCCAACGAGCAUAGACUGGUAAAUUAAUAUAUUUUAUUAUCAUAACAUUCAAAAUACAGGCAUUUAUUUUUGUUAUCACUAUAUUCAAGAUAAAAUUAAUUUAGGAAAUAGCAGGGAUGUGUCGGGCUAUAUAUUUUUUAUGCUCUGGUGGAACGGUAAAGAAUUGGUUUGUCUGGUUUGUAUGAUGAGUAAUCCCCAUUACAUAUUUGAAGAUCUUUGACGUGAGGUACUUGUGCUAACUACAUAUAUUGCUUGUAAACAACAUUUAUGAUAUUGUGCAAGAAUUUCUUAAGCACAUCAUGUAUAUCUUAAUUUGUAACAGAUUUUUAGUUGGAUAAUCGGUCUAUAUGUAUACAUCUUCAGAUUGCCUAUUUGUUAUCAAUUUACGUUGCAAAUAAAGUGUACCUCAAUUAUAACCCGAUUGUGUUCGUGCUAUCUUUUCUCUAACAUGUGAAAUUUAGCAUGCAUUAUGUUUAUAUAACUCCAGCAAAAUACUAUUUCAAAAGCCCGUGGCAACACACGGGCAUUCUAUUGGUAUAAAUAAAAACAAAGAAAACGUAACAAGAUGAUAAUAAAAUAAACAAAAAUACAACAAGAAAACGAAAAACCGAAGAAACCCAGUUUGAUCGAACGUACAACAAUUUUUUUAGGGUUUUUCUAGGACACAUCUAGAUGUGACAUAAUUAUAUUACAUCUAACCUUGUGUUCAUUGUGUUUAUGGUUUAAUUUUUUUUCCAGCUUUUGUUUUUUGUUCCGUGUUGCUGUGUUAUUUGUGGGAGUUUAGAUGUGACAUCCUUAGAAAACAUUUAGAGUUAGCAGCGACUACCGCUAAAUGGGCUAUGCCCGCUACUGUGUCGCCCGUAGGUGAUUCCUAAUUCUUUUUUUGAGACAAAAGGUGAUUCCUAAUUAGGAGCUAGCAGCUGUCGGUAGAGACCAAACGGGCCUGAUUCGUCUCCUGGCCUGGUGCUGGCACAGCCAAUUCCGCCUCCCCUUUUGGACCUUGGUGAUUCCUAUUGUGAUCCCGCCUCCUUUGGCGCCGCGGCGACUAUAUUUCCUCCCUUGGCGCCAGUUGAUUCAAACACAUAUUCGUAGUGUAUUUGAGAAGAUAGAGCGGGGUCUCCUACCCGAGCAACCACUUUUUGAAGCAGCAGCAGAAGGGGAACAGGGAGGGAGAGAGACAGAGAGGGGUUUCGUCGUACCAUGGGGCUGAUGGGGCUGAACCGGCUCAUGUCCACGCAGCGGAAGCGGAAGCAGAGGCGGAAUCGUUGCCGUAUCCAAGCCCUCGGUAAUCCCCGCGACAUAGCUUCUUCGGCCCCUCUGCUAUUAUUCGUCUAUUUGUGUGCCUUGCUGCUAUGAAAAAAAAUCUCCUUUUUUAGCCCUCUCCUCACUCUGGAUCUUACCAGCUGAUGGGAUCCAGUUUUAUUAUAGGGCACUGAUAGGCGCCGGCGCACCGGCCCAACUUUGGGCCGGUCAGGCCUGAGCCGUUCGAUCUGGCCUGCCGCAUUCGUCCGAUUCUCGCAUCUUCCCCUCGCUUCGUCUUUUCCUCUGGUCAACGCUCCCAAGAAAAACGUCCCCGUCCCAGCCAAACUUCCUUCCUGAAGUUGCGCGUGCGCUCCUUGACGAGCUUGCCGCUCCCCUCGACACUCCUUGCAACACCCCCGUCCCCACCCCCAUCCCUGCUUUGAAAAACUGGACGCGCCGGCUCCCCACGGCCGCAACACCGGCGGUCACGGGUCUAGCAAAACCGGUGGCCGACGAGUUACAAAACGGUGAGUUUUUUCAAAGCUGGAACCGGCGAUUUAAAAUGAUGCAACCAGCUGAAACGAAAGUUGCAACCGGCGAUUCAAAUAGCUACUAGCGGUGAUAAAAAAUGCAAACAAACUAAUCAGAAGCUGGAACCGGCGAUUCAAAAAGCUGGAACCGGCGAUUAUAAAAGUUGCAAUCGGCUGAUGAAAAAGCUACAACCGAUGAUUUGAAACUGGUACCGAAGAUCCAAAAAGCUACAACCGGCUGAUAAAAAAGCUACAACCGGUGAUUUGGGAAGCUGGAGCCGAUGAUUUCAAGAAAAGAUGCAACACAAGCGAUUUAAAUAAAAAAACUGAAACGCGAUUUAGAAGGAUGCAACCCGUUAAGCAGAUUGCUACUACCGGCAAUUAAAAAAGCUACAACCGUGUGGGCAAUUUGAUAGCCGAAUCCAUCCCUGGGGAGAGUGGAUCUCACCGCCCCCCGCCGCUCGCAAAUUCCGCCGGCAUGCGUGCGGCGUCGUCCCCGCCACGCGCAACACCACGUCUCCUGCUCCUACCGCGCGGCUCCUGACCCCCAGCAACAACCAGCGGCAGCGCACGCAGCCACCCCCUGUUGCAUCCAGAAGACAAAAAAGCUUGCAGGAGUGGAUUGGCAGCGCCACCGUAGCAGAUCAGCCCCUCGAAUUGAUGAAGCAGGUCAGCGGCGUGGAGCUACGGGAGAGGAGGAGGCCUUGGCGGAAGCAACGCAGUAGCUUGGAGCAGCCAUGCCCGUGAGAGAUUGAGAGUAAUGGUGGGGGAGAAACACGGAAGGAAAGGAUAAGGAGAGGAGAGAUAUUUUCUGAGUAGAGCGGCGCUGUGUAUCGUAUGAUUGUACGCCAACGUGCGGCUCACGAGCGACCGGCCGGGUGUUUCAGCCGGCGCGCCGUCCCCAAACAUUUACCUUUAUACUAUAGGAUUUGACGAAACUUGGGGGCAAUUGCGUCGCUUUGCUAAAAAAAAACUUGUUCUCAGUUGGAGUUUGUUUUUCAGAUUCGCACAAUUUUUGGUGCCUUGUACUAGAUUGUAGAUCUCGCUCGUGUUCCUGCAAAAGAAAAAUUGGAUAAAGGGUCCAACCAUUUUUUCCUAUAAAAAAGGCAACUUUUUUUUAGCCAUGUCCGCACCGGGGAUCUCAGUAGCUGAUGAUAUCCAGGUUUAUUGCAUUGAAGGAAAUUUGCGGGAUUUGGGGUGCAGUUGCGUCGUUUUGCUAACAUACUCGGAGCUGAUUUUCAGAUCGUCCCAAUUUGAGUCUUGUAGAUUGAACUCUCCUCGCUGGGAACUCAAGUUUCAGGUUUAUUAAAUUGAAGGAAAUUUAUGGAGCUUGGGGUGCAAUUCCAUCUAGGUUUACAUAGUUAUGGUUCGUUUAUAUUAACACCUACUCCCUCCGUUCCUAAAUAGUAUAAAGAUUCCAAUAGAGACUACAUAAAGAGCAAAAUGAGUGAAUCUACACUCUGAAUAUGUCUAUAAACAUCUGUAUGUAGUGCGUAUUGCAAUCUCUAGAAAGAUUUAUAUUUAGGAACGGAGGGAGUAAAUGAUAACAUAAAAUAGAACUUAUUUCUCCAUUAGUAGAGCUGACUAGUAACUUUGCUAAAGUACCUGUGCUCGGUUGGACUUUGAUUUUCAGAUUGUGAGUCUUGAAGAUUUUUGACCUCGUUCGUGUUCCUGCAGAGAAUCGGACAAAGGCUCCAACUUCACGUGUGCUUGGACUCGUUAAUAAUAACCAUAAAACUUAUGCGUUGCAGAUGGAUGGAGUGCUGCUUCAUCGGUAUCUAAAGCAGACAGCCCACUCUGCCGACAUGAUGUUAGUUCCCAUGGUGGCAAAGAAGCAAGAUAUCUGGAUCCAGUCCUUCCAGAGGCAUGUUCUGGUAUUGGUGCGAGGCUUCCUAUCAGUAGAAUAGCUGCAAGCUUUGCUUUGUUCUGCUGCAGUUAACUCCAGCAGAAAAACUGUUUAACAGAUUUUAUUACGGACUAGAUUUUUUGAACUUGUUUAUUAGUGACUAGAUCUACUAGAACUCUUUUCUGUGUGAGUUGUGUCAUUUGUUUUAUUUUGCCAUGAACUCUGAAUUUAACAUUGUUUUUCCUUGUGUUUAUAUGCCUACAAGAACAUUUUGCAACCUGUUCCCAAACUAGGCUGAAUCUUGCUGAUUAUGGCAUCCUUUCCCAGCUUUUACCUCUCUACUUUUGCACGCAGCAAGUUUGGUGUCGUAUAUAUUCAUUACUACAGAUGCAAGACGCUGCCUGUGCCGCCUGUGUUUCUCGCUCCUUCCUAGGCUACUGGAGAUGCUACCCCAAUCUCACCUUCACCAAUGAAACAAUGUGCCCUAAAGAAAAUCUAAAGACAGCGGGAUCAAAUGUUAUAAGAGACUACAACAACCAAAUCGACCGUGUUCUGACGAACCGCUCGAGCGCUGAUGGUGUGGCGAAACUCAAGCUUGACUACCAUGUUCCUCCUGAUGGCGCUGAAUCGUAUCAUCGUCUUGAUAGCUGGCUCCAGAUGGCUGUUACGCCGAGGACCAAAGAACUCGAGCUUCUAGUAUGGUCGAAAGAGGCGAGCUUUGAUUUCCCAUGCAUACUACUAUCUGACAUGUGUGGGGGCUCGAUUCAGAAGCUUUUGCUUUUCAAAUGCGCCUUGCGUCCCACAUCUCAACUUGGUUUGAGAAGCCUCAGAACACUGCAUCUGCGUGAUGUGCGUGUCACAGGGGAGGAAUUAGGGUGCCUUCUGUCCAGUUCCAUUGCUUUGGAGCACCUGAAGCUUGUAUACUGCGAUGAUAUAGUUCGCCUGGAGAUACCUUGCCUGUUGCAGAGGCUUAGCUUCCUGGAGGUGGCUGGAUGCAUGAAUCUUCAAGUGAUAGAGAACAAAGCUCCAAAUCUCUCCCAAUUUUAACUUGGAGCAGGUGAACGGGUGCAAGUCUCAUUUGGAGAGUCGAAAGUGAAGAAAGUGGAGUUGGUGCAGAGCCGUGCCAUCAGUUAUGCUACUGACAACCUUCCUUCACGUGUGCCGAAUCUCGAGACUCUUACCAUAUGUUCUACUUGUGAGGUAUGGUCUUACUCUUAAGUUGGCAAACAUCCAUGUAAAGGUAGCCAAGUGUUGGAAUAGUUGACCUGGGACAUCUUUAUGCAGAUAGUCAAUUCUCCAAUGGCAUCCGGCAAAUUCCUCCACCUCAAGUUCUUGAGUAUUCUUCUUAUGAGUGGAUCUAAUUUUGACAAGGACUACGAUUAUUUAUCGUUGGUUCCUGUUUUCCAAGCAUCUCCUUCCCUGGAGACAUUUCGCUUGUUUGUAAGUUCGCCGUUCACCCUUUCCUCUAAAAAGGGGGAAAAAGCCACUGCAUCCUGCAAUGACUAUCUGCUAACCAUGUUUGGAUCAUCAAUUUAAAUACCUUGGCUUUUGAUCUUCAGGUAUGGGAACACUCCAUGUAUCACUGGUUUGAGGGAGAUCCUGCCUCUCUUAGGCGACUGCCACAACACUGCCAUGGGAACCUCAAGAGUGUGAAGAUCAUUGGUUUCUUCCCCCAAAAGAGAAUGAUUGAGCUGGCAUGCCAUCUUCUCGAGAAUGCAACAUCACUUGAGUCCCUUACAGUGGAUGCUAGUCCUGCUAAUUACCGGUGUUCUGGCAAGGGCAGGAAAUGCUGUCCCCUGAAAGCUACAGCUAUAGUGAAGGCACGUAAAUCAAUCUUGGCUGUGAAAAAAUACAUCAAGGGGAAUGUUCCCUCUACAGUCAAGUUAAAUGUUCCGAAGCCUUGCCAACGAUGCCAUCGCUUUUAGUAAUUCAGGUGUCAAAUCACUGUAGCUAUCCGGUACUAUUGAAUGGUGAUAUGUUUUAGUUGUCUUGUGUAAGGAUGGCAAUUUUACCCAUGGGUACAGGUACCCGCGGAUACCGUACCCGCAUGGGUAGGGUAUGGGCACAAUUUUAUACCCACGGGUAGUACCCAUACCCUACCUAUUAAGCCGUGGGUAGGGCACGGGUAUAGCCUUUUACCCAUGGAUAUACUCAUAUCCUACCCGUUUAUACUAAAAUGUGAACCUUACCCGUGAUAACUAUGUCAAAGUUGUGUCAUGAGCUUGUGAACCUAUGUUAAAGUUGUCACCAAUUGUCAAUUUGAAUUGAUAUAAUUGUCAUGUACUCAACUAUCUAUUCUUGAGUUGAGAUCAAUGUUUUUGUGUCAAAUGUGUUAUAAAUGAAUGUAAAAUUAUGAAUAACUUGUGUGCCAUUUGGUCUACCCGUUGGGUACCCAAUAGGUAUGGGUGCCCGUCGGGUAUGGGUACGGGUAAAGUUUCAUACCCAUGGGUACGGGUAUGGAUAUAAUUUUGUACCCAUUGGCUACACAGGUAUGGGUAUGGUAUUGCUCUACCCGCCCCAUACCCUGCCCAUUGCCAUCCUUAGUCUUGUGCUAUGUUACAUUCAAGUCACCAGAGCUGCUUAGGAGUCUGUGAUAUUACCUUCCUGAUAACUUUGUUUACCAGACUGUCCAAUGUACUUAAUAUUACUGCUAUCCAUUAAAUAUUGUUGUGAACUUGUAUUGUAUACAUUUAUAUUUGCCAUACUUUCUAUAUCUUCGAAUGGUAAUAGUGUAAUACACACUUCAUCUUUGCCUUGACCUGUAUGCUACUGCAAGUGUGAACAUUUGUAGCAGUCACGUUUCUGCCUGACUGGACAUACAAGAGAAGUAAACAAGACAGAUGAAGUGAUGCAAAUAAGUGUUAAACAUAUGCAUCAAGGUAGAGCACCGUCCUUUCUAAAAAAAGGUAAAACAUCUUUGUUUGUAUAUAUAUAUCAGUUUAAAUGUGCAAAGGCCCUAGGGUUCCCCAGACGCCACCCUUUUGGCGUGCCUCGGCAAAAGGAACACUUCUCCCCACCUUUCAUUAUUAAUCUUCUCAUGGAGAAUUAUGUGCUGGACUGAAAAAUGGGAGUUCUGAACCUGCUAUACUGCAGUCGACACCUGCUUCGGUUUGCUGUACCGAACUGUAGUCUUGCAUUGUGUUUCUGAAAGUUCUGGUGCCAAGACACUGGUUGAUUUGAUGUACCGAACUAUAUUCUGCCCUGCGAUUUCUUAAAGUUCUAAUAAUGCCAAGACCAAUGCAAUGUAUGAUGUAGCAGUUCAUACUAGGCUUAUAAGAUGCUGACAUUUGGAGCUAAUUUGAAUUCCAUGUGUACAUGGCCUGCUAUCUCGUAUGUUGCACUUCUGAAACUGUUUAACUGUUUUUGAUUUCCUAUGGUGGCAAACAAGCCAGAUAUCCGGGCCCAGACCUUCCAGAGGUAUGUUCUCAGCAGAAUAGCUAAAUAGAAAAUUGUUACAACAUUCCUGUUUAUGUCAUUCUUGUUCCUAACCUUGGCUGAAUCUUGCUGAUUAUAACAUCCUAUCCCAGCUUUUACCUCUCUAUUUCUUAUGAUGUUCUUCUCUACUUGUGCACGCGUGCAGGAAAUUUGGUGUCGUAUACAUUUCCUACUGCCAAUGCAAGUCGCUGCCCGUGCCGCCUGUGUUUCUCGCUCCUUCCUACACUCCUGGAGAUGCCAUCCCAAUCUCACCUUCACCAACGAAACGAUGUGCCCCAAAGAAGAUUUAAAAGGAGCGGGAUUGUGACGCCCGGAUAAUUAUGCUAUAGUAAUCCCACGUUAAUGAUGCCACGUCACCAUGGUUACUGUUGUUAAUCUCGUGUUAGUUCAAAAUCGAUUCGAAAUUCAAACUUAAAAUAAAGUCAAACGGUAAAGAUUUUCAAAUAUUAAAACUGAAAUGUUGGGGUGUUGCCAAAUAAUGCAUAGGUAAUUAUUGUGGAGAAACCACACUUUUAUAAAAUGUUUAAAGGCUCUAAAGUAAUUAAAACAGCAGCUAUGACAAUUAAUUAAAUGCCUUUAAAAAAUAAUAAUAAUGCAACCUAUUUAAUUAGGUGUCAAACUUUUUGGGGCAGUAGAAUAAAUUAUAACAUUAAUUUAGGAGUUGUAUUUAUAUUUUAUAAAACAGGAAUUAAAAGAAUAAAAUAGAAAAGAAAAUAUAUAAAGAAAAGAAAACAGAAAAAAAAGAGAACGCAACCCCCCCCAAUUGGGCCUCGGCCCAGCAGGCUAUCAGGCCGCCAGGCCGGCCCAACCGCGCCCUCAACUAACCUCCCUUGGGUGCCCGAAACCCUAGCGACACCCCACUCCCCCCCUCACGCGAUCCCCUCUCCCCACNNNNNNNNNNNNNNNNNNNNNNNNNNNNNNNNNNNNNNNNNNNNNNNNNNNNNNNNNNNNNNNNNNNNNNNNNNNNNNNNNNNNNNNNNNNNNNNNNNNNNNNNNNNNNNNNNNNNNNNNNNNNNNNNNNNNNNNNNNNNNNNNNNNNNNNNNNNNNNNNNNNNNNNNNNNNNNNNNNNNNNNNNNNNNNNNNNNNNNNNNNNNNNNNNNNNNNNNNNNNNNNNNNNNNNNNNNNNNNNNNNNNNNNNNNNNNNNNNNNNNNNNNNNNNNNNNNNNNNNNNNNNNNNNNNNNNNNNNNNNNNNNNNNNNNNNNNNNNNNNNNNNNNNNNNNNNNNNNNNNNNNNNNNNNNNNNNNNNNNNNNNNNNNNNNNNNNNNNNNNNNNNNNNNNNNNNNNNNNNNNNNNNNNNNNNNNNNNNNNNNNNNNNNNNNNNNNNNNNNNNNNNNNNNNNNNNNNNNNNNNNNNNNNNNNNNNNNNNNNNNNNNNNNNNNNNNNNNNNNNNNNNNNNNNNNNNNNNNNNNNNNNNNNNNNNNNNNNNNNNNNNNNNNNNNNNNNNNNNNNNNNNNNNNNNNNNNNNNNNNNNNNNNNNNNNNNNNNNNNNNNNNNNNNNNNNNNNNNNNNNNNNNNNNNNNNNNNNNNNNNNNNNNNNNNNNNNNNNNNNNNNNNNNNNNNNNNNNNNNNNNNNNNNNNNNNNNNNNNNNNNNNNNNNNNNNNNNNNNNNNNNNNNNNNNNNNNNNNNNNNNNNNNNNNNNNNNNNNNNNNNNNNNNNNNNNNNNNNCUCAGCGCCGCUGCCGCCCUCACGCGCCGGCUCCGCCCCACUGCCCCGCGGCGACACUCGAGGCCGCUAACGGCCACGCCCGCGCGCCCUGUCGGGCUGCGCCCGCCCCGUAGCACGCGCCCGUUAGCCCGAUUGGCCACAUGGGCCUAUGACAGUGGGCCCACGCCCUGAGAACGAAAAAAAAUUAAAACAAAUAAUAAAAAUAAAUUUAAUUAAUUAAUUAACUAAAUUAAAUCUUGUUUAAAUUAAUCUAAUUUAAUUAAUUAGUUUAAUUAAUAGUUAAUUAAUUAGUUAACCCUAAUUACCCUAAACAGUCUAUGACAUGUGGGACCCACGUGUCAGAUGACUACUGACGUCAGCGUGAUGUCAUGCUAAUGUCAUCGCAACACUGUUUCGGAUAAUGUAUAUAUUAAAUAAUUAAAUAAAUUCCAGAAAUUAAUAAAUUCUUUUAAAAUCAAUAUAAAAUAAACCGUUGCUCAGAUGAAAAAACUUUGUACAUGAAAAUUGCUCAAAACGACGAGACGAAUCCGAAUACGCAGUCCGUUCGUCCGCCACGCGUCCCUACUAUAGUGAACCUGCAACAUUUCACCUCCGGUCCAUCUGUCCGAAAAUGUGAAACACCGGGGAUACUUUCCCGGAUGUUUCACCCCUUCGCCGGUAUCACCUAUUCCUACGUUAGGUCACCCCUAGCACAACGUAUCGCCGCGUCUUGCUUUGUGUUACAUUUGAUUGCUCUAUUAUUUAUUGUGUUCCCCCUCCGUUACUUCUUUCCGGUAGACUCCCAGACCGCUGCCGAUGUUCGUGUGUUCGACUACAUCAAAGACGACCCCUCCUUCUUGCCGGAGCAACCAGGCAAGCCCCCCCUUUUGAUCACCAGAUAUCGCCUAUUCUUCUCUAUACUGCUUGCAUUAGAGUAGUGUAGCAUGUUACUGCUUUCGGUUAAUCCUAUACUGAUGCAUAGCCUGUCCUUGUUGCUACAGUUGUUACCCUUACCUGCUAUCCUACUACUUAGUAUAGGAUGCUAGUGUUCCAUUAGUGGCCCUACACUCUUGUCCGUCUGCCAUGCUAUACUACUGGGCCGUGAUCACUUCGGGAGGUGAUCACGGGUAUAUACUAUAUACAAUUAUACAUGACACAUGUGGUGACUAAAGUCGGGUCGGCUCGUUGAGUACCCGCAAGUGAUUCUGAUGUGGGGCUGAAAGGACAGGUGGCUCCAUCCCGGUAGAGGUGGCCUGGGUUCCUGACGGCCCUCGACUGUUACUUUGUGGCGGAGCGACAGGGCAGGUUGAGACCACCUAGGAGAGAGGUGGGUCUGGCCCUGGUCGGCGUUCGCGGAUACUUAACACGCUUAACGAGAUCUUGGUAUUUGAUCUGAGUCUGGCCAUUUGGCCUAUACGCACUAACUAGCUACGCGGGAACAGUUAUGGGCACUCGACAUCGUGGUAUCAGCCGAAGCUCUUCUUGACGCCAGCGACGGAGCGGCGCGUGCCGGAUUGGACUGGAACGCCUGCUAGGCUAGGUCUGCUUCCGGCCGCCCUCGCAACGUGCAGGUGUGCAAUGGGCGAUGGGCCCAGACCCCUGCGCGCAUAGGAUUUAGACCGGCGUGCUGACCUCUCGGUUGAGCCUAGGUGGGGCUGCGACGUGUUGAUCUUCCGAGGCCGGGCAUGACCCAAAAAAGUGUGUCCGGCCAAAUGGGAUCGAGCGUGUUGGGUUAUGUGGUGCACCCCUGCAGGGAAGUUUAUCUAUUCGAAUAGCCGUGUCCCUCGGUAAAAGGACGACCCGGAGUUGUACCUUGACCUUAUGACAACUAGAACUGGAUACUUAAUAAAACACACCCUUCCAAGUGCCAGAUACAACCCGGUGAUCGCUCUCUAACAGGGCGAUGAGGAGGGGAUCGCCUGGUAGGAUUAUGCUAUGCGAUGCUACUUGGUGAACUUACCAUCUACUCUCUUCUACAUGCUGCAAGAUGGAGGUGGCCAGAAGCGUAGUCUUCGACAGGACUAGCUAUCCCCCCUUAUUCUGGCAUUCUGCCGUUCAGUCCAUUGAUAUGGCCCUUUACACAUAUACCCAUGCAUAUGUAGUGUAGCUCCUUGCUUGCGAGUACUUUGGAUGAGUACUCACGGUUGCUUUUCUCCCUCUUUUCCCCUUUCUAUACCUGAUUGUUGCAACCAGAUGCUGGAGUCCAGGAGCUAGAGAUCCCGAGGAUGAUUCUACAUGGAGUUCGGCUUCGAGGAGUAGUUAGGAGGUCCCAGGCAGGAGGCCUUGCCUUUUCGAUCGUUGCUACUUUUGUGCUAGCCUUCUUAAGGCAAACUUGUUUAACUUAUGUCUGUACUCAGAUAUUGUUGCUUCCGCUGACUCGUCUAUGAUCGAGCAAUUGUAUUUGAGCCCUCGAGGCCCCUGGCUUGUAUUAUGAUGCAUGUAUGACUUAUUUAUGUUGUAGAGUUGUGUUGUGAUAUCUUCCCGUGAGUCCCUGAUCUUGAUCGUACACAUUUGCGUGCAUGAUUAGUGUACGAUCAAAUUGGUGGCGUCACAACUUGGUAUCAGAGCCGACUGCCUGUAGGAAUCCCCCUUUCCAACUCCUUGGCCGAAGUCGAGUCUAUUCAUUGGAAAAGUUUUUUACUAACAUGGUUGUGUGUCUUACGGGCCCACGUCGCCAUUGGGUGGUACUAGGAUCUUUUACUCCUCGAACUUUACUCUGGGACUCUGAUCUCUCUCCUAUUCGGGUUAAAUGAAUUUUGCUAAAUCUAACAUUAGGAUCUCGUUAUCACUUUCACCCGGAGAGCCCCUUAUUACUGAUGAUCGUCUGCUGCACGUGAAGACCCUGAAGAUACUCUCCGCUGAUAACCCGAGAACUUGUGUUCAUCGCUUUUGCAAUUCCCUUUCAUCGAUAUACUCCUAUGGAUAACCACGUAUACUCGCCAUUCAUACAAUGUUUCCCAGUUGAUCUUGUUAUUACAAGAUACCCCGAAAUUCUCUCUGUUGUUCCGAGAAUCCUUUGAGCUUACUACCUUGCUGUUCUUUGUCACCUGAAUACCCCUGCGGAUAAUCCUCGCACUUACCGAGUAUCCGCUCAUCCCCAGUUGAUUCAAGUAUUUCACAAAAGUGUUCAAAAUAUCAUUCGAUCUUCCGAAAAUCUUCAGGAGCCUUUUUGCUCUUGAAAUUCUUGCUUACUUGCAUUAUGAUUAAUCUUAAGUCUCGUAAUCUUAUUGGCAUCUCUUGUCAUUAUCAUUUUGAGUCCGUAGAUUCAAUUUGUUGCGAAUGCUCGCAAUCCUCAAUCAGAUCCUAGAAUUCUUCCUUCUAGCUCAAACGUCAUUUUAAACAUGAGCUGGUAUCGACCAAUCAAAUUGCCAUCGAUUGUACCCCUAAGGCUAUUCAACUUAUCCAUCCUUAAUCAGAGCGUUUGCUUCUGAUCCCUUGAUUUGGAAAUCAUAAUUCCUUUGCAUUUGAGCUUUGAGUUAGCCAAUUGUUUCUAUAAUCUGAUCCCCUUGCAUUCUUUCUUCCUCUAGUUGAGUAUCGAUGCUCACAUCUGAUCCCUUGUGGACCACCAAAUCCUUUGUUAGAUUAUUAUCCGACAGUGCCCUCAUAUUUAAUCACCUUGUGAGUUCUUUCCCUGAUACAUAAUGCCUUUAGUAAAUUGUAUCCUCUCGUUUUGACACCCAUGCUCUACUAUCGAGCUUGAGUUAUUUACCCCUGAAGCUUGUGGUAUAUGUUUCCACGAUGCCCCAAUGGGUUGAACCUAUGCCUUUCAUAAUAUGUGUGAACUCGAAAGUUUUCAUGAGUCAUACUCUUCUGGUAUUUUGCCAGAUAAAAAUUUUCAACACUGCAACUUCAUCAAACGCGAGAAGUGAAUGGAAGGUUAUGCAUUGAAGAAGUGGGAGUCGACCUUGAACUUUGCGUUCAUGCCCAUGGACACGAUGUAGAUCUUAUCAUUAAAGCUUUUCUUAAAUUAAUUAUUCCCUUGGUAUAAGUUCAUCUUAUAUCUGGGAUCUGGCCUUUUGCAAUCGUGGUUCCGACCACGUUCUCCUUUAAACACCAUUUCUCGUGCAAGUUUAAGCACUUGACUUCUACAGAGCAAAACCCAAUCUAACCUCUACUUUGAUCUGUCGUCGAGUAUUACCCCCUGGUAUCUCGAGAUUAUCACGAGCAACAUAACUUCUUAUGAGUUCUUCAUCAACUAAUAUUCUUGCCGAUUCCAUUUUUCCAACGGGUUUUGAGUUGUUAGAACCCCUCAAGGACAUCGACAACUGAAUCGAGUCCGCACUGCGAUUCAACAACUCUUGGUAACCUUCAUUACUUACGAGUUUGAACUCGAUCACGUCAUUCCUAGCCUACUCGGCUACAUCAUUAUCGUGCUGAUUUUAACUGUGCUACCUGGUCCUUAAUCACGGAGCACAGCCUUCGACGAUGAGCUAAUCUUACGUCGAUCUUCCUCGUCAUAUCACUUCUCCUUGAACAGCAAACUUGAUUUCGAGUUUGUGUCCUACCCGUGGUUCCAAUAACCUUUCGCUUUCAUCAUUCCUUUGACUUGAUGUCAUCGUCGAUCAGUUACAUCUUCUUGAAAACCUCUCGACAAAUUUGUCGUGAUCAUUGUCAACAAUUUGACUUCUUCCAAGUUGUGUGUCGAAAUUCAGGAUGAGAAAUACCAUCCUUGCCCCUCGAUGAAUUGUGUUAUCAUCGACAACAUUCUUGCCUCCCCCCAACACAAACUUGUUCAUAUUUUGUGUUGUAUCUUGAUUUCCCUGCUAUCCAACUUAUGUUAAGUUCUACCACAGAGUAUUACCAUCUUUGAUGUCAAGACUGUUGUGAGGAUUGCUCCACCUCUUAAGAAUUCUUGCUAUAAUGAUACUUCUCACCAUCACCAUUCUUUCUUGGUCCUCGUGUUGAUUCCAACCGGGGUACCCACAAGUGGUUUGUGAUGUGUAAAUUCUAAACUUCUAGCAACCCUAUUGCUUUGAAGUUAUUGGUCUAUAGUUUCAUUCUACGUCUAUGGCUUAUUGAAUUAUCAUUCGAACAUUGAUUGUGCUGCCUAGCCCAUAUUUCGGGUGCACCAUCAACCAAUGUUCAAUCGUGUAUGUUUCCUCGAGCAUACCUCAUUAUAUCAUUUGGUCUGACAAAAGCUAUCUCCUUGUACACAUAAUUGUGGAAAUCCAUCUUUUGGAAAUCUCAAUGGAAUGUCGCUGAGUCCAUCAGCCACCUCCUAACCCUCUCCUUGGUUUAAUGAUGAACUCUUGUUUCGGAACUUGCUUUCAUAGUUCAUUUCCCGAGAAUCUUACAAUGUCAUCCCAUCAAAUUGUGCCGCUCCUUUUCUUCUCAGGCAUCCUAAGCCUGAGGUAUCGUGACACCAAUCAGAUCUGAAUCUCUGUCAGAUGUGAUGGUUGGAACAUAUUUCCAAGAGUUAUAAUGUUGGUCUUUAUAUGACCCGGUAAGGUUAUGUCAUGCAUAGCGCACCUGGCCGGAGGACCUAUUAUUAUAAGUUUUCCUUUUUAGCAAGGUUAGCUAUUCUUCCAUGAGGAAAUUGUAAGACUUAUUCUAUAAGUUGUUCCUGAUGGAUCCUUUUUGUUUCCAAAUUCUGAUCUUCGCCUGUUGACCAUGUCAAUGCUAUCUCGGAGCAUGUCUAUGGUACUCCGAUUUUCAACAGGAACAUUUGAAGCCCAAAGCUAAUUGUUUCCUGCUCAAUUAUCCAGACACCGUUGUAUGGGUAAUGUCAUGAAAUUUCUCUCCCCUUACCUAAAGGGUUUUCUACAUUAUAUCCUGUCGUGGAUAUCAUGCUCUGCUUGACCUUGGGAAGGUUAUACCCCUGAAAUAUGUGUUUAAACACAUUUUCCUUUCCAUUGUUCUGUUUACUCUGAUAAUCAUAUUUUCCUUUCCAUUGUUUUGUUUAACCUUUCUUGUAAUCUGACUUAGCUGAGCAGAGAUAAUUCCCUGCUUAGUUGAGCACCUCGUUGUACCACUCUCUCAGUAGACCCUGUUACUUUUGUUGAGGACAUUUCGGUAGCCACCGAUGGAUGAGAACUUGCCUAUUGGUCCGCCUCGUUUCAACGAGCAGGAAAAUGGUUCUCUUCGUCCCUCGCCCUUGGUACCAACGUGUUGCCGACAUAACUGACAGGGUACUCUCUGACAUGCCUUGCUAUCAUGACCGUGCAAGAUGUCACUACUCCUAUAAAAAAACCACAUGGUGGGCCCAUAACCCACAGUUCCAUAGGAUCGAAACCUGACUCUCUUGUACACCCCCUGUUCCCAUGGUUAUUUCUCACGUUUGGCUUCGUAUGUAAUUCACGUGCCACCUUCGGUGAGAUCAUCAAUUUUGGUAUCAGACACAAUACUUAUUCCCGUUGCUCUGAACCCUUCAGGCAUCGAACGAUUGCCUACCCGCUCAAAACUUCCCCACGAUACCUCCUUACUUUGCUCUCGAUAUUCUCCUAAAUUUCCAUUCGAGAGUUACUUUCCGCCACCUUCCCCGAUGCUAUCAACUAGAUAGUCAACCGUUCAGAGGUCUGUUAUUCCGAAGUUACCCCUUGUCCUUCGUAAGUACGAUGGAGUUCCCGAAGAAAGGAUGCCAGCUUCAUCAUGAUGACCUGAAGCAGGAAAAUGAAGACGUCAAUGUAAUGUAUCGACCACUUCGAGAAGAGCAACCAACACCGAGAAGACCCGUUAGAAUUUCGUAACAAAAUCCCUUCCCCCUUACUCCCAUCUUAAAUCUCGGGACGAGAUUUCUUGUAGUAGAGGAGAAUUGUGACGCCCGGAUAAUUAUGCUACAGUAAUCCCACGUUAAUGAUGCCACGUCACCAUGGUUACUGUUGUUAAUCUCGUGUUAGUUCAAAAUCGAUUCGAAAUUCAAACUUAAAAUAAAGUCAAAUGGUAAAGAUUUUCAAAUAUUAAAACUAAAAUGUUGGGGUGUUGCCAAAUAAUGCAUAGGUAAUUAUUGUGGAGAAACCACACUUUUAUAAAAUGUUUAAAGGCUCUAAAGUAAUUAAAACAACAGCUAUGACAAUUAAUUAAAUGCCUUUUAAAAAUAAUAAUAAUGCAAACUAUUUUAAUUAGGUGUCAAACUUUUUGGGGCAGUAGAAUAAAUUAUAACAUUAAUUUAGGAGUUGUAUUUAUAUUUUAUAAAACAGGAAUUAAAAGAAUAAAAUAGAAAAGAAAAUAUAUAAAGAAAAGAAAACAGAAAAAAAAGAGAAAGCAACCCCCCCCCAAUUGGGCCUCGGCCCAGCAGGCUACCAGGCCGCAAGGCCGACCCAACCGCGCCCUCUACUAACCUCCCCUGGGUGCCCGAAACCCUAGCGACACCCCACUCCCCCCCUCACGCGAUCCCCUCUCCCCACGAUCUCCCCCACGCCUCUUCCCCCCUCCCAUUCUGGAUCGGGGCUCGACCCCGACUGCCCCCGUCGCCGCGUCGGNNNNNNNNNNNNNNNNNNNNNNNNNNNNNNNNNNNNNNNNNNNNNNNNNNNNNNNNNNNNNNNNNNNNNNNNNNNNNNNNNNNNNNNNNNNNNNNNNNNNNNNNNNNNNNNNNNNNNNNNNNNNNNNNNNNNNNNNNNNNNNNNNNNNNNNNNNNNNNNNNNNNNNNNNNNNNNNNNNNNNNNNNNNNNNNNNNNNNNNNNNNNNNNNNNNNNNNNNNNNNNNNNNNNNNNNNNNNNNNNNNNNNNNNNNNNNNNNNNNNNNNNNNNNNNNNNNNNNNNNNNNNNNNNNNNNNNNNNNNNNNNNNNNNNNNNNNNNNNNNNNNNNNNNNNNNNNNNNNNNNNNNNNNNNNNNNNNNNNNNNNNNNNNNNNNNNNNNNNNNNNNNNNNNNNNNNNNNNNNNNNNNNNNNNNNNNNNNNNNNNNNNNNNNNNNNNNNNNNNNNNNNNNNNNNNNNNNNNNNNNNNNNNNNNNNNNNNNNNNNNNNNNNNNNNNNNNNNNNNNNNNNNNNNCCUCCCCGAAGACCGCCACUGCCCCCUGGCGCCGCCCCGGCUUCGCCGCUCGCGGUCGCCGGACCCCAGCGCCUUCGCCACCUCGUCGGCGUCGCCUCCUCGCCUCUCCAUCGCCGGCCACCCCGAGCUUCCCCGAGCCCGCUGCCCUGUGCCCUACGUUCCCCUCGUGAGCGCCCCCCCUUUUUCCCCUUUUCCCCGUCACCGGAUCCGGCCCACGCUCGCGCCUCCCCGCUAGCCCAGCCAGGCCCCGCGCCGUCCCGCUCAGGCCAUGGCGUCACCUCCCCGCGCAUUGUGCUUGCCGGCCGCAUCCUGGCCGUGCCCGUCGUUGCUAGCCAGCGCUGUCCACGCGCGCGACCCCGCGCCCGGCGCUGCUCACUGCUCCACGCGUCGCCGCCUGCUGCAGCUCCACCCGCGCCUGCCCACCUCCUCCUCUCAGCGCCGCUGCCACCCUCACGCGCCGGCCCCGCCCCGUAGCACGCGCCCGUUAGCCCGAUUGGCCACAUGGGCCUAUGACAGUGGGCCCACGCCCUGAGAACGAAAAAAAUUUAAAACAAAUAAUAAAAAUAAAUUUAAUUAAUUAAUUAAUUAACUAAAUUAAUUAAGUUAAUUAAUCUUGUUUAAAUUAAUCUAAUUUAAUUAAUUAGUUUAAUUAAUAGUUAAUUAAUUAGUUAACCCCAAUUACCCUAAUCAGUCUAUGACAUGUGGGACCCACGUGUCAGAUGACUGCUGACAUCAGCAUGAUGUCAUGCUGAUGUCAUCGCAACACUGUUUCGGACAAUGUAUAUAUUAAAUAAUUAAAUAAAUUCCAGAAAUUAAUAAAUUUUUUAAAAUCAAUAUAAAAUAAACCGUUGCUGAGAUGAAAAAACUUUGUACAUGAAAGUUGCUCAGAACGACGAGACGAAUCCGAAUACGUAGUCCGUUCGUCCGCCACGCGUCCCUAGCAUAGUGAACCUGCAACAUUUCACCUCCGGUUCAUCUGUCCGAAAACAUGAAACACCUGGGAUACUUUCCCGGAUGUUUCACCCCUUCGCCGGUAUCACCUAUUCCUACAUUAGGUCACCCCUAGCACAACGUAUCGCCGCGUCUUGCUUUGUGUUACAUUUGAUUGCUCUGUUAUUUAUUGUGUUCCCCCUCCGUUACUUCUUUCCGGUAGACUCCCAGACCGCUGCCGAUGUUCGUGUGUUCGACUACAUCGAAGACGACCCCUCCUUCUUGCCGGACCAACCAGGCAAGCCCCCCUUUUGAUCACCAGAUAUCGCCUAUUCUUCUCUAUACUGCUUGCAUUAGAGUAGUGUAGCAUGUUACUGCUUUCGGUUAAUCCUAUACUGAUGCAUAGCCUGUCCUUGUUGCUACAGUUGUUACCCUUACCUGCUAUCCUACUGCUUAGUAUAGGAUGCUAGUGUUCCAUCAGUGGCCCUACACUCUUGUCCGUCUGCCAUGCUAUACUACUGGGCCGUGAUCACUUCGGGAGGUGAUCACGGGUAUAUACUAUAUACAAUCAUACAUGACACAUGUGGUGACUAAAGUCGGGUCGGCUCGUUGAGUACCCGCAAGUGAUUCUGAUGAGGGGGCUGAAAGGACAGGUGGCUCCAUCCCGGUAGAGGUGGGCCUAGGUUCCUGACGGCCCCCGACUGUUACUUUGUGGCGGAGCGACAGGGCAGGUUGAGACCACCUAGGAGAGAGGUGGGUCUGGCCCUGGUCGGCGUUCGCGGAUACUUAACACGCUUAACGAGAUCUUGGUAUUUGAUCUGAGUCUGGCCAUUUGGCCUAUACGCACUAACCAGCUACGCGGGAACAGUUAUGGGCACUCGACGUCGUGGUAUCAGCCGAAGCUCUUCUUGACGUCAGCGACGGAGCGGCGCGUGCCGGAUUGGACUGGAACGCCUGCUAGGCUAGGUCUGCUUCCGGCCGCCCUCGCAACGUGCAGGUGUGCAAUGGGCGAUGGGCCCAGACCCCUGCGCGCAUAAGAUUUAGACCUCUUGGUUGAGCCUAGGUGGGGCUGCGACGUGUUGAUCUUCCGAGGCCGGGCAUGACCCAGAAAAGUGUGUCCGGCCAAAUGGGAUCGAGCGUGUUGGGUUAUGUGGUGCACCCCAGCAGGGAAGUUUAUCUAUUCGAAUAGCCGUGUCCCUCGGUAAAAGGACGACCCGGAGUUGUACCUUGACCUUAUGACAACUAGAACUGGAUACUUAAUAAAACACACCCUUCCAAGUGCCAGAUACAACCCGGUGAUCGCUCUUUAAUAGGGCGACGAGGAGGGGAUCGCCAGGUAGGAUUAUGCUAUGCGAUGCUACUUGGUGAACUUACCAUCUACUCUCUUCUACAUGCUGCAAGAUGGAGGUGGCCAGAAGCGUAGUCUUCGACGGGACUAGCUAUCCCCCCUUAUUCUGGCAUUCUGCCGUUCAGUCCACUGAUAUGGCCCUUUACACAUAUACCCAUGCAUAUGUAGUGUAGCUCCUUGCUUGCGAGUACUUUGGAUGAGUACUCACGGUCGCUUUUCUCCCUCUUUUCCCCUUUCUAUACCUGAUUGUCGUAACCAGAUGCUAGAGUCCAGGAGCUAGAUGUCCCGUGGAUGAUUCUACACGGAGUUCGGCUUCGAGGAGUAGUUAGGAGGUCCCAGGCAGGAGGCCUUGCCUUUUCGAUCAUUGCUACUUUUGUGCUAGCCUUCUUAUGGCAAACUUGUUUAACUUAUGUCUGUACUCAGAUAUUGUUGCUUCCGCUGACUCAUCUAUGAUCGAGCAAUUUUAUUCGAGCCCUCGAGGCCCCUGGCUUGUAUUAUGAUGCUUGUAUGACUUAUUUAUGUUGUAGCGUUGUGUUGUGAUAUCUUCCCGUGAGUCCCUGAUCUUGAUCGUACACAUUUGUGUGCAUGAUUAGUGUACGGUCAAAUCGGGGGCAUCACAGGGAUCGAACGCUAUUAUAAGAGACUACAACAACAAAAUCGACCAUGUUCUGAGGAACUGCUCGUGUGCUGAUGCCGUGACGAAACUCAAGCUUGACUACCACGUUCCUCCUGAUGAUGCUGAAUCGUAUCAUUGUCUUGAUAGCUGGCUCCGGAUGGCUGUUACACCGACGACCAAAGAACUCGAGCUUCUAGUAUGGUCGAAAGAGGCGAGCUUUGAUUUCCCAUGCACACUACUAUCUGACAGGUCUGGGGGCUCGAUUCAGAAGCUUCUCCUUUUCAGAUGUGCCUUACGUCCCACAUUUCAACUUGGUUUGAGAAGCUUGAAAACACUGCAUCUGCACGAUGUGCGUGUUACGGGGGAGGAGUUAGGGUGCCUUCUGUCCAGUUCCACUGCUUUGGAGCAGCUGAAGCUCGUAUAUUGCGAUGAUAUAGUUCGGCUGGAGAUACCUUGCCUGCUGCAGCGGCUCAGCUUCCUGGAGGUGGCUGGAUGCAUGAGUCUUCAAGUGAUAGAGAACAGAGCUCCAAAUCUCUCCAGAUUUUACCUUGAAGCGGGUGAACGGGUGCAAGUCUCAUUUGGAGAGUCGAAAGUGAAGAAAGUGCAGUUGGUGCAGAGUUGUGCCAUCAGUUAUGCUAUUGACAACCUUCCUUCCCGUGCGCCGAAUCUUGAGACUCUUACCAUAUAUUCUACUUGUGAGGUAUGCUCUUACUCUUAAGUUGGCAAACGUACAUAUUACAGUAGCCGAAUGUCGGAAUAAUUAACCUGAGACAUCUUUGUGCAGAGAAUCAAUGCACCAAUGGUGGCAUCUAGCAAAUUCCUCCACCUCAAGUUCUUGAGUAUUCUUCUUAUGAGUGGAUCUAACUUUGACAAAGACUACGAUUAUUUAUCGUUGGUUCCUUUUUUCCAAGCAUCUCCUGCCCUGGAGACGUUUUGCUUGUUUGUAAGUUCGCCGUUCACCCUUUCCUCAAAAAAGGGGGAAAAGUCACUGCAUCCUACAAUGAUUAUAUGAUAACCAUGUUUGGAUCAUCAAUUUAAAAAUACCUUGGCUUUUGAUCUUCAGGUAGCGGAGCACUCCAUGUAUCACUUGUUUAAGGGAGAUCGUGCCUCUCUGAGGGGACUGCCACAAAACUGCCAUGGGAACCUCAGUAAACCGGCCAGGAAAUGCUGUCCCCAUGUUAAUGAUGAAAUUUGGCUUGCUAGUUUUACAAAUUUGAUAGCUGUUGGAAUCGGAGUUCAGCUAAAAGUGCAGAUUAGAAAUAUGUUCAGUGCAGAGAAUAAAUACAGUAAUACUUCCAUGAUGGAGUUCUUGCUUAGACAGCAGAGAGGCAAGGAAGAAAUCUGGUCUGGAGAAUAUUUGAGAUAGAAAAGGUUCUGCAUGAGGUAGUUGUUCGGCUGAAGCAAGCCCAAAUAUAGGCCAGUGCGUACUAGUAUAGGGCUGGGCUGCUGUCCCAUGUGUUUUGGGUGCUGGUCGGGCUAAUUAGGGAUUAGGAAUAUUAUAUUUGACCUGCUUGCAGAGGAAGCAAAACAGGGAUUACCUUCUGUAUGUGCAAAAGGAGUCCUACUCCGGUUCAGCCAAAGACCAGGGCGUGCCCUUAUAUAUAUGGGGUACUUGGCCGAUUGGAAAAAGGACCAAUCGAUCCUUUUGCAACCUUACGUUACGUUUUCUCCCACGUUCUUUUCUUUCCAGCACCUAGCUUGUAGCUUCUGCCUAGCCCUAGCAACCCUAGGGUUUGGUUGAUCUUUGCCGUUUUGCAUUGAAAAACGGUCGGUUUACAUCCAUGAAAGUGAGGAUUCUGUGGUGCUGCGUGGAUCAAUUUCGCACAGCAACACAAUUGGCGACUUCGCUGGGGAAGAAGAAGAGGAACACAAUGAGCAUCGACCCCAAGGACAGGAGUGAUCUCAACCCCAACAACAUCAACGCCGUCACACUUGAGGAUCAUCCUGAGGAUGAACGGCAGAAACUUGAACAUGAGCUUGAGGAAGAGAGGGUGGAAAAGCUGAAGCAGAAGUUGGCUGGCUUCCAAAGGACAAGAAACGACAUCAUCUAGAAGGUAGCUACACCAAGUCAUCCUGCUGGGGUAAAGUAAAACUGCUUGUACAGAAGAGAUUGCACAUUUUUAAUUGGUGCAUCUGUGACUAGUAAAUAUGGCAAACAAAUGACAGAUAUGGCACGUACAAUUACUGAAUCUGUAGCUAACAAAUUUGAUGAGUUCAGAGAGCAAUUUAAUAAGGACAUUCAGAUCAGCUUGCCUCGUCAAAUUCGUUCAAUGGUAUCACAUGCCAAUGAUGAACGUUAUGAGAAACAGCCGGUGCAUCCAGAAAAUAGUAGGUUCACUAAUUUACCUAACCCUAUGCAUACACCCGUUGCAGUACCCAAUGUUGUGCAGCCCCACAUCCCGUUAAGCAAUAACCAAAGUGGCCAGAAUAACCAAAGUGGCCAGAAUUACAUUAGCAAUUCGGCCAAUAAUUUUGUACCUUUCAGUAGCAAUAACCGAAGUGUUGGCUUUAAUUCCAAUCUGCAGCAACCCUACUAUCAAACAGUAGCAUAUAGCACACCACCCUUGCCACCUAUUGGUACUGGGGUUCCUUACGGGCCGGUGCCAGAUGCGUGUUUUAAUGGUUCUCUGCAGCAAAUGUAUCAUGCUCAAACUUCUUUGUCAGAGUUACCGCCACGUACCUAUGGUGCAUCUAUGCCAUAAGCUAGUUCUCCACAUCCUGCUGAAAAUUGUAAGGAUCAACUUGCUAACAUACUUAGGGAAUUUGGCUUGGAACCUAAGGCUAGAGCACGUGCAUAUCAAAAACCCUACCCUGAAUAUUUCGACACAACACCUUAUCCUCGUAGGUUUAGAAUUCCAGAUUUUGUUAAGUUCACAGGAGAAGAUGGUAGAUCAACCUUUGAGCAUGUAGGAUUUUUUUAGCACAAUGCAGUGAAGUUGGUACAUCAGAUAUUUUUAGAGUGAAAUUAUUUCCUUUGUCUUUAUCUGGUACUGCAUUUACUUGGUUUACAUUGCUUGCUCCUAACUCCAUUGCAACAUGGGCCCAAUUGGAGCAGAAAUUUCAUGAGUACUUUUAUGGUGGUGAAACUGAACUUAGACUUUCAGAUUUGACAAUGGUUAAGCAAAACCACAAUGAAUCUGUUUAUAAUUAUAUUAAAAGAUUUAGAGAUGUCAAAAACCGAUGCUUCAGUUUGACCAUAACCGAAAAAGAUUUAGCUGAUCUUGCCUUUUCGGGUUUGCUUGCUCAUAUUAGAGAUAAAUUGGAAGGGCAAGAAUUUUCAGAUGUUAACCAAGUUUUGCAAAAGGCUUGGGCGCAGGAAAACCGUGCUAAAGAAGUUAAACCAUACAACCGGUUUAGAGAUAAUAAGAGCAAAGACAAGGAAAAACCUACGGUUAAUGUGGUAGAACAUGAUAGUGAUUCGGCUAGUGAAGAUGAUGUUGAUAUAUGUUUGGCCGAAUGGGUUCGAGCACCUAAGUCAAAACCUUUCGCAUGUGCUGCCUUGAAACCCACACCAGCUAAAAGAGAGGAAAUCAAAUAUACUUUUGAUGUUAGUAAGUGUGACAAGAUUUUUGACAUGUUGUUGCAAGGGAAGUUAAUUAGAAUAAAAGAAGGGCAUGUGAUUCCAUCUCAAGAAGAACUGGGUAGAAGAGCUUAUUGUAAAUGGCAUAACUCUUUUUCUCAUGCUACUAACGAUUGUAAUGUGUUUCGACGACAGGUGCAAUCGGCCAUUAAUGACGGACGAUUGAUAUUUACAGAAUGUACUAAGAUGAAGCUCGAUAGUGAUCCUUUUCCUAUCAAUGUGGUUGAGUUUGAGAAUAAGAAAAUACUUAUUCGGUCGGAUCAGACCGAAUCCGCAAGAGAGAAAAAUGUUGUUGAUGAUAAUGCUCCUCCAAGGAUGAUCAAACCAAAAAAAAUCCAGAAGUAGGAGUGUGGAAAGUCAAUGGAAGAAGGAGACAAGCUUCGAGACCAAAGCCGACAGUUAACAUGUUGUUGGAGAAAUACACUUCACUCAAGGCCACCAAUGUGUUUAACCGGCUUGGAGGUAAUAAGCGUCCUAGAUCUCCUUCUGGACCUACGGUCAUGAGCAAUGGCAGAGAAAUUCAUAUGACCAGCGGCCAUAUUUCGCAAUGGAGCCAGCAUAUUGGGGCUGUGCACCUCCUAUGUAUCCGCAAAUUCCUCCAUGGGGUUUUAAUCCUUGGGCGCCAUAUCCUAUAGGGCCAGCAGGUUAUUUUCAACCAGGAUGGAUCCCGCCUAGGCCUAUGUUCAGACCAAACAUGCAUGAGAAAAGGGCUCGAUUUAAUCAUGAAGCAAGAUCACGUGAUGCUAUUGUGGUUCGAGGUAAAGAUGGUUCACACAAAGGGGCUGAAGAUAGCUCAUCCAGCAAAAGAUUUGCGCAGAGCAGAUUGCCUAGAUACAAUGCGGAUGGCAAGGUUCACAGGUGGCCAGAGGUUUGCAUGGGUACCGGUCAGAUCUAAGGGUGAUGUAAAAAAUUCAGUUGUACAUGAUGAAUUUAAGUCUGGUUGUGCUAUUACGAACCAACCUGGGUUGCGUGCUGCUCAUAAUGUUGAUAAUGGUAAGCUCAAAUCAGCUGCAGGUGUUGCCCCUGAUCUAGAAACAAUCAUGAUUGGAGGUUUCAAAUUUGGUUCAGUUCAGAAAAGAGUUCCAGGUUCAGAAAAGAUUAGUAAUGGUGCAUUGGAGCAGCAGGGGCCUUAUACAUCGCAGCAAGAGGAAAUUCCAGCAAAAGAAAGCAACUCACAUGCUGAUUUGGGGCCCGAUAUGCAGAAAGAUGGGACCGCUAGCACAACUAAUCAAUACAGAAUUGUUUCGGCCAAAGACAGAAUGUUUGCUCCCCAAGCAGCAGCACAUCAGUACAGACCGAGGAACGCUUGGGGGGGGCAGCAGAAUUAGGUCAGUGGCACCAGGAACUAAACCCAAGCUUCGAUGGUGCCCGACAGGGCUCACACAUACUCAGAAAAGAAGGGUGCAACAGCUGCGGGCAUUGGAAAUUAGAGAGGAACUAGCUGAGAAGAAGCGCGACGAGUGGUUCAAUAAAGAUAAACCAAUGGUGUCCUCGAAUAUGACUUGGAAAGAGAAGCACAUCGCAAGGAAGGCAAUAGUGUUGAUGACAUGGUUAUGGCUGGAAACUCUGAGGAUAAACAGGAUAUGCCUUCAGAUGUGGACAUUAAUAUGGUAUUUGAGUUGCCCGCUGAAUUUCAUGCGCCUAAGGCUGAAGAGGCUGAAGUUGCAGAACUUGUUCUUGGCCCAAAAAGUGUUACAUUUGAGAAACCAGAGAAGCAUGGACAGCACCUAAAGCCUUUGUUUAUCAAGGGUCACAUUGAUGGUAAACCUAUUGGUCGCAUGCUUGUUGACGGCGGUGCCAGUGUUAAUAUCAUGCCUUUUCCGGUUUUUUCUAAGUUGGGCUGAAAAGAGGAAGAACUGAUGAAAACCAAAAUGGGACUUAGUGGGUUCUCAGGAGACUUGUCUGAAGCUAAAGGUGUUAUUUCUAUGGAGCUCACGGUUGGUAGCAAAACAUUGCCGACUGCUUUCUUUGUUGUUAAUGUCAAAGGCUGAUAUAAUAUUCUUUUGGGGCGCGAUUGGAUUCAUGCAAAUUGUUGCAUCCCUUCUACUUUGCAUCAAUGUUUGAUUCAAAGGGUUGAUGAUGAUGUUGAAGUGCCUGAGGCGGAUAAUUCAGCCCGCAUUGCUUUGGCUGAGGCUUCGGUUGGUUGGCAACACGGUGAGAUGCGAUGCUUGACGGGUAGAGAUUUAUCAGAUUAUGAUUAUAUUAGUAUUGGUAGAGAUGGUUUUGUUCCUGUACAUGCACAGUCGGUUAGUGUAGCUCGGCUUAAUGACUUAUCCUUGUGAACAAUGAAUAAGGAAGAUAGUGUUAAAUGGAUGCAAAGGCGUGUUGAGGAGUAUCGUUCAGGAAAGAACGAUAUGCAUGAAGCUAUUGAGGAUUUCGAUGACAUGGAGAAGCUUGGACAAGGAUUCUCAUCGGCUGACCCACUUGAGGAAGUUGAUAUUGGUGAUGGAAGUGUCCCUAGACCUACAUUUAUUAAUGCUAAUAUGGGGCCGAUCAGAGAGGAAAGGUAUGUGCAUUACCUAGGGAAUUUGUUGAUUGCUUUGCUUGGAAUUAUACUGAGAUGCCCGGUUUGAGUAGGGACUUAGUUGAGCACAGAUUGCCUAAAUUUUCAAAAAAAAACACAGAUUGCCUAUUAAAUGCGGUUUUAGGCCGCAUAAAUAGCCCUUAGGCGAUUCAAUCCUAGUAUAUAUGACCGCAUCAAAGAUGAAAUUGAUCGGUUGUUAAAAGCUCGGUUUAUUCGGCCAUGUAGAUAUGCGGAAUGGAUUUCUAAUAUUGUUCCUGUUGAAAAGAAAAAUACUGAUAAGAUUAGAAUAUGUAUCCUAUGCCAAUAGCCGACAUGUUGAUUAACGAUGCUUCUGGACAUAAAGUAAUCAAUUUUUUAGAUGGUAAUGCUGGUUAUAAUCAGAUAUUUAUGGCCGAAGAAGAUAUGUUUAAGACUGUUUUUCGAUGCCCUGGUUUUGUUAGUUUAUUUGAGUGGACUGUUAUGACUUUUGGAUUAUAGAAUGCCGGAGCUACAUACCAGCGUGCUAUGAAUCUAAUUUUUCAUGAUCUUCUAGGCAUCGUAUUAGAAAUAUAUAUUGAUGAUGUAGUUAUUAAAUUGGAUGGGUUUGAUCAUCAUUUAGCGAUUUGUGAUUAGCUUUUGAAAGAAUGCGUCAGUAUGGGCUGAAAAUGAAUCCACUCAAAUGUGCUUUCGGUGUAUCGGCUGGUAAGUUCUUAGGUUUUAUAAUUCAUGAGCAUGGCAUAGAGAUUGAUCCUAAGAAGGUAGAGGCAAUCCGAAAAUUGGAGGAGCCCACAUGUAAAAGGGAUGUGCAGAAAUUGUUAAGAAAAAUCAAUUACUUGAGACGAUUCAUAUCUAACCUUGCGGGAAAAAUUGAAUCGUUUGUUCCUUUACUUCGGUUAAAACAUGAAGCCGAAUUCACCUGGGGGGGGGCAGAACAACGAGAGGCUUUUAAUAAUAUAAAACGGUAUUUGUCAAGUCCUCCGGUGCCUCGAGCACCCAAGUCUGGUGUGCCGUUCAGGUUAUACAUUGCCACACAAGACAAGGUGAUCGGUGCAGUUUUAGCACAAGACAAUGGCGGGAAGGAGUACAUCAUUGCAUACUUGAGCCACCGCUUGCUUGACGCUGAGAGUCGGUACAUGUUUAUUGAAAAAUUAUGUUUAUCUUUAUAUUAUGCGUGUACAAAAUUCCGGCCAUAUUUACUUUAUAGUACAUGUGUAGUAGCUUGCCAAGCCGACGUGAUUAAAUAUAUGCUGCUGCUGCCGGUUCUUAGUGAUAGGAUUGGAAAAUGGGCUUAUGCACUAAUAGAAUAUGACUUGGCAUAUGAAUCGUUGUGUGCUAUGAAAGGUCAAGUCAUCGCUGGUUUUAUUGUUGAUCAUAGGAUUAAGGAUGAAGAAGAUAUUAAUUAUGUUAGUGUGUGCCCGUGGAAGUUUUAUUUUGAUGGAUCGGUUUGUAGGGAGGGAGAAGACAUCGGUAAUGUUUUAAUUUCACCAAACAAUGUCGUUUAUGAAACAUCGGUCCGUUUGGAAUAUCCUUGUACAAAUAACCAAGCUGAAUAUGAAGCUUUGUUGUUUGGUUUACAAAAUUUAGUAGAUAUGGGUGUUGAAAGAUCGUGGAUGUCNNNNNNNNNNNNNNNNNNNNNNNNNNNNNNNNNNNNNNNNNNNNNNNNNNNNNNNNNNNNNNNNNNNNNNNNNNNNNNNNNNNNNNNNNNNNNNNNNNNNNNNNNNNNNNNNNNNNNNNNNNNNNNNNNNNNNNNNNNNNNNNNNNNNNNNNNNNNNNNNNNNNNNNNNNNNNNNNNNNNNNNNNNNNNNNNNNNNNNNNNNNNNNNNNNNNNNNNNNNNNNNNNNNNNNNNNNNNNNNNNNNNNNNNNNNNNNNNNNNNNNNNNNNNNNNNNNNNNNNNNNNNNNNNNNNNNNNNNNNNNNNNNNNNNNNNNNNNNNNNNNNNNNNNNNNNNNNNNNNAUAUGACAAGAAACAAUAUGGCUAUCACAAAGUAAAGUGCAUAAGUAAAGGGCUCGGGUAAGAGAUAACCGAGGCACGCGGAGACGACGAUGUAUCCCGAAGUUCACACCCUUGCGGAUGCUAAUCUCCGUUUGGAGCGGUGUGGAGGCACAAUGCUCCCCAAGAAGCCACUAGGGCCACCGUAAUCUCCUCACGCCCUCGCACAAUGCAAGAUGCCGUGAUUCCACUAAGGGACCCUUGAGGGCGGUCACCGAACCCGUACAAAUGGCAACCCUUGGGGGCGGUCACCGAACCCGUACACUUUGGCAACCCUUGGGGGCGGUCACCGGAACCCGUCAAAUUGCUCGGGGCGAUCUCCACAACCUAAUUGGAGACCCCGACGCUUGCCUGGAGCUUUACACCACAAUGAUUGAGCUCCGAACACCACCAACCGUCUAGGGCGCCCAAGCACCCAAGAGGAACAAGCUCAAGGGUACCAAGCCCCCAAGAGUAAUAAGCUUCUCAACUUGUAACUUCCACGUAUCACCAUGGAGAACUCAAAUCGAUGCACCAAAUGCAAUUGCAAGGGCACACGGAGUGCCCAAGUCCUUCUCUCUCAAAUCCCAUCGAAGCAACUAAUGCUAGGGAGGAAAAUGAGAGGAAGAACAAGAAGGAGAACACCAAGAACUCCAAGAUCUAGAUCCAAGGGGUUCCCCUCACAUAGAGGAGAAAGUGAUUGGUGGAAAUGUGGAUCUAGAUCUCCUCUCUCUUUUCCCUCAAAAACUAGCAAGAAUCCAUGGAGGGAUUGAGAGUUAGCAAGCUCGAAGAAGGUCAACAAUGGGGGAAGAACACGAGCUCAAAGGAUAAGGUUCAUUGGGAAGAAGACCCCCUUUUAUAGGAGGGGGAAAAUCCAACCGUUAUGCUCACAGCCCGCACCGAGCGGUACUACCGCUAGGGCGGCAGAAGCCCAAUGAAACAACACUGCAAACGGGCAACAGGGCGGUACUACUGCUAGAGCGGUACUACCGCCUGCCCUUGCGGAACUACCGCGCGACCACGGAAGUAAAAAUAACUGCCACGCCUACAACCGCUGGAGCUAGCUACGAGAAAAAGGCGGCACGGUACUACUGCUCACAGGGAGCGGUACUACCACGCAAGGGCGGAUGUAAAAAAUUACAUCCGCGCCUACUACCGCACGCAAUCAGCGACAGGAUGUGAGGAAGCGGUACUACCGCUCACCAGGAGCGGUACUACGGCGUAGGACGCGGAAGUAAAAAAUUACUUUCGCGCCUACUUCCGUGCGCGCCAGCGUUCUGGGCUAGAGGCAGCGGUACUACCGCUCACAGGAGCGGUACUACCGCUGGCCCCUGCGGUACUACCGCUCCCUUGAGCAGUACUACCGCACGCCACAGAGGCUUUAGCACUUGGAUGCCUUCAAAACGCAGCUAAAGACAACAGAUGGAACCAAUAAAACCAGAACUGUCAUACCUUCUGCAAAAGAGCUCCGAAUUGAGCAAACUCAAGCUUGUUGGAUACAAGACAACGAGUGGCAUCAAAACAGCGAGCCUAGUAAGAAGAGGCAGGGGAGGUAUGCCUAACACGUAGAGGAGUGAAACCUCCAACAGAGAAGAACUGGCAUAACCUCCAACAUCGAAAACAUCAUAGAAGAUGCAAGUGAACUCCGUUUUCGAUGAACUCGAGCUUGUCAACAAGAUGACCAAAAGCUCCAAAACUCUCAAAGAUAAGCAAACAAGAACCAAGAAAGAUGAUGCAAGGAUGCAAUGGUUUGAGCUCUCUACGAAUGAUACGAUCAAGCUACUCAUCGAGAGCCCCCCUUGAUAGUACGACAAUCGAUCCUAUAACCCGGUCUCCCAACUACCAUCAUGAGACCGGUAAAAUAGAAAACCUAUUAAGGGCAAACCUUUGCCUUGCACAUGGUCCACUUGAGCUAGAUGAAGACGAUCUUGACUCCCUCAAGUUGGACCACCUUUCUUGAUUGCGUUGGCUUGAUGAAGACUAGUUGAUUGCUACCCCAUACUCCACUAUGGGUGAGCCACUCUUCCGCACAUCUUCACAAGUCCAUUGUCACCACAAUGGACGACAAGCUUCAAGCAUUUGAUCUCUUCGUGAUGCUUCCUUGAACUUGCACACCGCAACCUAACCCCACAAAGAACUCUCACGAAGAUCAUGGGCUAGUACACAAAGCGUAAUUGACAAUGCUUACCAUACCAUGGGAUCGCUUGAUCCCUCUCGGUACAUCUUCUACGCUUUGUGUGUUGAUCAACUUGAUUCACUCUUUUACUUAGUCUUGAUCAACCUCUCACAAGACCAAUCUUUAGGUAAUUCCUUGAAUAGCACCUUGGUCAUCACAAACUCUCCUUGAAACCAACAAAUGUACUCCAAGAAAAGCCUAUGGACAAAACCUUCAAAUAUAACUCAAGGCAACCAUUAGUCCAUAGAGAUUGUCAUCAAUUACCAAAACCAAACAUGGGGGACCGCAUGUUCUUUCAGGUGUAAAGGAUAUAGAGGCUUUUGGAGAUUCACUUUUGGUAGUCCGGCAAAUUGGUGGUGUUUUGAUGGAUUAUUAAACAAUUAUUUAGACCGAUGUUUAGAUAAUUAAGUCUUUGAAUAGUUUCACUAUCAGUCAUAUACCUAGGGAAGAGAAUUCUAGAGCUAAUUGCUUAGCGCAGCAAGCAUCCGGAUACCAAAUCAGUAGGGGAAAGUUUUUCAUAUUAGAGAAACCAAUGCUAGAUGCUGUUAAUAGUAAUGCUGAUCUGUUGGCUAUUAAUUUGCUAAAGGAUGCAGCAGGUCCUUGUUCAAUCCAAUAGCAAAUAGUACAUGGCAAAGAAGAUUCGGUGCAGGAGUCACAAAUAACUGAAUCAGCAACUAAUUUAGAACCAGGUGAUUUGAGAAGUCCUCUGAUUAAUCAUCUAAGGGAUCCUGGGCAAACAAGAGAUAGAAAAAUUCGGCGACAAGCUUUAAAAUAUACUUUGCUAGAUAGUGAGUUGUAUCGCCGAACGAUAGAUGGAUUACUUUUAAAGUGCUUAGGUCCUGAUCAGUCAAGAGUAGCUAUGGGUGAAGUACAUGAAGGGCUAUGCAGAACACAUCAGUCGGCUCAUAAGAUGCAAUGGUUAUUGAAAAGAGCAUGUUUUUAUUGGCCGAUGAUGUUAGGAGACUGUUUUCGCUAUUAUAAAGGGUGUGAAGAAUGCCAGAAAUUUGGAAAUGUUCAAUUGGCAUCUGCAGCUAUGAUGCAUCCCAUUAUUAAGCCAUGGCCGUUUAGAGGAUGGGGUUUAGAUUUUAUUGGUCAAAUAUAUCCUGCUUCAUCUAAAGGUCAUCGGUUCGUCCUAGUAGCUACAGAUUAUUUUACCAAAUGGACUGAAGCAAUUCCUUUAAGAAUAUUGACCCAUAAGGAAGUGAUUAAUUUUGUUUUGGAGCAUAUUAUUCGCAGAUUCGGUAUUCCUCAAACUUUGACUACUGAUCAAGGUUCUUCUUUUAUGUCUCAUCAAUUUGAUGAGUUUGCCGAAUCUUUUAGAAUUAAAUUGUUAAAUUUGUCGCCUUAUUAUGCUCAAGCUAACAACAGGCCGAAUCUAGCAAUAUAACUUUAAUUAAGCUUAUAAAGAAGUAAAUUAAGGAGCAUCCAAGAAAGUGGCAUGAAGUGCUUUCGGAGGCUUUAUGGGCUCAUCGGAUAUCUAAGCAUGGAGCAACUCAAGUGACACCAUAUGAGUUAGUGUUUGGACAGGAAGCAGUGUUACCUGUAGAGGUUAAUUUGCAAGCUCUUAGAGUAGCCAGACAAAAUGGUUUCUCGGCUAUAGACUAUAAUAACUAGGUGACUUCCCCGCGCGUUGCUGCGGGAUUUUGAAGAUUAAUUUUGGAUACAUUCUAUAUGCAUGAAAUGAUCUAAAUAGAAAGCUAUUAUUUUCGGAAGUAAUUCUAUGUGAAUAAAGAAUAUGCAUGUACGUUGGACUAUUGAAGAUGGAACAAUUAAAUUGGGGUAUGCAUGUACUACAAAAUAGUUCUAGUGGAUGAUGAUGUGGCAUAUUUGGUGAUGUGGAGGGCUGCAUGUUGAGAGAAUUAGACUUAGUGGGGAUCAACUAUUUAUGUAUUAUAGAUUUGAUGCUGGACAGAAUUGAUGAUGUUCCAGAAGAAAUAUUAAGAGCCUUACAGGAAAUUGAAAAAGAAAAGUUAAGAGUAGCUAAGGCUUAUAACAAAAGGGUGAGGGAAAAUCGUUUAAAAUAGGAGACUUGGUGCGGAAAACGAUUUUGCCUGUUGGAACUAGGAACAAUAAAUUCGGCGAGUGGUCGCCAAGUUGGGAAGGCCCAUAUAGAAUUGUUGAAAUUGUUCUUGGGAAUUCAUAGUUUGUAAAAUCUUUGCAGGGGGAGAAAUUACCUAAAGCUCUCAAUGGAAAAUAUUUAAAGAAGUAUUAUCCUAGUAUGUGUCAGGAGGCUUGAUGGCAUGACGGCCGAUAUUAUUUAAGAUAUCAUCCUAAGCAAAAUAUGGCCGAUGUGUUAUUUGGACAUCGCUCCGAGCAAUGAUAUUACCGAUGAAGCAAUUGACAUCAUCCAAAGGUAUCGCUAUAGUGUUUUUGGUAGAUGCAAUCAUACCAAAAACAGGGGUGUUAAUGAUGAAAUUUGGCUUGCCAGUUUUACAAAUUUGAUAGCUGUUGGAAUCGGAGUUCAGCUAAAAGUGCAGAUCCAAAAUAUGUUCAGUGCAGAGGAUAAAUACAGUAAUACUUCCAUGAUGGAGUUCUUGCUUAGACAGGAGAGGGGCAAGGAAGAAAUCUGGUCUGGAGAAUAUUUCAGAUAGAAAAGGUUCUGCAUGAGGUAGUUGUUCGGCUGAAGCAAGCCCAAAUAUAGGCUAGUACGUACUAGUAUAAGGCUGGGCUAUUGUCCCAUGUGUUUUGGGUGCUGGCCGGGCUAAUUAGGGAUUAGAAAUAUUAUAUUUGACCUGCUUGCAGAGGAAGCAAAACAGGGAUUACCAUCUGUACGUGCAAAAGGAGUCCUACUCCGAUUCAGCCAAAGACUAGGGCGUGCCCUUAUAUAUAUGGGGUACUUGGCCGAUUGGAAAAAGGACCAAUCGAUCCUUUUGCAACCUUACGUUACUUUUUCUCCUACGUUGUUUUCUUUCCAGCACCUAGCUCGUAGCUUCUGCCCAGCCCUAGCAACCCUAAGGUUUGGCUGAUCUUUGCCGUUUUGCAUUGAAAAACGGUCGGUUUACCUCCACGAAAGUGAGGAUUCUGUGGUGCUGUGUGGAUCAAUUUUGUGCAGCAACACCCCGAAAAGCUACAGCUAUAGUGAAGGCACGUAAAUCAAUAUUGGUUGUGAAAAAAUACAUCAAGGGGAAUGUUCCCUCUACAGUCAAGUUAAAUGUUCCGAAGCCUUGCCAACGAUGCCAUCGCUUUUAAUAAUUCAGGUGUCAAAUCACUGUAGCUAUCUGAUAUAUUGAAUGGUGAUAUAUUUUAGUUGUCUUGUGCUAUGUUACAUUCAAGUCACCAGAGCUGUUUAGGAGUCUGUGAUAUUACCUUCCUGAUAACUUUGUUUACCAGACUGUGCAAUGUACUUAAUAUUACUGCUGUCCAUUAAAUAUUGUUGUGAACUUGUAUUGUAUAAAUUUAUAUUUGCCAUACUUUCUAUAUAUUCGAAUGGUAAUAGUGUAAUACACACUUCAUCUUUGCCUUGACCUGUAUGCUACUGCAAGUGUGAACAUUUGUAGCAGUCACGUUUCUGCCUGACUCGACAUACAAGAAAAGUAAACAAGACAGAUGAAGUGAUGCCAACAAGUCGUUAACAUAUGCAUCAAGGUAGAGCACCGUCCUUUCUAAAAAAGAGUAAAGCAUCUUUCUUUGUACUUAUAUCAGUUUAAAUGUGCAAAUGCCCUAGGGUUCCCCAGGCGCCAUCCUUUUGGCGUGCCUCGGCAAAAGGGACACUUCUCCCCACUUUUCAUUAUUAACCUUCUCAUGGAGAAUUAUGUGUUGGACUGAAAAAUGGGAGUUCUGAACCUGCUAUACUGCACUCGACACCUGCUUCGCUUUGCUGUACCGAACUGUAUUCUUGCAUUGUAUUUCUGAAAGUUGUGAUGCCAAGACACAGGUGGAUUUGUAGUACCGAACUGUAUUUCUUAAAGUUCUAAUGCCAAGAGCAAUGCAAUGUAUGAUGCAGCAGUUCAUACUAGGCUUGUAAGAUGCUAACAUUUGGAACUAAUUUGAAUUCCAUGUGUACAUGGCCUGCUACCUCGUACAUUGCACUUCUGAAACUGUUUAGAAUGUUUUUGAUUUACCAGAUAUUAUCAGAACCAAACAUCUUAGGCAUCUGUGAUGCUCAGUAAUAUUGGUGUUUUAUAAUUGAUUUACAAGUGAAAUACACACUUGCAGUAUUGCAGGUAAAGAGUCUCGCUCGAUCACAUCCCAUCUAAAAUCACAUAAACAUUCUUUGGUUUCUUUGUUUCUUUCUCGGUUUUCACCGGGUAUUUUUCCGUUUUUUUGGUUUUUUAUUUCCUUUUUGGUUUUCUUCAUUCUGGCUUCAUUUUGGUUUUCGUUGUUUUCACUAUUUCUGCAUUGGUUUUCAUCGUUUUUAUUUUUAUUUUCUUUGUUUUAUUUGUUUAUUUUUUUGGCUUUCGUUGGUUUUCUUUGUUUCUUUGUCGGUUUUCAUCACUUAAUUUUUUUCCAACAUAUGUCUACUUUUUUCAAUGUACAUGUAAAAUAUUUUUGUUGAUAAAUGAUGAACCUUUUUCAAAUAAAUGAUGUACAUUUUUUUUUCUUAAAUACAAGUUUUGAACACUUUUCUUAAUACAUGGUCAACAUUUUUCAAAUAUACGGCGAACAUUUUUAAUUGCAAUAACCAUUUUGCGCACACAAUACAUAUUUUCCGCAUAUACAUCUGGAAUAUUUUUAUAUACAUGGUUAAUAUUUUGUAACAGAAUUAAUAUUUUGUAAAUACAGAAUUAACAUUCAGGGAGCCGGGUAUACAUCUUUGCUAUAAGCGAGAUAUAGCCCUGGAGCAAAAGAACCGGAGCGCUAAAUCCUGUGAGCUAUAGCAUUUUUUCUUUUCGCGGCCUGGGCCCAAAUCGAAAUCGCGCCCGGUCUAGUGCCUCCUAACCCUACCCCCAUCCCGAAAUUUUGCUCAGAAAAGAAAGAACCCAUCCCGAAAUCCACCAGGACGAUGGCAAUGCCGAUGGCGACUGGCAUCGGCGGCUACGCAGGGACGGCGAUGGCAGCCUGACGCGCCCCCCUUCUCCCGGCGACCCACCUUAUCCGGCGACGCCCUUCUCCCCGGGACGCCGCUUCUUCUCCGACGCCCUCUCUCCCGGACAACUUCGACAAGGAUCGCACAGUUCACGGCCAAGGAUGGCGCCGUCAUCCUCCGACAGACAACCAAAGCACCGAGCUACCGGCCGCCACUCCUGGCCCGGCCUCCACAUCCUCCAUGCCCACCAUGAGCCAGCAGGCUCAAUCGCCAGGCAAGUUCUCUGUCGGACUCGGAUCUCACUUUGUUUGCUUGCGCUUGAACCCGUUUGUUCCUUAUCGCUGUCUGUACUAAUCAUAAAACCGAUGUGUUGCAGAUGGAUGGAAUGCUGCUUCAUCGGUAUCUGAAAGAGACAGCCCACCCUGCCGACAGGAUGAUGGUUCCAUUGGCAGGAAAGAAGCAAGAUAUCUGGAUCCAGUCCUUCCAGAGGUAUGAUCUUGUAUUGCCGCGAGGCUUCUAUCAGUAGAAUAGCUGCAAGCUUUGCUUUGUUCUGUUGCAGUUAAUUCCAGCACAAAAACUAUUACAAUUUUUUACGUAUUUCUUCUUACUUGGGUAGGGACUAGAACUACUAGGACACUUAUCUGUGCGAGCUGUGUUGUUAUCUUGUCGUGAACUCCGAAUUUAGCAUUGUCUUUCCUUGUGUUUAUGCCUACAAUAACAUUUUGCAACUUGUUCCUAACCUUGGCUGGCUGGAUCUUGCUGAUUAUGGCAUCCUUUCCCUGCUUUCACCUCUAAUUCUCAUGGUGCUUCUCUGCUUUUGCACGCAUGACAUGUGGUGUCGUAUAUAUUCCUUACUACAGAUGCAAGAUGCUGCCCAGGCCGCCUAUGUUUCUUGCUGCUCCCUGGGCUACUGGAGAUACCAUCCCAAUCUCACCUUCACCAAUGAAACGAUGUGCCUCAAAGAAAAUUUGAAGACGCCAGGAUCAAACGCUAUUAUAAGAGACUACAACAACAAAAUCGACCGUGUUCUGACGAACCGCUUGGGCGCUGCCGCCGUGACGAAACUCAGGCUUGACUACCAUGUUCCUUGUGAUGGCGCUGAAUCGUACCAUCGUCUUGAUAGCUGGCUUCAGAUGGCUGUUACGCCGAUGAUCGAAGAACUCGAGCAUCUAGUAUGGUCGAAAGAGGCGAGGUUUGAUUUCCCGCGCUUCGGCACACCCCCCAAACGUAUAAGGGGUAGGGCGGUCAUUUCACAUGCCGUAUUAAAUACCCGCCCACCGUACGCGCGCACGUCGCCGUACGGCGCUGUCGCAUACGCCUGCCCGUCCGCGCCCAUGCCCGGUGUACGCCCGCCCGCCCCGCUGCGUACGCCCGUGUGGUUCGAGUGAAAAAACUGAUCAGGCGAAUCCUAUCUUCACGUCGCCUCAGCCGCCGCCUCUCGCGCCGCCGCCGCCAUCUCCGGCAGUACCUGGCCGACGGAAAAAUACCGACACGUUCUGCGCUACUGGACGCCGACAACCGCCUAGGUGGGACAGACGCCGCCGCCGUCGUCAGCUCGGCGUGCGGUUCGCCGUCAUGUUGUGCGUGACCAGACGCCGACAACCGCCUCGGUCGGGCACACGCCGCCGCCGCGGUCAGCUCGGCGUUGUUCGUCGUCGAGCCUCCGGCGAAUCUCAACACUAUUGUCAUGUCUGAUGAAGGCAACGAGGUACGCGAGCCGCUUGAUUUAAAUAGGGAUUUUAGUUGCGAAGAUGUUUCGUGCUCGAUGUUUGAAUGGAUCUUUGAUUAUAUAUAAACGUGUAUAGAUGGAGGCGGAAAUCGGAUAUGACGGUGAUGAUGGCGGUAGCGAGGACGGAUCAUUGUCAUUGGAUGAAGACGAACAUGACGGGAAUUAUAUGAGUUUGGAUGAGUCUUACAGUGGCAAUGUAAGUGGUUUGCAUGUUGUCAAGCAUAUUAAAUACAAGCAUCCUCAAUGAUAAUAACAUGUACUUGUUUGACUUUGCACAGGUAGGAGGGGAUUAUGACAAUGAGGAUAUGGAUGUAGAUGAUUCAUAUGCUGAAAGCGGUGCUACCUCUUGAGCACUGCGUUGGUUUUUCCCUUGAAGAGGAAUGGGUGAUGCACCAAAGUAGCGUAAGUAUUUCCCUCAGUUUUUGAGAACCAAGGUAUCAAUCCAGUAGGAGGCUACGCUCGAGUCUCACACACCUACACAAAACAAAUAAGAACCUCGCAACCAACGCGAUAAAGGGGUUGUCAAUCCCUUCACGGUCACUUACGAGAGUGAGAUCUCAUAGAUAUGAUAAGAUAAUAUUUUUGGUAUUUUUAUGAUAAAGAGAAAUAAAGAUGCAAAGUAAAAUAAUAGGCAAUAGAAAUAGCUAAGUGUUGGAAGAUUAAUAUGAUGGAGAAUAGACCCGGGGGGCCAUAGGUUUCACUAGUGGCUUCUCUCAAGAGCAUAAGUAUUACGGUGGGUGAACAAAUUACUGUCGAGCAAUUGAUAGAAUUGAGCAUAGUUAUGAGAAUAUCUAGGUAUGAUCAUGUAUAUAGGCAUCACGUCCGUGACAAGUAGACCGACUCCUGCCUGCAUCUACUACUAUUACUCCACACAUCGACCGCUAUCCAGCAUGCAUCUAGAGUAUUGAGUUCAUAAGAACGGAGUAACGCUUUAAGUAUGAUGGCAUGAUGUAGAGGGAUAAACUCAUGCAAUAUGAUAUAAACCCCAUCUUGUUAUCCUCGAUGGCAACAAUACAAUACGUGCCUUGCUGCCCCUGCUGUCACUGGGAAAGGACACCACAAGAUUGAACCCAAAGCUAAGCACUUCUCCCAUUGCAAGAAAGAUCAAUCUAGUAGGCCAAACCAAACUGAUAAUUCGAAGAGACUUGGAAAGAUAACCAAUCAUACAUAAAAGAAUUCAGAGAAGAUUCAAAUAUUGUUCAUAGAUAAUCUUGAUCAUAAACCCACAAUUCAUCGGUCCCGACAAACACACCGCAAAAGAAGAUUACAUCGAAUAGAUCUCCACGAGAAUCGAAGAGAAUUUUGUAUUGAGAUCCAAAGAGAGAGAAGAGCCAUCUAGCUAAUAACUAUGGACCCGAAGGUCUGAGGUAAACUACUCACACAUCAUCGGAGAGGCUAUGGUGUUGAUGUAGAAGCCCUCCGUGAUCAAUGCCCCCUCUGGCAGGACGCCGGAAAAGGCCCCAAGAUGGGAUCUCACGGGUACAGAAGGUUGCGGCGGUGGAAUUAGGUUUUCGUGGAUGCCUCUGAUGGUUUGGGGUACGUAGGUAUAUAUAGGAGGAAGAAGUAUGUCGGUGGAGCAACGUGGGCCCCACGAGGGUGGAGGGCGCGCCUGGGGGGGGUAGGCGCGCCCCCUGCCUCGUGCUCUCCUCAUUGAUUGCUUGAUGUAGACUCCAAGUCCUCUGGAUCACGUUUGUUCCGAAAAUCACGUUCCCGAAGGUUUCAUUCCGUUUGGACUCCGUUUGAUAUUCUUUUUCUGCGAAACUCUGAAAUAGGCAAAAAACAACAAUUUGGGUUGGGCCUCCGGUUAAUAGGUUAGUCCCAAAAAUAAUAUAAAAGUGUAUAAAUAAUCCCAUUAAACAACCAAAACAGAAUAUAUAAUAGCAUGGAACAAUCAAAAAUUAUAGAUACGUUGGAGACGUAUCAAGCAUCCCCAAGCUUAAUUCCUGCUCGUCCUCGAGUAGGUAAAUGAUAAAAACAGAAUUUUUGAUGUGGAAGGCUUCUUGGCAUACUUCUUAAUGUAAUCCUUUUUUAUUGUGGCAUGAAUAUUUAGGUCCGAAAUAUUCAAGAUAAAAGUUUAAUGUUGACAUAAAAACAAUAAUACUUCAAACAUGCUAACCAAGCAAUUAUGUCUUAUCAAAAUAACAUAUCCAAAGAAAGCUUAUCCGUACAAAAUCAUAUAGUUAGGCUAUGUUUCAAUAUUGUCACACAAACGUUCUCAUCAUGCAUAACCCCGAUGACAAGCCGAGCAAUUGGUUCAUACUUUUAACACGCUUCAGCCUUUUCAACUCUUACGCAAUACAUGAGCGCAAGCCAUGGAUAUAGCACUAUGGGUGGAGUAAAGUAUAAAGAUGGGGGUUAUGAGAGAAGACAAAAAGGUAGAAAGUCUCACAUUGGCGCGGCUAAUCAAUAGGCUAUGGAGAUGCCCAUCGAUUGAUGUCAAUGAGAGGAGUAGGGAUUGCCAUGCAACGGAUGCACUAGAGCUAUAAAUACGUGAAAGCUCAACAAAAGAAACUAAGUGGGUGUGCAUCCAACUUGCUUGCUCACGAUGACCUAGGGCAUUUUGAGGAAGCCCAUCAUUGGAAUAUACAAGCCAAGUUCUAUAAUGAAAAAUUCCCACUAGUAUAUGAAAGCGACAACAUAGGAGACUCUCUAUCAUAAAAAUCAUGGUGCUACUUUGAAGCACAAGUGUGGAAAAGGAUAGUAGCAUUGUCACUUCUAUCUUUUUCUCGCAUUUUUUUGUUUGGGCCUUCUCCUUUUUUUCUUUGGCCUCUUUUUUUUAGUCUGGAAUCUCAUCCCGACUUGUGGGGGAAUCAUAGUCUCCAUCAUCCUUUCCUCACAUGGGACAAUGCUCUAAUAAUGAUGAUCAUCACACUUUUAUUACUUACAACUCAAUACUUAGAACAGUUAUGACUCUAUGUGAAUGCCUCCGGCGGUGUACCGGGAUAUGCGAUGAAUCAAGAGUGACAUGUAUGAAAAAAUUAUGAAUAGUGGCUUUGCCACAAAAUACGAUGUCAACUACAUGAUCAUGCAAAGCAAUAUGACAAUGAUGAAGUGUGUCAUAAUAAACGGAAUGGUGGAAAGUUGCAUGGCAAUAUAUCUCGGAAUGGCUAUGGAAAUGCCAUAAUAGGUAGGUAUGGUGGCUGUUUUGAGGAAGAUAUAAGGAGGUUUAUGUGUGAUAGAGCGUAUCGUCGGGGUUUGGAUGCACCAGCGAAGUUUGCACCAACUCUCAAUGUGAGAAAGGGCAAUGCUCGGUACCGUAGAGGCUAGAAAAUUGUGGAAGGUUGAGAGUGCGUAUAAUCCAUGGACUCACAUUAGUCAUAAAGAACUUAUAUACUUGUUGCAAAAGUUUAUUAGCCCUCGAAGCAAAGUACUACUACGCAUGCCCCUAGAGGGAUAGAUUGGUAGGAAAAGACCAUUGCUCGUCCCUGACCGCCACUCAUAAGGAAAGCAAUAAAAGAACACCUAUGUGUCAAAAUUGUUACACAACUUUUACCAUACGUGCAUGCUACGGGACUUGCCAAGUUUAACAAGAGUAUUUCUCAAUUUCACAAUUACUCAACUGGCACACUCUAAUAUUACCACCUUUAUAUCUCAAAACACUUAUCAAGUAUCUAACUUCUCAUGAUAUUUAAUGAACUCAAUAUAGAAGAUUAAUUUCACGAUUAAAGCAAAUUACCAUGCUGUUUAAGACUCUCAAAAUAAUAUAAGUGAAGCAUGAGAGUUCAACAAUUUCUAUAAAAUAUAACCACCGCCGUGCUCUAAAAGAUAUAAGUGAAGCACUAGAGCAAAACUAUAUAGCUCAAAGAAUAUAAGUGAAGCACAUAGAGUAUUCUAACAAAUUCCGAAUCAUGUGUGUCUCUCUCAAAAGGUGUGUACAUCAAGGAUGAUUGUGGCAAACUAACAAAUAAAGACUCAAAUCAUACAAGACGCUCCAAGCAAAACACAUAUCAUCUGGUGAAUAAAAAUAUAGCUCCAAGUAAAUUUACCGAUGGAUGAGGACGAAAGAGGGGAUGCCUUCCGCGGCAUCCCCAAGCUUUGGCUUUUUGGUGUCCUUGGAUUAUCUUGGGGUGCCAUGGGAAUCCCCAAUCUUAGGCUCUUGCCACUCCUUGUUCCAUACUCCAUCAAAUCUUUACCCAAAACUUGAAAACUUCACAACACAAAACUUAACAAAAAAUCUCGUGAGCUCCGUUAGUGAAAGAAAACAAAACACCACUUCAAGGUACUGUAUUGAACUCAUUAUUUAUUUAUAUUGGUGUUAAACCUACUGUAUUCCAACUUCUCUAUGGUUUAUAAACUAUUUUACUAGCCAUAGAUUCAUCAAAAUAAGCAAACAACACACGAAAAACAGAAUCUGUCAAAAACAGAACAGUCUGUAGUAAUCUGUAACUAACGCAAACUUAUGGAACUCUAAAAAUUCAGCCAAUAUAGGACGACCUAAAUAAUUUGUUUAUUUAUCUGCUGCAAUUGGAAUCAAUAUUAUAUCACAUUCUGGUAAUUUUUAACAAUUGUUUUCGUGAACAGAAAGUUUCUGAAAUUUUCAGCAAGAUCAAAUAACUAUCAUCCAAGAAGAUCCUAUAGGUUUAACUUGGCACAAACACUAAUUAAAACUUAAAAACAAAUCUAACCAGAGGCUAGAUCAGAUAUUUAUUCCUAAACAUAAGCAAAAAGCAAAAAAACUAAAAAUAAAAUUGGGUUGCCUCCCAACAAGCGCUAUCGUUUAACGCCCCUAGCUAGGCAUAAAAACACGGAUAGAUCUAGGUAUUGCCAUCUUUGGUAGGCAAUCCAUAGGUAGCUCUCAUAAUAAAUUCAUAAGGUAAUUUUAUUUUCUUUCUAGGGAAGUGUUCCAUGCCUUUCCUUAACGGAAAUUGGAAUCUAAUAUUCCCUUCCUUCAUAUCAAUAAUUGCACCAAUCUUUCUAAGGAAAGGUCUACCAAGAAUAAUAGGACAUGAAGGAUUGCAAUCUAUAUCAAGAAUAAUAAAAUCUAUGGGCACAUAAUUCCUAUUUGCAACAAUAAGAACAUCAUUAAUUCUUCCCAUAGGUUUCUGGAUAGUGGAAUCCGCAAGGUGUAAGUUUAAAGAGCAAUCAUCAAAUUCGCGGAAACCUAUCAAACCACACAAAGUUUUUGGAAUCGUGGAAACACUAGCACCCAAAUUACACAAAGCAUAGAAUUCAUGAUCUUUAAUUUUAAUUUUAAUAGUAGGUUCCCACUCAUCAUAAAGUUUUCUAGGGAUAGAAACUUCCAACUCAAGUUUUUCUUCAUAAGAUUGCAUCGAAGCAUCAAUGAUAUGUUUAGUAAAAGCUUUAUUUUGACUAUAAGCAUGUGGAGAAUUUAGCACGGAUUGCAACAAGGAAAUACAAUCUAUCAAUGAGAAAUUAUCAUAAUUAAAUUCCUUGGAAUCCAAAAUAGUGGGUUCAUUGCUAUCUAAAGUUUUAACCUCUUCAAUCCCACUUUUAUCAAUUUUUGCAUCAAGAUCUAAAAACUCAGAAUUUUUUGAACGCCUUCUAGGUAAAGGCGGAUCAUCUCCAGUCCCAUCAUUAAGAUUCAUAUUGCAAAACAAAGAUUUAAUAGGGGACUCAUCAAUAACUUUUAGAUCUUCAUCUCUAUUCUCACAAAAAAAUUCCAGCUUAGCGGCCAUCUUAUUAACUAAGGUGGCCUGCUUAUCCGAAACUUCAGCUAUUAACUUUUCGAGAUGAGCAAUCUGAGAUUUCAAACCAUAAAAUUCUUUAGACAUAUCAUCGAGCUCUUUAUUCGUAUAACCCGUAAAGCUUUUUUGUUCCUUAAGCUCGUUCCUAAGGAAAUUAUUAUGCUCAAAUUGUAAAGUCAUAAAACUCUGGACGUUGCUUUCGAUCUCUUCUAACCUUUUAAGGUGAAGAUCACCAAAUCUAGGUAGAGCCAUCGUGACAAGCAAGCAAUCCAACAUACGAGCAAACAAGAAGCGAGCGAAAAAGAGGCGAACGGAAAAGAGAGGGCGAAUAAAAUGGCAAGCGUGAAGUGGGGGAGAGGAAAACGAGAGGCAAAUGGCAAAUAAUGUAAUGUGAGGGAUAAGAGUUUGUGAUGGGUACUUGGUAUGUUGACUUUUGCGUAGACUCCCCGGCAACGGCGCCAGAAAUCACUCUUGCUACCUCUUGAGCACUGCGUUGGUUUUUCCCUUGAAGAGGAAAGGGUGAUGCAGUAAAGUAGCAUAAGUAUUUCCCUUAGUUUUUGAGAACCAAGGUAUCAAUCCAGUAGGAGGCUACGCUCGAGUCCCACGCACCUACACAAAACAAAUAAGAACCUCGCAACCAACGCGAUAAAGGGGUUGUCAAUCCCUUCACGGUCACUUACGAGAGUGAGAUCUCAUAGGUAUGAUAAGAUAAUAUUUUUGGUAUUUUUAUGAUAAAGAGAAAUAAAGAUGCAAAGUAAAAUAAAAGGCAAUAGAAAUAGCUAAGUGUUGGAAGAUUAAUAUGAUGGAGAAUAGACCCGGGGGCCAUAGGUUUCACUAGUGGCUUCUCUCAAGAGCAUAAGUAUUACGGUGGGUGAACAAAUUACUGUCAAGCAAUUGAUAGAAUUGAGCAUAGUUAUGAGAAUAUCUAGGUAUGAUCAUGUAUAUAGGCAUCACGUCCGUGACAAGUAGACCGACUCCUGCCUGCAUCUACUACUAUUACUCCACACAUCGACCGCUAUCCAGCAUGCAUCUAGAGUAUUGAGUUCAUAAGAACGGAGUAACGCUUUAAGUAUGAUGGCAUGAUGUAGAGGGAUAAACUCAUGCAAUAUGAUAUAAACCCCAUCUUGUUAUCCUCGAUGGCAACAAUACAAUACGUGCGUUGCUGCCCCUGCUGUCACUGGGAAAGGACACCACAAGAUUGAACCCAAAGCUAAGCACUUCUCCCAUUGCAAGAAAGAUCAAUCUACUAGGCCAAACCAAACUGAUAAUUCGAAGAGACUUGGAAAGAUAACCAAUCAUACAUAAAAGAAUUCAGAGAAGAUUCAAAUAUUGUUCAUAGAUAAUCUUGAUCAUAAACCCACAAUUCAUCGGUCCCGACAAACACACCGCAAAAGAAGAUUACAUCGAAUAGAUCUCCACGAGAAUCGAAGAGAAUUUUGUAUUGAGAUCCAAAGAGAGAGAAGAAGCCAUCUAGCUAAUAACUAUGGACCCGAAGGUCUGAGGUAAACUACUCACACAUCAUCGGAGAGGCUAUGGUGUUGAUGUAGAAGCCCUCCGUGAUCAAUGCCCCCUCUGGCAGGAUGCCAGAAAAGGCCCCAAGAUGGGAUCUCACGGGUACAGAAGGUUGCGGCGGUGGAAUUAGGUUUUCGUGGAUGCCUCUGAUGGUUUGGGGGUACGUAGGUAUAUAUAGGAGGAAGAAGUACGUCGGUGGAGCAACAUGGGCCCCACNNNNNNNNNNNNNNNNNNNNNNNNNNNNNNNNNNNNNNNNNNNNNNNNNNNNNNNNNNNNNNNNNNNNNNNNNNNNNNNNNNNNNNNNNNNNNNNNNNNNNNNNNNNNNNNNNNNNNNNNNNNNNNNNNNNNNNNNNNNNNNNNNNNNNNNNNNNNNNNNNNNNNNNNNNNNNNNNNNNNNNNNNNNNNNNNNNNNNNNNNNNNNNNNNNNNNNNNNCGUAGACUCCAAGUCCUCUGGAUCACGUUUGUUUCAAAAAUCACGUUCCCGAAGGUUUCAUUCCGUUUGGACUCCGUUUGAUAUUCUUUUUCUGCGGAACUCUGAAAUAGGCAAAAAACAACAAUUUGGGUUGGGCCUCCGGUUAAUAGGUUAGUCCCAAAAAUAAUAUAAAAGUGUAUAAAUAAUCCCAUUAAACAACCAAAACAGAAUAUAUAAUAGCAUGGAACAAUCAAAAAUUAUAGAUACGUUGGAGACGUAUCAAGCGGUAGCCAUGUAAGUUUAAAAUUAUGCAAUUUAGUUUAAAGUGACAUGAAAAACACAUCAAAUCUUACGAAUCAUAUUUAAAAUUUGCGCAGAUGGAAGUGGAAGGGUACUAUGAGUGGAAUUUCUUCAAUGAUGCCAAUGACGAAAACGAUAUCGAUGCAUCUUAUAAUGACAGCUCGAGCAAAAUAAGUAGUGCAAAGUAAUACAUAUGAUAGUCCUCAUACAACUACUUACUGACAUAUAAGGUUGUUUCUAUUUUUUUCAGGGAGAGGUUGGUGGCCCGUGCGAAAACGAUGAUGAUGCCAAUGGUGAUGAGUGCAAUUUUGACACUGGGUACGAUGAAUACCAGCAAGAAUCACUGGACAAGCAUUGGGUGGUGAUGUCCACGACGUUCAGGACAGACGGGGAGGCAUAUGAUUUCUAUAACGACUAUGCGAAAAAGCGUGGCUUCAGCAUUAGGAGGGACAACUUGAAAUACGCGAAGGAAUGAAUUCUUCAGCAGAUUCCUCGGUAGGAAUGACAUCCUCAGCAGCCUUGAACUUGAUAGUUUCCUCAGGUGUUGGUUCAUCUAUCACAGAAGGUAGGUGCUCUCUUUGCGAGCCAUUAGUUUCAUCGAACCGCACAUCUACAGUUUCAACAACCUUGUUAAGAACGUUGUUGAAGACUCUGUAGGUGUGCGAGUCAUUUCCCUAACAAAGCAUGAAACCUUCAUGUGCUUUCGGUGCAAAUUUUGAGUUGUGAUGAGGAUCUCUAAUCCAGCAUUUAGCACCGAAGACUUUGAAAUAACUCACAUUGGGUUUCUUGUCAGUGAGGAGUUCAUAGGCAGUCUUCUUGAAGAAUUUGUGAAGAUAUACUCUGUUGAUGAUGUGGCACGCAGUAUCAAUUGCAUCAAUCCAAAAACGACGAGGCGUUUUGUAUUCAUCAAGCAUAGUGCGAGCCAUCUCAGCAAGAGUCCUGUUCUUGCGCUCCACGACGCCAUUCUGCUGAGGAGUAUAAGGAGCAGAUAACUCAUUAGUAAUACCAAGUUCAUCAAUAUAGUCAUCAAGACCAGAAUUCUUGAACUCAGUUCCAUUGUCACUUCUGAUGUGCUUGAUCUUCACACCAAAGUUGGUUGAAGCCCUCGAGGAAAAUCGUUCGAAGACUUCCUGCACUUCAGGUUUGUAAGUAACAAUGUGUACCCAUGUGUAACGAGAGUAAUCAUCAACAAUAACAAAGCCAUAUUGAGAUGCAUCAUUUGAAACUGCAGAAUAAUGAUUAGGACCAAAGAGAUCCAUGUGAAGCAAUUCAAAUGGUCGAGUGGUGGUCAUGAUAGUCUUCGCUGGAUGCUUGGCCUUGGUCAUCUUUCCAGCUUCACAGGCUCCGCAUAAGUGAUCCUUGAGGAAUUUGACAUUCUCAAUGCCAAUGACAUGCUUCUUCUUUGCAAGUGUGUGCAAAUUCCUCAUGCCUGCAUGACCAAGUCAUCGAUACCAUAGCCAGCCUUCUGAAGCUUUUGCAAGUAGGCACACGGCUAGUUGUGGUCCUGUAGAGAAAUCAACAAUAUACAAGUCUCCCCUCCUAAAGCCUUCGAAGACUUUGGAAUUAUCAGCUUCCAUGAUCACAACACAACGAUACUUGCCAAAGACAACAAAGCAUAUCAAGAUCGCAAAGCAUUGAGACAGACAUGAGGUUGUAUCCUAAGGACUCGACAAGCAUGACUUUGUCCAUGUGUCGAUCCUUUGAGAUCGCAACCUUACCUAGACCCAAUACCUGACUUUUGCCUUUGUCAGCGAAGAUGAUAUGCUUCAGAUGCGAUGGAGAUAAGGGAGCAUCCAUCAAUAGAUUCUUGUCACCAGUCAUGUGAUUUGUACAUCCACUAUCGAGGACCCACUCAUUGGCUUUGGGUUGAUCAUCCUGCAGAUGAAUUAGUGCAGCUUACGAACUCAUAAACUUCAUCAGUGAAGAAUAUGACAUCACAAUUCAUCAGAUCAAUUUCAUCAAGUAAUAGAACAGAUAAAGCAAUAUGAGGACGUGAGAAAUGAUAGUUCAUUUCUUCAUGAUUAGCCUGCGUCCUUUCAGGCAUUCUCGGGUCUCCAGCAAAUUCUUCAGACGUUUAUGCACGUCUGGAGACCUGACCUUGCAGAGGAGAUUAGUUCCUUUUCUUCACCACGCACAUCUGCAGGGGUGGCAAAGAGUUCAUCACUCUGCGAGCUCCAUAUGAGAAAGGUGGCAUAGACGCCAGUCCAUUUCGUUUCACAUAAGAGGAGUUAGGAUAAGCAUAUGAAUAAGCAGAGAAAUUCUUCGAGGACUUAUGAAAAUAAUUAUUAGAAGAAUAAUGCUCAUAUUCAUAGCCCUUAGUUCUUCCCUGCGAAAAGAGGUGUUAGCACGAUGAUGUUCAUAUGAGGACUUUGAUCCUUUUGAGGAAUUUGAUCCACGUGAGGAAUUUGGUCCGUAUGAGGACUUGGAUCCAUAUGAAGAAUUUUGUCCAUAUGAAGAAUUUGAUCCGGGGUUCCUAUUCUUCACAGGUGGUGUGAUGAGGACAUUCACCUGAAGACUUUCGAGGCAUCUUUUGCGAACCCAGAUUUUCUUCACAGGGGAACCGUUCCUGCAGUUAGUGCCAACAUAUCUAGCAAAUACUUUACCAUUCUGAUUUUUGACCAGUUUAUAGUUGGAGUCAAAUGACUCAUCAGAAGAAUGAGGAGAUUCACAUGUAAAGCCAGAAAAGUUGGAUGGAUCAACUGGAGGUCCCUUUGCAGCAACCCAUGAGGUUUUGGGUUACUGCUCAGGCUUCCAAUAUGUACCAUCAGCGUUGAGUUUCCUCUCAAAGGCAAUACCCUCUUUCCUAGGGUUCCUAUUGAGGAUCUGCUUUUUAAGCACGUCACAAAGAGUCUGAUGCCCUUUGAGGAUUUUGUACAUGCCUGUCAUUUACAAUUCCUUCAGCCCUGCAUCAUCAGUGAUACUAGCAAUGUCCUCAGAUGAGGAAUUAGUGAUAGCAGAGACAAUUGAAGAAUUUGUAGCAUUAGAAGCAUUUGAACAUUCAGGUGAAGAAUUAGCUGAUUCACGUUCAAUGCAUUUCAAGCAUGGAGGAACAAAUUCUUCCUGAGCAGCGCUGAUUUGUUGAGCAAGUAAUGAAUCGCGCUCCUUCUGAAGAUCUUCAUAACUCACCCUUAGCUUUUCAAGAUCUUGCUUUCUUUGAAGAAAUUCAUAAGAAAGCUUCUCAUGAUCAGAUAAGAGAGUGUUAUGAUGACCUUCAAGGUUGUCAAACCUAGACUGAAGUCUCUGAAGAUUUUCAGUUAAGGUUUUAGUGCGAUCCAUUUCUUCACCCAACAUAUCAUCACUUUUGUCUAGCAUGUUUUGAACCUUUUCAAAAGCCUUUUGUUGUUUCACAGCAACCUUAGCAAGUUUUGAGUAGCCGGGCUUGAGGUUUUCAUCAGAUUCAUUCUCACUUGAUUCAGAGGAGGUAUAUUUGAGUACCUUGGCACCCUUUGCCAUGAAGCAAUAGGUGGGAGCGUAGUCAUCAUUGUCUUCAUCAGCCUUGUUGAUGGAGCCAUUUUCUUCAGAGUUGAAGAUAGACUUGCUGACGAAUGCAGUAGCGAGAGCUAGACUCGCCACACCAGACUCGGACUCCUCAGAUGCCUCCUCUUCCUCAUGUUCCCCAGAUUCAGCCUCAGAGUCCAUUUCCUUGCCAAUGAAUGCCCAAGCCUUCUUGGAGCUGCUCUUCUUGUGACAUGAAGACUUCGAGGAUUUUGAUGAUGAAGAUUUCGAUGAUUUCUUCUUCUUCUUCGCGUCAUCAGAACUGUAAUCCUUGUAUUUCUUCUUCUUUCAUUCCUUUUCCCACUGAGGACAAUCUUGAAUGUAGUGACCAGGUUUCUUGCACUUGUGGCAUAGCCUCUUCUUGUAGUCAUUGGAUGAGGAAUCAUUGCUCCUUGAGGAUUUUCCAAAGAGACCACGUCUUGAGAACCUUUGGAAUUUCUUCACGGGCAGUGCUAGCUCCUGGCUCAGUUCUUCAGGAUCACUAAGGCUACUACCAGAAUCUUCACCUUCAGGUUCAGAAACGACCUUGGCCUUCAGGGCACGUGAUCUGCCAUAGCUAGAACCAUAGAGAUCUCUCUUCUCAACAAGCUGGAACUCAUGAGUAUUUAGCCUCUCGAGGAUAUCAGUGGGAUCAAGUGACUUGUAAUCAGCACGUUCUUGUAUCAUCAAUGCUAGAGUAUCAAAUGAUGAAUCAAGCACUAGUAGAAAAAGGGGCUUUCGUUUGGGCCUGGCCAGCCCAUUAGUCCCGGUUCUUCCACGAACCGGGACCAAUGGAGGCAUUUGUCCCGGUUCGUGAGCCCAGGGGGGCGGCCGGGGCCUCGUGGGCAUUGGUCCUGGUUCAUCUGGGCCCAUUUAUCCUGGCUAUUGGCACGAACCGGAACCAAUGGGCCUCGCUCCUGGCCCACAACCGUUGGUCCCCGUUCGUGGCAGGAACCGGGACAGAAGGAUGGCCUUUAGUCCCGGGUCGUGCCACGAACCGGGACAAAUGAUUUGCCUAUAUAUACCCCCUCGCCGGCGAGCAGAGCACUCCACAGUGCUCUGUUUUUUGCUGGCCGGUGAGGGGGAGGGCAUUGGGUGCUCUAGCUCACCUCCUAUGCACAUGAGGUGUUCGAUGAAAUGCCCAAGCCACACUAGUUAAGCUUUCUCCUCUCGAAGCUCGACCUCCGAGCUCCAUUUUUCCCGAGAUUUGUCUAGGUUUAUAUUAGCGGUCCGUCACGCCCCAUCCCCGUCUUCACCGUCGUCGAUCUCGUCGCCGGGACCACCAUGGUGAGCCUCUUGUUCUUAUCUUUUUUCUGAAAGAAAAAAAAUCUUACUUUAGAUAGAUACUUGUCUAAUUUUCUUACUUUUGACACACAUAAUUAUAUAUAAUGCACGCAGAUGAACCGGCAAUGGAUGUACGGUGACAGACACACCUCCGAGUACAUUAAGGGCGUGCAUAAUUUUCUCGAAGUGGUUGAGGCAAACAAGCAGAAUGGUUUUAUGUGUUGUCCAUGCCCUAAUUGUGGGAAUACGAGGUCUUACCCUGACAAGAAAACCCUUCACACCCACAUGCUUUAUAAGGGUUUCAUGCCACACUAUAAUGUUUGGACGAAGCACGGAGAAAUAGGGGUUAUGAUGGAAGACAGCGAAGAAGAAGAGGACGAUGACAACUAUGUGCCCCCUGAAUACGGUGGUGCUGCAACGGGGGAAGCUGAAGAUCAAGAGGAAGCUGAAGAUCAAGGGGAACCAGACGAUGUGCCCGAUGAUGAUCUCCGCCGGGUCAUUGUUGAUGCAAGGGAAAAGUGCGAAAGUGAAAAGGAGAAGUUGAAGUUCGAUCGCAUGUUAGAGGACCACAAAAAAGGGUUGUACCCCAAUUGCGAAGAUGGCAACACAAAGCUCGGUACCGUACUGGAAUUGCUGCAGUGGAAGGCAGAGAAUGUUGUGCCUGACAAAGGAUUUGAGAAGCUACUGAAAAUAUUGAAGAAGAAGCUUCCAAAGGAUAACGAAUUGCCCGACAGUACGUACGCAGCAAAGAAGGUCGUAUGCCCUCUAGGAUUGGAGGUGGAGAAGAUACAUGCAUGCCCUAAUGACUGCAUCCUCUACCGCGGUGCGUACAAGGAUUUGAACGCAUGCCCGGUAUGCGGUGCAUUGUGGUAUAAGAUCAGACGAGAUGACCCUAGGUGAUGUUGAGGGCGAGCCCCGCAGGAAGAGGGUUCCUGCGAAGGUGAUGUGGUAUGAUCCUAUAAUACCACGGUUGAAACGACUGUUCAGAAACAAAGAGCAUGCCAAGUUGAUGCGAUGGCACAGUGAGGACCGUAAGAAAGACGGGAAGUUGAGAGCACCCGCUGACGGGUCGCAGUGGAGAAAAAUCGAGAGGAAGUUCUGGGCUGAGUUUGCAAGUGACCCAAGGAACGUAUGGUUUGCUUUAAGCGCGGAUGGCAUUAAUCCUUUCGGGGAACAGAGCAGCAAUCACAGCACCUGGCCCGUGACUCUAUGUAUGUAUAACCUUCCUCCUUGGAUGUGCAUGAAGCGGAAGUUCAUUAUGAUGCCAAUUCUCAUCCAAUGCCCUAAGCAACCCGGCAACGACAUUGAUGUGUACCUAAGGCCAUUAGUUGAAGAACUCUUACAGCUGUGGAAUGGAACAGGUGUACGUGCGUGGGAUGAGCACAUGGGGGAAGAAUUUGACCUAAAGGCGUUGCUGUUCGUGACCAUCAAUGAUUGGCCCGCUCUUAGUAACCUUUCAGGACAGAAAAACAAGGGAUACCACGCAUGCACGCACUGUUUAGCUGACACCGAAAGUAUAUACCUGGACAGAUGCAUGAAGAAUGUGUACCUGGGCCAUCGUCGAUUUCUCCCGACCAACCAUCAAUGUCGAAAGAAAGGCAAGCAUUUCAAAGGCGAGGUAGAUCACCGUAAGAAGCCUGUAGGAGAUAUGCCCUAGAGGCAAUAAUAAAUGAUAUUAUUUAUCUCCGAGUUCAUAAUUAUGUUUAUGUUCCAUGCUAUAACUGCAAUGAUUCUCGAGUCUGCAAUAUCCACGAGGCUCGGAGGAAGACUCAUAUGCACGUGUGGAAUAAUAAACGGUAAGAAGUAUUCCUAGUCUGGCCUCUAAGACUAGCUCAAGUGUUGCAUGAUGAUUCUGUUUUCCUGGUCAUGGGCAUGUCUAUGCCAGCAACUUUGAGGGCACAAUGUUAAGAGAACAUUUGUGUUGAAUCGACCCGGAUUGAUGUUAUGCUAUGAGAUUCAUUCUUCACAAGUUUAUUGGUACAUAACACAGAGAUGGUUAAUGUUUGCAUGAUUCCUUAGACCAUGAGAGUAUCGAGUUUCUUCAUGCUUGCUUCAUGAACUUUGGGGUUUGUUAAACGUCAUCCGUAAAUGGGUGGCUAUUACGGCGGCUUACGGGUUCAUGGAAAAGUGUGUCAAGUAACUUGAUAGCUCAAGAUUGGGAUUUGCUCCUCCGACGAUGGAGAGAUAUCUCUGGGCCCUCUCGGUGUUACGGUAUCCAUCAUCGUCUGGCCAGACACUUUGUGAUUUGAUCACGGGGAUGCCGGAACACGAUAACGAGAAAAGAGAGCAAUACCGGUAACGAGGUAACUAGCAUAGUGGACAAGUUGUUGAUCCACGGGAAUGCCAACAUGUCUCACCUCGGGUAUUUUUAACAUAUCGCGAAGCAACAGGAAUAGCACACGGCAACUGGAGGUUCACUCGAAUAUUUAUUCGUGUGGGUAUAGGGGUCAAUAUGGGUGUCCACGGCUCCGAUGUUGAUCAUUGAUCGGAAGGGGUUCCGGGUCAUGUCUAUACUUCACCGAACCUAUAGGGUCACACGCUUAAGGGUCAUCUAUCUGCUGAAUACUAGACAGGGAGUCUGAAAGAAAAACACCGAAAAAGUUUCGGACACCGAAAAGUUUCGGACAGCGGAAUCGUACCGCAGAGAGAGGUCAUCGGAUAAGUUUCGGUGAUACCGAAAAGUUGUUUCGGGAUACACCAUUAAGUCAAAUUGGUUUCGGCACAUGCCUGAUAAUUCUUGGAGGAUGCCAGAAUCAUUCUGGAAGCUUUUUGGAAUUUUCUGAGAUAAAAACCGGAAAUGUUCCGGAGCUGCCGGAGCCACUUCAGAUGCGUUUCGCAGAUGAAAAUCACUAAAACCGGAAUUGUUUCGGAACGCGUUGAAAAUCAUUUUAGUGGGUACUGGAAAUGUUCUUAGCCCACAUAAAUAUUUUCAGUUCGAUCAGACGCUGAAAAAUGUCGUCGUGAAUAGUGAAAAUCAGCUUUAUGGUUACUUUAUGGAAAGCCACCUUUUGGGGCUUUGCUCCAAAAGAUCUUGGGGAUGACAUGGAUGGAUAGGAGCCAUUAUUUGGGCCCCUCAUGGGGGUGUGGCCGGCCACAUGGGGUAUCCCCCCUUGGGGACCCUCUUGUUCCUUGGUUUCACUCCUAGGUCCUUGUGGAAGGACUUCAUUCAUGUGCAUUUUGGGUUUUUUGUGAAACUACCCUACCCCCUUGGGAUUUCCUAUAAAUAGAGGUGGAGGGGCAGCCCUCCACACUCAUCCCUUGCUCUCAUACACAUGCCAUGCAUUAUCUGGCUUCUUCUCUCCCUCCCACGAAAAGAGUUUCGUAGAGCCGUAAGGCUGUCUGGUUUCCGGCAGGAACUAGUUCUGGACGGCGAAGCCCUGCCGGAUAGAUGACACCGUAUGUGUGCAACUCUGUAGAGAGAUCGUAGUUUCGGUCUUAGUUCGUGAGUGCCUCCCGAAGGGCUGUCCGUGUGACCGUCCGAGUUUCGAAGGUCCUCCCGAAGGGCUGUCCGAGUGACCGUUCGAGUUUCGAAGGUCCUCCCGAAGGGCUGUCCGCGACACCGUCCGGGGGGCUGUUCGACCGCCUCCCGGAGGGCUGUCUGAGGAGCAGAUGAGGGUAUACAUCCUCGCGGUUGGGAGGUUGUAAAUCCUAGCUGCGGGGAUCUGCACCGCCGAUCGUCAUCGACUCUACUUCCCGCUGCGCUACGAGUCGGUAACGAAAAAGAUCAAACCAUGUAUGCAGUCUCCAUAGUGGUCCUGGGCUGGUGCGUAGGUCGGAAAAAUUUUGUUUUCUGCUGCGUUCCCCUACAAAGCCCGCCAUGCGUACCGGUGAUCACGUACUUGCUAUGGUCUCUAAUUUACAUGUAAUAUUUGAAAAGGGUCCCGGUGGACUAGCUGUUCCAAAUGACGCUGAGGGACGCGCACCCAUGUGGAAGAAGAAAUCUAUAUUUUGGGACCUACCCUACUGGAAAGAGCUAGAGGUACGCUCUUCAAUCAACGUGAUGCACGUGACGAAGAACCUUUGCGUGAACCUAUUAGGCUUCUUGGGCGUGUAUGGGAAGACAAAAUAUACACCUGAGGCAAGGGAGGACCUGCAACGUUUGCACGAAAAAGACGGCAUGCCUCCAAAGCAGUACGAAGGUCCUGCCAGCUACGCUCUUACCAAAGAAGAGAAGGAAAUCUUUUUUGAAUGCCUGCUCAGUAUGAAGGUCCCGACUGGCUUCUCGUCGAAUAUAAAGGGAAUAAUAAAUAUUUCAGAGAAAAAGUUCCAGAACCUAAAGUCUCAUGACUGCCACGUGAUUAUGACGCAACUACUUCCGGUUGCAUUGAGGGGGCUUCUACCGGAAAACGUCCGGUUAGCCAUUGUGAAGCUAUGUGCAUUCCUCAAUGCAAUCUCUCAGAAGGUGAUCGAUCCAGAAAUCAUACCAAGGCUAAGGAGUGAUGUGGCGCAGUGUCUUGUCAGUUUCGAGCUGGUGUCCCCACCAUCCUUCUUCAAUAUCAUGACGCACGUCCUAGUUCAUCUAGUCGACGAGAUUGUCAUUCUGGGCCCCGUAUUUCUACACAAUAUGUUCCCCUUUGAGAGGUUCACGGGAGUCCUAAAGAAAUAUGUCUGUAACCGUGCUAGGCCAGAAGGAAGCAUCUCCAUGGGCCAUCAAACAGAGGAUGUCAUUGGGUUUUGUGUUGACUUCAUUCCUGGCCUUAAGAAGAUAGGUCUCCCUAAAUCGCGGUAUGAUGGGAGACUGACUGAAAAAGGCACGCUAGGAGCGGACUCAAUAAUAUGCAGGGACGGGCAUUCUUGGUCUCAAGCACACUACACAGUUCUACAGAACUCUACCUUGGUGACCCCGUAUGUCGAUGAACACAAGAACAGUCUGCGCUCCAAACACCCAGAGCAGUGUGACGACUGGAUUACAUGUGAACACAUCAGGACUUUCAGCAGUUGGUUGGAAACACGUCUCAGAGGUGACAACACUGUUUGUGAUGAGCUGUACUCGUUGUCCAGGGGACCAUCUUGGACUGUAUUGACUUACAAAGGAUACGAGAUAAAUGGGAAUACAUUUUACACGAUCGCCCAAGAUCAAAAGAGCACCAACCAAAACAGCGGUGUCCGCUUUGAUGCAGCAACCGAGAGGGGAAAGGACACAUAUUAUGGUUACAUAAUGGACAUAUGGGAACUUGACUACGGACAUGAUUUUAAGGUCCCUUUGUUUAAGUGCAAAUGGGUCAAUCUGUCAGAAGGCAGGGUAUAGGUAGACCCAUAGUACGGAAUGACAAAAGUGGAUCUGAACAAUCUUGGGUACACUGACGAACCGUUCGUCCUAGCCAAUGAUGUGGCACAGGUUAUCUAUGUGAAGGACAUGUCUACCAAACCGAGAAAAAGAAAAGAUAAGGAAGCGAAUACAUCAUACGAUGAGCCAAAGCGCCACAUAGUUCUUUCAGGAAAAAGGAACAUCGUGGGAGUGGAGGGCAAGACAGACAUGUCUGAAGAUUAUGGAAAGUUUCAUGAAAUUCCUCCCUUCAAAGUCAAGGCUGACCCAAGCAUCCUGAUAAACGAUGAAGAUUAUCCAUGGUUACGGCGCAAUAAGCAAAGCACACAAGCGAAAAAAAGUGAAGACUUUCUCUCCACAACUAUUAUGAUGAUACCAUGCCAACUUUCAACCUUUUCGUAGUUCAUUUGAAAUGCCUGUUGUAACAGACGAGUUUCCGUAUGAAAUCCUGAUACUUCGAAACAGAUUGUCCGUAUUGUACAUGAAGUGCAUCCAGUUUUUGCCGUAACCCUCUCUACUUUCUUGCACAUGCUAUGUGGGUGAAAUGAUGAUACCAUGCCAACUUUCAACCUUUUCAGAGUUCAUUUGUAGUGCUUUUCAAUUUCAGGGUCUUAUAGCUCAAAAUAAUCAGUAAAUGCAUGGAAAAUAAAAAAUAUCAUAAAAUAAAAUAAAUAAGUAAUUAGAAACAGAAUAAAAUAUAUAAGUAGAAACAAAAUAAAAUAAACUUUAAUAACAUAAAGAAAAUUUAUGAAACUAAAAUUAUCAACGUAUUUUCUGUUCAAAACAUUAUAAGCAACCUCUAGUAUUAUUGAAACUAAAAAUUAUAUAAAAUUGAUGCAACUAGAAUUAUCAAAGUUUUUCUGUUCAAAAUCAUUAAAAGCAAAAAGAAUUUUCAUAAAGAAUUUUUUUGUUAGAAACUUUAAUAGCAAAAAGAAUGAUCAUAAAAUAAAAUAAAUAAGUAUUUUGUUGUAAGUAGAAACAAAAUAAAAUAAAUAAAGCAAAAAAGAAAAGAAAUAAACUAGGAAAAAAUAAAAAAAAAAUGCCACCUACUGGGCCACAAUGGCAUGAAUACGACUAGAAACCCAUCCAUGGGCUAGGAUUCAGGCCCGCAGAAGGCCCAGCAGGCCCACAGGCAUAGCACUGCGAGAUUAGGCCCAGAGGCCUGCAAUUCAGAGGAGUUCAAUGGAGAUGGCGGGGCAGGGCUUAUAAACAGGUCCUGCCGCUCCUCGGCUAGCAAGGUGGGACUAAACAUCCCACCGCACCGCGGCUUUGGCAGGCGCAGGCCUUUGGUCCCGGUUGGUAGCACCAACUGGCACUAAAAGGGGCAUUGGUCCCGAUUGGCGCCACGAACCGGUACCAAAGCCACCCUUCAGUCCCGGUUGGUGCCAUCAACCGGGACCAAAAGCCUGUGCAUCCCGCCCUUUGGGCUGCUGAAAAGAGGCCUUUGGUCCCGGUUGGUGCCACCAACCGGGACUAAAGGGUGGCUUUGGUCCCGGUUGUUGCCAUGAACCGGGACUAAAGCAUUUCCUAUAUAAGCCAGCACUUGGCAUUUUUUCAGAUUUCAUCGCCAGUUGCCGCCCGACGGCACCGACCUCCUCAAUGCCGCCAGGCUGCCCCGCCGCCGUCGCCGUCGUCCGUGCCCCCGAGCCCACGCCGACGCCGUCCGCCGCCCCCGAGCCCACGCCGUCGCCGGUCGCGCCCCUGCNNNNNNNNNNNNNNNNNNNNNNNNNNNNNNNNNNNNNNNNNNNNNNNNNNNNNNNNNNNNNNNNNNNNNNNNNNNNNNNNNNNNNNNNNNNNNNNNNNNNNNNNNNNNNNNNNNNNNNNNNNNNNNNNNNNNNNNNNNNNNNNNNNNNNNNNNNNNNNNNNNNNNNNNNNNNNNNNNNNNNNNNNNNNNNNNNNNNNNNNNNNNNNNNNNNNNNNNNNNNNNNNNNNNNNNNNNNNNNNNNNNNNNNNNNNNNNNNNNNNNNNNNNNNNNNNNNNNNNNNNNNNNNNNNNNNNNNNNNNNNNNNNNNNNNNNNNNNNNNNNNNNNNNNNNNNNNNNNNNNNNNNNNNNNNNNNNNNNNNNNNNNNNNNNNNNNNNNNNNNNNNNNNNNNNNNNNNNNNNNNNNNNNNNNNNNNNNNNNNNNNNNNNNNNNNNNNNNNNNNNNNNNNNNNNNNNNNNNNNNNNNNNNNNCCUGACGCUGCCUCCUCGUCGUCGUCGCCGUCGCCGCGCACCCUGUGAGCGCCGCCCCGAUCCCCUCCUCCUCCUCCUCCUCCUCCCUGUAAUGGCCGCCGCCGCUGCCACCGCGCCCCCUAGCUAUUAUGUGUAGUUUAGAUUUGUAAUUUAGUUGUAUUAAUUUGGAUGUGUAGUUAGAUGUGUAGUUAAUUUAGUUGUUCUAAUUUAGAUGUAUUAAUUUCGAUGUGUAGUUUAGAUUUUUUUGGUGAUAUUAUUAUUGAAUAUGCAAAUGUUUGUAUGUUCAUAUGCAAAGAAUAUGUCAAUUUUUUCAUAGAAUUUUUAUGUUUUUUUCUGUUGUAAUUUUGUUCAUAGAAUUUUAAUGAUUUUUUUCUGUUGUAAUUUUGUUCAUAGAAUUUUUAUGAUUUUUUUGUUCAUAGAAUUUUCUUUGUCAAUUUAUGUAUAUGUUCAUAUUGUGUAGGAAUCUGAAAAUUGUGUAUGAUCAAAGUAAUUUAUGUAUGUUCAUAUUUAGAAGAAAAAGAAGGAGAGAAAAAAGGAAAAUAAGAAGAGGAAGAAGGAGAAGAAGAAGAAGAAUAAGAAGAAGAGGAGAGGAAGAAGAGGAGAAAUAAAUAAGAAGAUGAAAAAGAAGAAAAAAAAAGAGGAGAAGAAGAAGAAAUAGAGGAGAAGAAGAUUAUUCUAUUUUUUCUUCUUCUCCCUCUAUUCCUUCUUCUUCUCCUCUCUUUUUUUCUUCUUCUUCCUCUUCUUAUUUUUUUAUUGGGUAUGUCGUUGUCGAUAUACCCCCCUCCCCGAUAACUUUUAGUAGGUACUACUUAGAAAGUGUUUAAUAGAAUUAGUUAGAAAAAUAAUAGAACUAGUUAAACUAGUUUAUUUUUAGUAAGUACUACUUUAUUCUAUUUAUAGUAAGUGCUUAGUAGUUGAACUAGUUGAUUUAAUAAAACUAGUUUAUUUUACUAUAUAGAAGUAGUUUUUUUUAGCAAGAAAAUUAAUAGAACUAGUUUAUUUUUUUAGUUAAAGCAAUUAUUCCCUCAUCGACGUCGAUGAUGCCUAUCCCGCAUCCUCGUCAUCGACUCGGCGGAGGAGGCCGGCUUGAUCAGAGGGGCCAUGUCCGGGACUGGGCUCCACCGGGCUGGUUUUGGGAGGUGCUACGUUCCGGGGGGCAUAGGUUGGUGAGGAGCCAGCCCGUCGUUGACCCGAUCCUUGUUUGGUGGCGGUCGCGUGGGCUAGUGACGGUGCCGAGGCUUCCGGACACCGCGGAGGUGGUACGUCAUCGUGUCAGCGAGGAGGACGAGCACGUCCUUCGCUACAUGGUUGCGUUGGAGGGCAGGUUCGACAAUACCUGGCAGGUUCUUCAGGGAUCUCACUGGAGCUAUGAUCCUGUGAUGGUUCCUUCCCUUUGGGUGUCCACAGCCCGCGCCGAUACCCGUCGGGCACUACGGUUCUAGCUGUACUAGCGAUGGUAUAUGUAUGAUAGUAUUCGAGGUGUAUUAGUGAUAAUAUUCGACGAUGUACGGACGGAAGAGAUGAUGUAGUUUUGCUUAUAAUUGAAUUCAUGCUAAUUUGAAUACUACUUUAUUUUACGAUUUGGUUUUCCUUAUUGAAUGCUCAAAUUGGAAAACUACUCCUACUUUGAAUGCUAAAAUUGGAGAGCACUAUGCAAGGCGUAUGCAUAUGAUUAGUUGAUAGCUUAUAGGGUUUUUGUUGUCGCAGAAAUCUAGGAGCCCCCUUCCAUCAUCCCCGCCGUCGUCCCCAUCACCGACCCCCUCCGACCUCGAGGUGAGACCAGCCAAAUCCUUUUUUAGAAAGAUAAUUAAACGAUAUUUCGGGUUGACUUUAAGUCUGUCGAGUCUCCACCAUAUAUAUAUGAGAGGACGAAGAAUCCCGACUGUUGUCGUGGGGGUCGCUUCUCCUUCAUUCCCGUGUGCUAGACAUUUUGGUGUAAUGCACUCGGGGACGAAUGGAGGAGCGACCAUCACCAAGGAUCGAAUGUAUACACCACGUGAGCUGAUAGUUUUCAAGAAAAGACUCGACAGACCGAUAGUCAACCCGUGAUGAAUAAUAAUGAUCUAAUUUAGUUUUUGUAGUACAUAUAUUUAAUUGUACAAGUUUAAUCUUUGAAUUAUGAACGUACGAAAUGUCGUCAUCGGACGACGAAAGUCUCCCGGGGGAGUGCGGCUGGUGCCACGAUGAUCGAGGUUUGUGCGACAGGCCUCACCUGGACGAUGAUCGGCGCUUCAACAUUAAGCUCGAGGAGACCUUCGAUGUUGAAAUGGUACGCAACGGCGGCAAGUGUUUUUUUCGUAAUUAAGCAUGACUUCAACUAUUUCAACGUGUAAUUUUCAUCUUUUACAAUUCGAGUAUAGCUUAUCCCAUGCCAUGCAAGACGCAAUGUCUUGGAGAGGAUGGAUUUUGAAGACCAUGAAAAUUUUGAAACAAAGAAAAUUCACCUAAGGACCCAUCAUGAUGUGGAUUUUGAAGUAAAUCUGUAUAAUGCUGAGAGCGUAACCCAUUUUGGUUGCAAAAAUUGGGAAGCAUUUUGCAAGAUGUAUGGUUUUGAUGAGGGUAUGCUUGUCACCAUGGAUCUUGGUGAUCCUGACAUCGACCAAGACAAUAUGGACAUUUGGGUCCUUGUUGAUACGCCUCCAGUUCUACCGCUAUGUGAGUUUCUCAAACAUAGUUAAUUAUUAACUAAUUUAUAUUGUUUAUUUCAAAAUAGUUGACAGCUUAUUUCCAUUGACAGCUUAUUUUUAUUGUUCAGACAACGUGCGGAACAUGGUAGACAAAACCCACUACACCGAUGGCUCCGAGUUAACUUAUCAGGAGAAAAAUCAUCUGGUCAGAUUUUGUACUGAUCUUGAGAAUUACAAUAUCUACAAUCAAACUCCUCAACAUUAUGGUCAAUACGUGCCACUAGUGCACGUGUUGAACUACGGUAACUACCAUGGAGAUACCUUGGUAAGAUUUUUUUACUAUUACGACAUCCGUGCAUCUUUUGCAUACUUCUAAAACUAGUACAUCAUUGCUAACUAUGAAGUUAUUACUAUGUUUUUCAACAGAGAAUCCCAGAGGACUGUGUGCCUCAUUUGAUGUAUCAGAAUGGCAGCCUUCGUGUUUUGAACAUAUAUCCAGGUCAUCCUACGAAUCUUAACUGUCCAUACCGGAUUUCUAAAAGAAGUGGAGACAUGCGAAUCAGAGAAUGGAAAAAAUGUAUGGACAGUCGUAAGGAGGUUCUUGGAAGCAAAAGGAAGCGCCGCACAAGAAUUGGAGACAGGAUGAUCUCCAUUCUCCAUAAUGGAGAGUCAGGGUCUAUAUUGUUUUAUGCUAUUUUACCUUAAAUAGGAUAUUUAGGUCCUGCAUAAUACUGAUGAUCAUGUGCUAAGAACAAUUAAGUAGGGUUGGUUCGAUGACUAUCAGGAUGAUGAUCGUAUGACUUGUUAUUAAUAACGAGUAGAAGUUGUAUGAUGAUGAUUAGUAGGACUUGUUAUUAUGAUGAUGCAUGAUGCGAGCAUGAAGAGUUAUUAUAUAUCUGUGGGUGAAAUAAACAUGGAUUGGAUUGAAGUGAAGCCAAUAUGCAUGUGGUGCAUGUCGAAAGUAGUACAAUCCAAACUUGAUCAAGUUAGGAUUAGUAUUACUUUCGACAUGCACCACAUGUUGCCUCACUUCAAUCUAAGUCAUGUUUAGAAAUAGCAGUAUAGCAGUAGCACGGAGAUAAGAGAGGACACACCUCUCUAUUAGCUACCUAUAACAACCUAAAUUAACCCCCAAAACCCCAAAACCACCUUCUUUAAAAAAAAACCAGCCCCUGAAAUGCUGACACGUGGAAGCUUAUUGGUCCCGGUUGGUGCUACCAACCGGGACCAAAGGCCCUCCUGCUUGGGCUCGCCGGAGCGGCCACAUGGAGGCCCAUCUGUCCCGGUUGGUAUAAGAACCGGGACUAAAGGCCUAGGGCAUUAGUAACGACCCUUUAGUCCCGGUUCCACAACCGGGACAGAUGGGCCUUAUGAACCGGGACAAAUGGCCCUUUUUCUACUAGUGAAGCGAUCUCAGCAAUUUCUUCACCACCUCAUGGUCGGUGAUGUCAGUGGCACCAAGCGCUUGAAGCUCAUUUGAGAUGUCAGUGAGGCGAUCGAAGGUUUGUUGAACAUUUUGAGUCUUUUGAAGCGGUUGAAGAGAUUGCGAAGAACAUCAACUCGAGAGUCACGCUGUGUUGAGACUCCUUCAUUGACAUUGGACAGCCUAUCCCAGAUAAGCUUAGCAGUUUCCAAAGCACUCACUCUUCCAUACUGUCCUUUGCUCAGAUGGCCACAUAUGAUAUUCUUCGCUUGAGAAUCGAGUUGCUUGAAUCUCUUCACAUCAGCAGCAUUCAGAGAAGGUGUGACUGAGGGAACACCAUUUUCCACAACAUACCAGAGAUCGUUAUCAAUUGCCUCAAGAUGCAUUCGCAUCUUAUUCUUCCAGUAGGGAUAGUCCGUCCCAUCGAAGGUAGGACACCCAGCAGAGACCUUGAUCAUACCUGCGGUCGACAUAACUAAAACUCCAGGCGGUUAAACCAAAAUCACACAGAACAAGGGAGUACCUUGCUCUGAUACCAAUUGAAAGUGCGUUAUAUCGACUAGAGGGGGGUGAAUAGGCGAUUUUUAUGAAUUCUUCACUGAGGAAUUUGCGGGUGAGGAAAUUCCUUAGCGAAGAACUACUUGCAGCGGAAUAAGUACUCAGAAGUAAACAUAACAGAAUACAAGCAUGGUCAUCAUGAUGAAAUGAAGACAAGCACAGAGUACAGAAAGCGUAAACACAUGAUAACACAGGGUGAAGACAAAUAGACUGAAGAAAUUGAACUGAGGAAAUUGAGAAAGUCUUCAGUCAGAGUCUUCAAACACAGAUAUGAACAAGUGCACAAUCACAGUUAUGAGGAAAUGAAAGAGUUGAGGAAAUAGAACCAGUAAGCUUGGUGAAGACAAUGAUUUGAUAGACCAGUUCCAACUGCUGUCUCAGUUGUACAUCUGGUUGGAGCGGCAAGGUAUUUAAACCUGAGGACACACAGUCUCGGACACACAGUCCUCACCGUAUUCUCCUUGAGCUAAGGUCACACAGACCUCGCCCAAUCACUCGUGGUAAGUCUUCAGGAGACUUCCAAACCUUCACAGACUUGGUCACUCGGCGAUCCACAAUUCCUUUUGGAUGCUCUAGACCAUGGCGCCUAACCGUCUGGAAGAAGCACAGUCUUCAAAGGUAACAAGCGUCGGAUCCACGCAGGAUCAAUCUCUUCAGUGAUGCUCAAUCACUUUGGGUUUGUAGGUGUUUGGGUUUGGGUUUUCCUCACUCGACGAUUUUCGCUCAAAGUCCUCGGAGGAUGGGAUGCUCUCAAAUGACAAGUGUCAGUUUCUCUCGGAGCAGCCAACCAGCUAGUGGUUGUAGGGGGCGGCUAUUUAUAGCCUAGGGAGCAGCCCGACAUGAUAAGACAUAAAUGCCCUUCAAUGAUAUGACCGUUAGGUGGGUAGAUAUUUUGGGACAGCUGGCACAAGGCACAGCAACGGUCGGAAAUUUGAGUAUCAAAUUCCUCAGGGCUAUCAUGUUCCUCACUGUGUAGGCAAUCCGCACUGUCAAAUUCCUAACUCCUCAGUCAGAACAAAUUCCUCAGAGACUAGAAGAACUUCGUCUCUGUCACUGAAGAAUAUGACUGAACUGUAUGAGAUUUUCAAUGGCUUCACCCGAAGGGAUUGGUAGGUGUAGGAUUUUGAGUUGAGCAUCACAUGGAAAUUUUUCCUUAUUAUUUCCUCGACCCCCUUUAACAGUACGGUGUUUCCUAUGACUCAAGAAAGAGAAAAUGAAGCUACGAAAACAAAAGUCUUCAUGCUUCAUGUUCCUCGAAUGAAUACCAAGUCUUCAAGGUCACACCAAUUUCUUUACUUUCAAAGUCUUCAGAAAGUCUUCAGAAAUCUAAAGUCUUCAGUCGAGAACUUCAUUUUUAGGGAUCGACUUUCUCUGUAAAUAUCAAAGUCCUCAUAGACUUAUAGACCUGUGUACACUCAUAAACACAUUAGUCCAUUAACCUAUAAGUCUUCAAUACACCAAAAUCACUAAGGGGCACUAGAUGCACUUACAGUAAUUGGUGUUUACUUAUGUCAUAUUUGUUGGCACUAUACUCGUUGUUCUUAAUAUGAUAUGCGACAUACACAUUUUACUUUAUAAUAUAUAUUUCCUGGCGCUAUAAGCAUUGUUUUUAGUACGAUAUGUGAUGUACACAUUAUUUUUGUAGAAAUAUAUGAUUUUGUGUAUAAAACAUGCAUGUUGGGCGAUCGGAGGCGUUGUACAGCCGCCGGUUGCUUUAUUAAAAAAACGUUAACAGCCGCUGGGCCGCGAGAGGCGCCAGCGGGUGCAAAGGGGCGCUACGUACGAGGAUGAUUCAGGUGCCGCCGCAGAUGGCGAUCCCGAGGCAGACGCCACCCUCUGGCGCAGAGGGGCGCAAGUGGGCCAAGGGCGAAUCAACCUCGGGGGCGGCACAUGCCAACCCUGGAGCGACGCGCGGCGCUGGCUGGCUGGCCAGAUGACGCGGCCCACGUGGCCCAUCUCGCGCCGAACACGUGUCGCCGUCUAAGCCGCACGAGGCGAGCACGUGAGGCGCGGCGCGGGCGACGAUCGCCUCUGAUACGUGAUCAUCAUAUAUCAACUGAGUAUUUUAAAGCCUCAACCUCGUACAUUCGCGCGAACACUCAUUCAACACAAAAUAUAAAAUAAAUUUUAAAAUAUCAAAUGAUUAAAAUGUACCUUAAAUAAAUUUGUCAGGCUACAUAAUCUGGACAUGUGAAAAAUAUUUGGAACUCACAUAGAAAAUAAAGCAUCCACACACAAUCCUCAAUCAUGAACACAUAAUGUUUCGAAAACCACGUAGAAUUCUCAUAUGAGAUUUUUAUUUUUGUUUCCUUUUCGCAAGUCGAAUUACUUUGUUCCUCACUUCUGUAAGCUUAUUUUCUGGGGACAAAAUAAUUCCAGCUAUCAUUCUUUCUCUCGAACUAUCAAUAGAUUCCUGAAAAAGAGUAAAAAUAAUUUUAAUUUCAUCACUUAUAUAUAAUAUGAUGUAAUAAUUUUUCAUACUAAAACUGUACCCACCUGAGAAAUAGCACUUAUAAAUUUUUCUCCGUCCCAGUAUUGAAAAUUGCGAAGGAGGAACAACCCACAUGAGUUCCUGUGUUUGAAAAUCAUAAGUGCAAUUUUCAAAGCACGUUAAGUAAGAUAGCACUGAAUCAAUUAAUGUAUUUCGAAAGCACGUGUAACAUGUAACUCACUCAUCUUCUUGUUGAGGCAUGUCGUACGGGACUAUAGGCCAUGCGGACACAUCCGGGAACGACAUAAUUACACUAUCAUUUGCAUCUUGGAUAGCUCCUGCAAGUUGCUCUCUCUGGAAAAAAAUACAAACACGUUGACUACAUACGGUAAACAAAUUAUAUGGUUAAUUGUACACACAUGAAUACGAAACUUACAAAAUUUUCAACGAAUUUCCUGGUAGCUUCAGAGAUAUUUUCUUCCCCCCUCAAAGAAUCAAGAAUUUGGAACUCUUUCUUUCCCGUGUGCAUAACACAUGUAAUCCAGUGGUUUUUAUCCUAUUUAAAGCAAAAUAAGCCUAUUUCCCAAUUUAAAUAUUGUUACUAAGCUCGCCUUUCACAUAUGAUAGUAAUGAAAAAACAAUUCUGCAAUACAAACGAUACCUUCAGUUUUGCAAAAUAUUCUGUCAUGCAUCUAUUGAGAGGUUCAUUUGCAUGUGCUAAACCUUCUGGAUCGUCUACCGACUUCCCUUGUCUUACUAUCUUUGGGCGAGUGUUCAAUAACCAGUAAGACCUAUGUGUGGGUACAAGAUACCUGUCCUUGGCGAUACUGGAAUCCUUUAUGUACGUCGCAUAAGCAUCAAUUACCUGAAAUAGAUGACUAAAUUUAACAUGGAUGCAAUAUACUUAGCACAUGAAAUAAGCAUGACAAUAGAAGUACACACAUCAUCGGAUAACCAUGCAUGGUUAAGUAUCUGGCAAACUCUUGCCGCAGAAAGUCCUUCAUCUUUACCGUUGUUGAAUAUUUCAUGGUUCUUAUGUUUUGGUGAGUGCUCGUACGCUUUCACAUACUGCACAGCUGCACGCACCAUAUCAUCCACAGAAUUAUCAAACUGAGGGCUUGUUUAAUUAAACAGUUCUACAACACAAGUCAAUAAAGUUAUAGUACAAAUUUUUAAUAUAUAAUUACAAAUAAAUAUUCAUACCAUGUUUAACUUACUCGCUUUCGGGGAACGUUUCACACGUUUUUUGGAGUCUUUUUAACAUAAGGAGAUUUCUGGUACUUUGACACAGUCCGCUUUCGCUUCCCUGGAAUCACCUCCUUCUUCUCUUCUAUCUCGCUAUUACCAUCUGACAUGCCCCGUGACACUUCUUGCUCAUUUUGUUCCACUUCCCAUCUUGUUGCUUCUAUUUCAUCGGUUUUUAGAGAUGAUGUUUCUUUUGUUUCCGACUGCUCUGGGACAUCUAUAGGAUCAUCCUUCUCACCUUUAUAGCUACUCAAGUGACCAGUACUGAGUUUGAACGAAUCCCCUCCUUCAAAAUCCAAAUCAUAAUGCCCACUGCCAUUUCGGCCAUUAGGUGUGUGUAUGUCAUCAUACUGAAAUUCUUUUUUAGGAUACUUGUUUUCAUACCCGGACUCACUAUUCUGUCCAAACAGAUUUUCUUCCUCCUCCGCCAUUGUGCCUGGUUUGUACCGCACACCUGUUUUAUUCAUUUUCUCUAACAGUCUCUGCAAAAGUAAGCAUAGUUACAUGUUAUAUAUUUUUGUCAAUUUAUCGAAUUUAAUAGAGUGCAUACCAGAAUUGCUAAAUUUUUACCUGUGCGCAUAACUCCGGCAUACGAAACAAUUCCUUACGAAUUUCCUUCAUAUCAUUCAUAACCCGGUCCAUAAAAGGCUUUAGGUUAGCAGGGACCUCAGACACACAAUCCACUUUUCUCUUUCCCGUAACGGAUGACUUUGGGCUACUAGGUUUCUUACUGCUUUCAGCAUGUUCAUCUGCAAGUUUUUUCAUUCUAUACUCUUUCGUAAUGCAGUCAUCUAUCUGCAAAGUGAGUAUGCAAUGAAAACAUAAGUAACAUAAGUACAUAACAUUUACGAUGGAUAAUCAACGUAUUGUUAAAUAAACAUUACAAUAUUACCAAUCCAUGACCACGACCAUUUUCCAGGACGUACUUGUCUCGUUUCUCCGCUUUAGAUUCAGUCCAGUUUUUCAUUAGGGGAACUUGCAACGACAACGGGUCAUUUUUCGGGCCGGUGGUUGGCUGCACCUUCUCCCAAUAUAAGUACUACAAAACAAAUGACAAAAUAAAUUAUGAAUGCAUAAUAUGAAGGAAUAUUAAAUAACAUUAAUUAAUACCAUACCUGGAGUAGGGCUAGGUUGCCACAUGGCCAUUGCCUCACAGGCCGUCCUGCUUGAGUUUACCAAUCUCCAUCAAACAAGUUCGCAAAGUGAACACGUUAAAGUUCAACGUGCUUAUCCGCUUCAUGUCAUGCACCAACGUGUAGUACUCCUUUGGUAGGAGACAGCCGACAUCGGUGCAAUAAUAGUCCCCGACAAAACAAGAACAUUCAUCCAAAGAAACUCAUCGUCGGCGGAUUAUUCCUCACAAUUUUUUGGAUCAAGUCAUCUAUCAUUAUCUGACCAUUUUUUUUGUGAACGUACUGAAUAGGAAUUUUCUUUAUUAACUCUUUUCCUUCCGUCGCAAGAAUGCCAAAAACAUCCUCACCUUCAUUCUUAAACCCAAAUAUUGAAAACACAUCGUCCGGUCUAAGUGAAAUAAGGCCUUUACUACCAAUUUCUUCUUGUAUCAUGAAUUUUUUGCUGUUUGGGUUAUAACCUAACAUCAUAAACUGCAGCAAAAAAUCUCUCAUUUGUACUGACUGAAUGAUCAACAUCUCUUGCAAGUUUGUUUCGUAGAACCUAAAUCGCUGAGCGGUUGUUAAUUUCUCAAUGAGACUUAUCCACUUCUCUAUGGAACAUGGAAUCACACCAUCGAUGUACAUAUUGCAUGUCAAUUUUUUUAUAUUAAUAAAUAAAAUUACGCAAUAGCACUAGAAGAAAUUGUACGAGGCGGGAAAAUGUGACCUUCAUCCAGGCGAUAGCCGUCGAACAACGGCUGUGGCAGAGGGAAAGUAGGCAGCCGAGCGUCGGCGAGAUACGCCGGCGGGCGUGGGGCGGCCUAACACCCAAUGCGGCAACGUGCGCCGUUGACGGUCAACGGCGUUGGACGGCGUUGCACGUGCGGGGACGGCAUUGUGCGCGCGUGGGGCGAUCGUGAUAGGGCGACGUCGGGGCACGGGGCGGCGUACGGGGGCGAGUGGUGGGGUUGGGGUAGGGUUUCGCCGUGCGUGGCGGUAUACGGCGAUGGAGAGGAAAAAACGUUUCCAAGCGCCGACUGUGCCAGGCCCGAUACCGCCCAACCUAUCCGUGUGACGGCAGCCACCGCCCAACCUACUAAUCCUUUAGUCCCACAUUGCUUCUCGUCAUGCUUAUUCACCUGUUUAAAUACCGUCCUCUGCCUGCAAUGUUAAGUCCCUGAUUGUGGCAGCCUUACUUAAGUAGGUUAUUGUAUAUUAUGCUCUGGCACUCCAAAAUCAUGGAGUGUCACAGCAAUAAUUUACAUUAAUCUUCUUAAGUAAAUCCGUCCACACUACGGGAUUUUUCUUUUUUUAUGAAACGUCACCAUUUUUUUCACACGCUACAGUGUGCCACACAAGCACGCAUGCCAAAUUUCGAUGCGUUUCGACACUCGAUGCAUUUACUAUGAUUUUCUCCGUGAAAAUACCGAGAAAAGGUCUCCCGACGUGACGCAACUUCCAUUCGUACUCCGAUUCCGUUGAAAUUUUCCGUGGGAGACUGUGGGGGUCACUCACACGCGCAUGCAAAAGUUGGGUGCUUUUCGUCCAUGUUGACAUGUAGUUGCAGUACAAACCUCAGGUAUCGGUUUGGGGGGACGGGCAUCCAGUAGGAGUUCCCUUUCGCAAAGUCAUGAAACUUCACCAUUUUUUUCACACUCUACAGUGUGCCACACAAGCACGCAUGCAAAUUUUCGGUGCGUUUCGACACUCGAUGCAUUUACUNNNNNNNNNNNNNNNNNNNNNNNNNNNNNNNNNNNNNNNNNNNNNNNNNNNNNNNNNNNNNNNNNNNNNNNNNNNNNNNNNNNNNNNNNNNNNNNNNNNNNNNNNNNNNNNNNNNNNNNNNNNNNNNNNNNNNNNNNNNNNNNNNNNNNNNNNNNNNNNNNNNNNNNNNNNNNNNNNNNNNNNNNNNNNNNNNNNNNNNNNNNNNNNNNNNNNNNNNNNNNNNNNNNNNNNNNNNNNNNNNNNNNNNNNNNNNNNNNNNNNNNNNNNNNNNNNNNNNNNNNNNNNNNNNNNNNNNNNNNNNNNNNNNNNNNNNNNNNNNNNNNNNNNNNNNNNNNNNNNNNNNNNNNNNNNNNNNNNNNNNNNNNNNNNNNNNNNNNNNNNNNNNNNNNNNNNNNNNNNNNNNNNNNNNNNNNNNNNNNNNNNNNNNNNNNNNNNNNNNNNNNNNNNNNNNNNNNNNNNNNNNNNNNNNNNNNNNNNNNNNNNNNNNNNNNNNNNNNNNNNNNNNNNNNNNNNNNNNNNNNNNNNNNNNNNNNNNNNNNNNNNNNNNNNNNNNNNNNNNNNNNNNNNNNNNNNNNNNNNNNNNNNNNNNNNNNNNNNNNNNNNNNNNNNNNNNNNNNNNNNNNNNNNNNNNNNNNNNNNNNNNNNNNNNNNNNNNNNNNNNNNNNNNNNNNNNNNNNNNNNNNNNNNNNNNNNNNNNNNNNNNNNNNNNNNNNNNNNNNNNNNNNNNNNNNNNNNNNNNNNNNNNNNNNNNNNNNNNNNNNNNNNNNNNNNNNNNNNNNNNNNNNNNNNNNNNNNNNNNNNNNNNNNNNNNNNNNNNNNNNNNNNNNNNNNNNNNNNNNNNNNNNNNNNNNNNNNNNNNNNNNNNNNNNNNNNNNNNNNGUAGUUGCAGUACAAACCUCAGGUAUCGGUUUGGGGGGACGGGCAUCCAGUGGGAGUUCCCUUUCGCAAAGUCAUGAAACGUCACCAUUUUUUUCACAUGCUACAGUGUGCCACACAAGCACGCAUGCAAAAUUUCGGUGCGUUUUGACACUCGAUGCAUUUACUACGAUUUUGUCCGUGAAAAUACCGAGAAAAGGUCUCCCGACGUGACGCAACUUCCGUUCGUACUCCGAUUCCGUUGAAAUUUGGCGUGGGAGACGGUGGGGGUCACUCACACGCGCAUGCAAAAGUUGGGUGCUUUUCGUCAUUACAUUCUUUUUAUACGAAUUUCUACAUGCAAAACACAAAAAUUGCAAGAUUUAUUUAUUUUUUCACAGCCGGUGCGCGCGGCGCAAACGGCCGGGCUACGAAGGCGACCAACGGCGGCCGCUUGGGCGCCGUUUGCGGCGCACACGUGAGGGCCCAUGAAAGCAAAAAUCCACGGCGACCACCGCCCAACCUGCUAAUUGUUUAGUCCCACAUUGCUUUUGAACACGCUUAUUCAUCUGUUUAAAUAUUGUCCUCUCCGUACAAUGUUGAAUCCUUUAAUGUGGCGGUCUUUCCUCAGUAGGAUAAUGUAAAUGAUGCUAUGGCACUCCAUAAUCAUGGAGUGUCACAGCAAAAAUUUACAUUAAUCUUCUGAGGUAAAUCUGUCCAUACUACAGGAUUUUUUGUUCUUGUGUUUUUUAAUAUUUACAAAUACAGUGCUCUUCGGACAUAAUUUUUUAAUAUUUACAAAAAUAAUAAAAAAUUAUUGCAUCAUAGGACGGGUAUACUUACCCAGAAGGAAUGAUGUACGUGUUGCUUUGCUUGUUGGUAAAGAUCAACAAGCAGAGCAACACCUACACCAUCUGGAUUCGUAUACAUGUAAUAUGAAGCAAUAAUAACUGAAAGUUAAAAUAUUAUCAGCCUUUUUAAUCCACUACAUAUGAGUCUCCACAAUUAAUGUGGUACUAAAAUUCUUUAUAAAAAGGUUCGCCUACAGUGGCCAUAAAAGGUGCGCGGGGGUGGCCCACGGCGCGCACGGGCCAUGGUCGGGCGGCCGGCCGUGUGUGCGCCGCUAGGGGCGCCAACCGCCCAGUGUUGUAUUUUUAGUCCCAUAUUGCUAGUUUUCACGACUAAUCAUGUGUUUAAAUAGCUUCAUCCAUAUACAACAUCAAAUCUUUAAUCGUGGUGGCCAUACCUCACUAUGCUUAGGUAGGUUCUGCUCCGUCACUCCACAAUUAUUGUGGACUGAUACAACAUGACCUGUAUAAGUGUUGUAAGGUAUGACUAUCCGCGCUUGAAGAUUUUUUUGUACGUCCCGAAGGAGUUUUUUUUUGACAUCCUUCAAAUGGACCCAUUUUUUUCAUACAUUUUUACACUCAUGGCAAGCAAGCAUGUGAAGUUUCGGGGUAUUUCCAACCUCCGACAAUUUUUCUACGAUUUUCCGUUCUCUAAAACCGAAACACACUCCCCGGACGUGACGCGACAUGAGUGUGUGCUCCGAACAUGAUGAAAUUUGACGAGAAAUCCUACGAUGGCCAUGCCUACCCUGUCGCAAUAUUUGGGGUCGUNNNNNNNNNNNNNNNNNNNNNNNNNNNNNNNNNNNNNNNNNNNNNNNNNNNNNNNNNNNNNNNNNNNNNNNNNNNNNNNNNNNNNNNNNNNNNNNNNNNNNNNNNNNNNNNNNNNNNNNNNNNNNNNNNNNNNNNNNNNNNNNNNNNNNNNNNNNNNNNNNNNNNNNNNNNNNNNNNNNNNNNNNNNNNNNNNNNNNNNNNNNNNNNNNNNNNNNNNNNNNNNNNNNNNNNNNNNNNNNNNNNNNNNNNNNNNNNNNNNNNNNNNNNNNNNNNNNNNNNNNNNNNNNNNNNNNNNNNNNNNNNNNNNNNNNNNNNNNNNNNNNNNNNNNNNNNNNNNNNNNNNNNNNNNNNNNNNNNNNNNNNNNNNNNNNNNNNNNNNNNNNNNNNNNNNNNNNNNNNNNNNNNNNNNNNNNNNNNNNNNNNNNNNNNNNNNNNNNNNNNNNNNNNNNNNNNNNNNNNNNNNNNNNNNNNNNNNNNNNNNNNNNNNNNNNNNNNNNNNNNNNNNNNNNNNNNNNNNNNNNNNNNNNNNNNNNNNNNNNNNNNNNNNNNNNNNNNNNNNNNNNNNNNNNNNNNNNNNNNNNNNNNNNNNNNNNNNNNNNNNNNNNNNNNNNNNNNNNNNNNNNNNNNNNNNNNNNNNNNNNNNNNNNNNNNNNNNNNNNNNNNNNNNNNNNNNNNNNNNNNNNNNNNNNNNNNNNNNNNNNNNNNNNNNNNNNNNNNNNNNNNNNNNNNNNNNNNNNNNNNNNNNNNNNNNNNNNNNNNNNNNNNNNNNNNNNNNNNNNNNNNNNNNNNNNNNNNNNNNNNNNNNNNNNNNNNNNNNNNNNNNNNNNNNNNNNNNNNNNNNNNNNNNNNNNNNNNNNNNNNNNNNNNNNNNNNNNNNNNNNNNNNNNNNNNNNNNNNNNNNNNNNNNNNNNNNNNNNNNNNNNNNNNNNNNNNNNNNNNNNNNNNNNNNNNNNNNNNNNNNNNNNNNNNNNNNNNNNNNNNNNNNNNNNNNNNNNNNNNNNNNNNNNNNNNNNNNNNNNNNNNNNNNNNNNNNNNNNNNNNNNNNNNNNNNNNNNNNNNNNNNNNNNNNNNNNNNNNNNNNNNNNNNNNNNNNNNNNNNNNNNAAACUGAAACACACUCCCCGGACAGGACGCGACAUGAGUGUGUGCUCCGAACACGAUGAAAUUUGACGAGGAGUCCUACGGUGGCCAUGCCUACCCUGUCGCAAAAUUUGGGGUCAUUCUGAAGAUGGCCAAAAAUGACCUCCCUCAGCGCACGCCGUUUUGGUAGGAGCGAAGGCCCCGUCCCGACGGAGGUUUUCUUUUGACAUCCUUCAAAUGGACCCAAUUUUUUUUCAUACGUUUCUACACUCAUGGCAAGCAAGCAUGUGAAGUUUCGGGGCAUUUCCAAUCUCCGACAAUUUUCUAUGAUUUUUCAUUCUCUGAAACCGAAACACACUCCCCGGACGUGACGCGACAUGAGUGUGCUCCGGGGCUGCCAAACGGUCAAAACUAAUAUAGGUACUAAUAAUGUGAUUUAAAUCAGGUCUGACAAAUAUUAAAAAAUAUUGGUAUUAAUGAUGUAAUUUAAGUGAGGUGAAACAAACUUGCGUAGAGUGGUAAACUAUCAAAAAUAAGAUAGAUACUAAUGAUAUGAUCUGAGUUUACAAUGCGCUAGUAGCACUCCCGUUACACUGUCCGGGCAGCUGCGGCAGAGCUGCCCGGGUAGUGCAAAGUCAAAUCAAAUUAUUACUAACUAUCUUAUGUGCCAGGGUGCAUGAAUCCGGCUAUUUAAGCCGGUCGGGCGUCCUUCGGCGGGCGAGAUGAAGGAAAUAUGCCCUAGAGGCAAUAAUAAAGUUAUUAUUUAUUUCCUUAUAUCAUGAUAAAUGUUUAUUAUUCAUGUUAGAAUUGUAUUAACCGGAAACAUAAUACUUAUGUGAAUACAUAGACAAACAGAGUGUCACUAGUAUGCCUCUACUUGACUAGCUCGUUGAUCAAAGAUGGUUAUGUUUCCUAGCCAUAGACAUGAGUUGUCAUUUGAUUAACGGGAUCACAUCAUUAGGAGAAUGAUGUGAUUGACUUGACCCAUUCCGUUAGCUUAGCACUCGAUCGUUUAGUAUGUUGCUAUUGCUUUCUUCAUGACUUAUACAUGUUCCUAUGACUAUGAGAUUAUGCAACUCCCGUUUAUCGGAGGAACACUUUGUGUGCUACCAAACGUCACAACGUAACUGGGUGAUUAUAAAGGUGCUCUACAGGUGUCCCUGAAGGUACUUGUUGGGUUGGCGUAUUUCGAGAUUAGGAUUUGUCACUCCGAUUGUCGGAGAGGUAUCUCUGGGCCCUCUCGGUAAUGCACAUCCCUUAAGCCUUGCAAGCAUUGCAACUAAUGAGUUAGUUGUGGGAUGAUAUAUUACGAAACGAGUAAAGAGACUUGCCGGUAACGAGAUUGAACUAGGUAUUGAGAUACCGACGAUCGAAUCUCGGGCAAGUAACAUACCGAUGACAAAGGGAACAACGUAUGUUGUUAUGAGGUCUGACCGAUAAAGAUCUUCGUAGAAUAUGUGGGAGCCAAUAUGAGCAUCCAGGUUCCGCUAUUGGUUAUUGACCGGAGGCGUGUCUCGGUCAUGUCUACAUUGUUCUCGAACCCAUAGGUUCCGCACGCUUAACGUUUCGAUGACAGUUAUAUUAUGAGUUUAUAUGUUUUGAUGUACCAAAGGUUGUUCGGAGUCCCGGAUAUGAUCACGGACAUGACGAGGAGUCUCGAAAUGGUCGAGACAUGAAGAUUGAUAUAUUGGAAGCCUAUAUUUGGAUAUCGGAAGUGUUCCGGGUGAAAUCGGGAUUUUACCGGAGUACCGAGGGGUUACCGGAACCCCCCGGGGGCUUAAUGGGCCAUAGUGGGCCUUUGGGGAGAAGAGGAGAGGCGGCCAGGGCAGGGCCGCGCGCCCCUCCCCCCUAGUUCGAAUAGGACAAGGAGAGGGGGCGGCGCCCCCCCUUUCCUUCCUCUCUCCCUCCUCUUUCCCCUCCACUCCUAAUCCAACUAGGAAAAGGGAGGGAGUCCUACUCCCGGUGGGAGUAGGACUCCACCUGGCACGCCCCUCCUGGCCGGCCGCACCUCCCCCCCUUGCUCCUUUAUAUACGGGGGCAGGGGGCACCCUAGAGACACAACAAUUGAUCGUUUGAUCUUUUAGCCGUGUGCGGUGUCCCCCCUCCACCAUAGUCCACCUCGAUAAUACUGUAGCGGUGCUUAGGCGAAGCCCUGCGUCGGUAGAACAUCAUCAUCGUCACCACGCCGUCGUGCUGAUGAAACUCUCCCUCAACACUCGGCUGGAUCGGAGUUCGAGGGACGUCAUCGGGCUGAACGUGUGCUGAACUCGGAGCUGCCGUGCGUUCGGUACUUGAUCGGUCGGAUCGUGAAGACGUACGACUACAUCAACUGUGUUGUGCUAACGCUUCCGCUUUCGGUCUACGAGGGUACGUGGACAACACUCUCCCCUCUCGUUGCUAUACAUCACUAUGAUCCUGCGUGUGCGUAGGAAUUUUUUUUGAAAUUACUGCGUUUCCCAACAGUGGCAUCCGAGCCUGGUUUUAUGCGUUGAUGUUAUAUGCACGAGUAGAACACAAGUGAGUUGUAUGCGAUAUAAGUCAUACUGCUUACCAGCAUGUCAUACUUUGGUUUGGCGGUAUUGUUGGAUGAAGCGGCCCGAACCGACAUUACGCGUACGCUUACGCGAGACUGGUUCUACCGACGUGCUUUGCACACAGGUGGCUGGCGGGUGUCAGUUUCUCCAACUUUAGUUGAACCGAGUGUGGCUACGCCCGGUCCUUGAGAAGGUUAAAACAGCACUAACUUGACGAACUAUCGUUGUGGUUUUGAUGCGUAGGUAAGAACGGUUCUUGCUCAGCCCGUAGCAGCCACGUAAAACUUGCAACAACAAAGUAGAGGACGUCUAACUUGUUUUUGCAGGGCAUGUUGUGAUGUGAUAUGGUCAAGACGUGAUGAGAUAUAAGUUGUUGUAUGAGAUGAUCAUGUUUUGUUGAAGUUAUCGGCAACUGGCAGAAGCCUUAUGGUUGUCUCUUUAUUGCAUAAGAUGCAAGCGCCAAAUAAUUGCUUUACUUUAUCGCUAUGCGAUAGCAAUAGUUGCAAGAGCAAUAGUUGGCGAGACGACCAUGUGAUGACACAUUGAUAUAGAUCAAGAUGAUGGAGAUCAUGGUGUCAUGCCGGUGACGAUAGAGAUCAUGACGGUACUUUGGAGAUGGAGAUCAAAGGCGCAAGAUGAUCAUGGCCAUAUCAUGUCACAUAUUUUGAUUGCAUGUGAUGUUUAUCUUUUAUACAUCUUAUUUUGCUUAGUUCGACGGUAGCUUUAUAAGAUGAUCCCUUACUAAAUUUCAAGGUAUAAGUGUUCUCCCUGAGUAUGCACCGUUGCGACAGUUCUUCGUGCUGAGACACCACGUGAUGAUCGGGUGUGAUAAGAUGUACGUUCAAAUACAACGGGUGCAAGAUAGUUUUGCACACGCGGAAUACUCAGGUUAAACUUGACGAUCCUAGCAUAUAACAGAUAUGGCCUCGGAACACUGAGACCGAAAGGUCGAGCGUGAAUCAUAUAGUAGAUAUGAUCAACAUAAAUGAUGUUCACCAUUGAAACUACUCCAUCUCACGUGAUGAUCGGACAUGGUUUAGUUGAUAUGGAUCACGUGAUCACUUAGAGGAUUAGAGGGAUGUCUAUCUAAGUGGGAGUUCUUAAGUGAUAUGAUUAAUUGAACUUUAAUUUAUCAUGAACUUAGUCCUGGUAGUAUUAGCAUAUCUAUGUUGUAGAUCAAUAGCUCGCGAUGUUGCUCCCCGUUUAGUUUUAUAUGUUCCUAGAGAAAACUAAGUUGAAAGAUGUUAGUAGCAAUGAUGCGGAUUGGAUCCGUGAUCUGAGGUUUAUCCUCAUUGCUGCACAGAAGAAUUAUGUCCUUGAUGCACCGCUAGGUGACAGACCUAUUGCAGGAGCAGAUGCAGACGUUAUGAACGUUUGGUUAUCUCAAUAUGAUGACUACUUGAUAGUUUAGUGCACCAUUCUUAACGGCUUAGAAUCGGGACUUCAAAGAUGUUUUGAACAUCAUGGACCAUAUGAGAUGUUCCAGGAGUUGAAGUUAAUAUUUCAAGCAAAUACGCGAGUUGGGAGAUAUGAAGUCUCCAACAAGUUCUGUAGCUAAAAGAUGGAGGAGAAUAGCUCAAGCAGUGAGCAUGUGCUCAGAUUGUCUGGGUACUACAAUCGCUUGAAUCAAGUGGGAGUUAAUCUUCCAGAUAAGAUAGUAAUUGACAGAAUUCUCUAGUCACCAUCACGAAGUUAGUAGAACUUCGUGAUGAACUAUAGUAUGCAAGGGAUAACGUAGAUGAUUCCCGAGCUUUUCAUGAUGAUGAAAUCAGACAUCAAGAAAGAGCAUCAAGUGUUGAUGAUUAACAAGACCACAAGUUUCAAGAAAAGGGCAAAGGGAAAGAAAGGGAACUUCAUGUAGAACAGCAAGCAAGUUGCUGCUCAAGUGAAGAAGCCCAAGUUUGGACCUAAGCCUGAGACUGAGUGCUUCUACUGCAAAAGGACUGGUCACUGGAAGCAGAACUACCCCAAAUAAUUGACAGAUAAGAAGGAUGGCAAAGUGAACAAAAGUAUAUUUGAUAUACAUGUUAUUGAUGUGUACUUUACUAGUGUUUAUAGCAACCCCUCAGUAUUUGAUAACUGAUUUAGUUGCUAAGAGUAGUAACUUAAAACAGGAGUUGCAAAAUGAACAGAGACUAGUUAAGGAUGAAGUGACGAUGUGUGUUGGAAGUAGUUCCAAGAUUGAUGUGAUCAUCAUCGCACAAUCCAUAUAAAUUUAGGGAUUAGUGUUGAACCUAAAUAAGUGUUAUUUGGUGCUUGCGUUGAGCAUGAAUAUGAUUGGAUCAUGUUUAUUGCAAAACGGUUAUUCAUGUAAGUUAGAGAAUAGUUGUUGUUCCGUUUACAUGAAUAAAACCUUUUAUGGUCAUACACCCAAUAAAAAUGGUUUGUUGGAUCCCCAUCGUGGUCAUACACAUUUUCAUAAUAUUGAAGCCAAAAGAUGCAAAGUUAAUAAUGAUAGUGCAACUUAUUUGUGGCACUGCCGUUUAGGUCAUAUUGGUGUAAAGCGCAUGAAGAAACUCCAUGCUAAUGGACUUUUGGAAUCACUUGAUUAUGAAUCACUUGAUGCUUGCGAACCAUGCCUCAUGGGCAAGAUGACUAAGACUCCGUUCUCUGGAACAAUGGAGCGAGCAACUGACGUAUUGGAAAUAAUACAUACUGAUGUAUGCGGUCCGAUGAGUGUUAAGGCUCGCGGCAAGUAUCGUUAUUUUCUUACCUUCACAGAUGAUUUGAGCAGAUAUGGGUAUAUCUACUUGAUGAAACACAAGUCUGAAACAUUUGAAAAGUUCAAAGAAUUUCACAGUGAAGUGGAGAAUCAUCGUAACAAGAAAAUAAAAGUUUCUACGAUAAGAUCGCAGAGAUGAAAUAUUUGAGUUACGAGUUUGGCCUUCAGUUAAAACAAUGUGAAAUAGUUUCACUACUCACGCCACCUGGAACACCACAGUGUAAUGGUGUGUCCGAACGUCAUAACCGUACUUUAUUAGAUAUGGUGCGAUCUAUGAUGCCUCUUACCGAUCUACCACUAUCGUUUGGAGUUAUGCAUUAGAGACAUCUGCAUUCAUGUUAAAUAGGGCACCAUCUAAAUUCGUUGAGACGACACCGUAUGAACUAUGGUUUGGCAAGAAACCUAAGCUGUUCUUAAAGUUUGAGGUUGCAAUGCUUAUGUGAAAAAGUUUCAACCUGAUAAGCUCAAACCCGAAUCGGAGAAGUGCGUCUUCAUAGGAUACCCAAAAGAAAAUGUUGGGUACACCUUCUAUCACAGAUCCGAAGGCAAGAUAUUCGUUGCUGAGAAUGGAUCCUUUCUAGAGAAGGAGUUUCUCUCGAAAGAAGUGAGUGGGAGGAAAGUAGAACUCGAUGAGGUAACUAUACCUGCUCCCUUAUUGGGAAGUAGUUCAUCACAGAAAUCUGUUCCUGUGACUACUACACCAAUUAGUGAGGAAGCUAAUGAUGAUGAUCAUGUAACUUCAGAUCAAGUUACUACCGAACCUCGUAGGUAAACCAGAGUGGUACGGUAAUCCUGUUCUGGAGGUCAUGUUACUUGACCAUGACGAACCUACGAACUAUGAGGAAGCAAUGAUGAGCCCACAUUCCGCGAAAUGGCUUGAGGCCAUGAAAUCUGAGAUGAGAUCCAUGUAUGAGAACAAAGUAUGGACUUUGAUUGACUUGCCCAAUGAUCGGCGAGCCAUUGAGAUUAAAUGGAUCUUCAAGAGGAAGACGGACGCUGAUAGUAGUGUUACUAUCAACAAAGCUAGAAUUGUCGCAAAAGGUUUUCGACAAGUUCAAGGUGUUGACUACGAUGAGAGUUUCUCACUCGUAUCUAUGCUAAAGUAUGUCCGAAUCAUGUUAGCAAUUGCCGCAUUUUAUGAAAUCUGGCAAAUGGAUAAACAAAACUGCAUUCCUUAAUGGAUUUAUUAAAGAAGAGUUGUAUAUGAUGCAACCAGAAGGUUUUGUCAAUCCUAAAGGUGCUAACAAAAUAUGCAAGCUCCAGCGAUCCAUCUAUGGACUGGUGCAAGCAUCUCGGAGUUGGAAUAUACGCUUUGAUAAGUUGAUCAAAGGAUAUAGUUUUAUACAGACUUGCGGUGAAGCCUGUAUUUACAAGAAAGUGAGUGGGAGCACUACAGCAUUUUUGAUAAGUAUAUGUGAAUGACAUAUUAUUGAUCGGAAAUAAUGUAGAAUUAUUCUGCAAAGCAUAAAGGAGUGUUUGAAAGGAGUUUUUCAAAGAAAGACCUCGGUGAAGCUGCUUACAUAUUGAGCAUCAAGAUCUAUAGAGAUAGAUCAAGAUGCUUGAUAAGUUUUUUCAAUGAGUACAUACCUUGACAAGAUUUUGAAGUAGUUCAAAAUGGAACAGUCAAAGAAAGAGUUCUUAGCUGUGUUACAAGGUGUGAAAUGGAGUAAGACUCAAAGCCCGACCACGGCAGAAGAUAGAAAGAGAAUGAAAGUCAUUCCCUAUGCCUUGGCCAUAGGAUCUAUAAAGUAUGCCAUGCUGUGUACCAGAUCUAUUGUAUACCCUACACUGAUUUUGGCAAGGUAGUACAAUAGUGAUCUAGGAGUAGAUCACUGGACAGCGGUCAAAAUUAUCCUUAGUGGAAUAAGGAUAUGUUUCUCGAUUAUGGAGGUUAAAAAAAGGUUCGUCGUAAAGGGUUACGUCGAUGCAAAUUUUGACACUGAUCCAGAUGACUCUAAGUGUCAAUCUGGAUACAUAUUGAAAGUGAGAGCAAUUAGCUAGAGUAGCUCCGUGCAGAGCAUUGUUGACAUAGAAAUUUGCAAAAUACAUACGGAUCUGAAUGUGGCAGACCCGUUGACUAAAAUUCUCUCACAAGCAAAACAUGAUCACACCUUAGUACUCUUUGGGUGUUAAUCACAUAGCGAUGUGAACUAGAUUAUUGACUCUAGUAAACCCUUUGGGUGUUGGUUACACGCCGAUGUGAACUAUGGGUGUUAAUCACAUGGUGAUGUGAACUAUUGGUAUUAAAUCACAUGGGGAUGUGAACUAUUGGUAUUAAAUCACAUGGUGAUGUGAACUAGAUUAUUGACUCUAGUGCAAGUGGGAGACUGAAGGAAAUAUGCCCUAGAGGCAAUAAUAAAGUUAUUAUUUAUUUCCUUAUAUCAUGAUAAAUGUUUAUUAUUCAUGCUAGAAUUGUAUUAACCGGAAACAUAAUACUUGUGUGAAUACAUAGACAAACAGAGUGUCACUAGUAUGCCUCUACUUGACUAGCUCGUUGAUCAAAGAUGGUUAUGUUUCCUAGCCAUAUACAUGAGUUGUCAUUUGAUUAACGGGAUCACAUCAUUAGGAGAAUGAUGUGAUUGACUUGACCCAUUCCGUUAGCUCAGCACUCGAUCGUUUAGUAUGUUGCUAUUGCUUUCUUCAUGACUUAUACAUGUUCUUAUGACUAUGAGAUUAUGCAACUCCCGUUUACCGGAGGAACACUUUGUGUGCUACCAAAUGUCACAACAUAACUGGGUGAUUAUAAAGGUGCUCUACAGGUGUUUCCGAAGGUACUUGUUCGGUUGGCGUAUUUCGAGAUUAGGAUUUGUCACUCCGAUUGUCGGAAAGGUAUCUCUGGGCCCUCUCGGUAAUGCACAUCACUUAAGCCUUGCAAGCAUUGCAACUAAUGAUUUAGUUGUGGGAUGAUAUAUUACGGAACGAGUAAAGAGGCUUGCCGGUAACGAGAUUGAACUAGGUAUUGAGAUACCGACGAUCGAAUCUCGGGCAAGUAACAUACCGAUGACAAAGGGAACAACGUAUGUUGUUAUGCGGUCUGACCGAUAAAGAUCUUCUAGAAUAUGUGGGAGCCAAUAUGAGCAUCCAGGUUCCGCUAUUGGUUAUUGACCGGAGACGUGUCUCGGUCAUGUCUACAUUGUUCUCGAACCCGUAGGGUCCGCACGCUUAACGUUUCGAUGACAGUUAUAUUAUGAGUUUAUAUGUUUUGAUGUACCGAAGGUUGUUCGGAGUCCCGGAUAUGAUCACGGACAUGACGAGGAGUCUCGAAAUGGUCGAGACAUGAAGAUUGAUAUAUUGGAAGCCUAUAUUUGGAUAUCGGAAGUGUUCCGGGUGAAAUCGGGAUUUUACCGAAGUACCGAGGGGUUACCGGAACCCCCCGGGGGCUUAAUGGGCCAUAGUGGGCCUUUGUGGAGAAGAGGAGAGGUGGCCAGGGUAGGGCCGCGCGCCCCUCCCCCCUAGUCCGAAUAGGACAAGGAGAGGGGGCGGCGCCCCCCCUUUCCUUCCUCUCUCCCUCCUCUUUCCCCUCCACUCCUAAUCCAACUAGGAAAAGGAAGGGAGUCCUACUCCCACCCUACUCCCGGUGGGAGUAGGACUCCACCUGGCGCGCCCCUCCUGGCCGGCCGCACCUCCCCCCUUGCUCCUUUAUAUACGGGGGUAGGGGGCACCCUAGAGACACAGCAAUUGAUCGUUUGAUCUUUUAGCCGUGUGCGGUGCCCCCCCCUCCACCAUAGUCCACCUCAAUAAUACUGUAGUGGUGCUUAGGCGAAGCCCUGCGUUGGUAGAGCAUCAUCAUCGUCACCACGCCGUCGUGCUGACGAAACUUUCCCUCAACACUCGGCUGGAUCGGAGUUCGAGGAACGUCAUCGGGCUGAACGUGUGCUGAACUCGGAGGUGCCGUGCGUUCGGUACUUGAUCGGUCGGAUCGUGAAGAUGUACGACUACAUCAACCGCGUUGUGCUAACGCUUCCGCUUUCGGUCUACGAGGGUACGUGGACAACACUCUCCCCUCUCAUUGCUAUGCAUCACCAUGAUCCUGCGUGUGCGUAGGAAAUUUUUUGAAAUUACUGCGUUUCCCAACACGAGGUGGGACUAAAAAAUGCGCCGCCACCGUACCGCACACCGCCCCUGUGCCCUGGACCGCUCGCGCGCGCGCCUUCCAGGCGGCCCACUCGGCCCACCGAAAUCGGCCCCCCCUCAGCGGUCCGCGCAGCGCUGCGGGAGGCGAGGUCUAACUUUAGUCCCACCUCGCCUGCCGAAGCGCGCUCACACCGCUUAAAUAGCACGCCCCGCCCUACCCCACCGUCCUCUUAAAAAAACAAUAGCUCGCCUACUCUCUCUUCGCCGUCUGGUUGGGCCCGUGGGCCUUGCAGGGCAGAAAAGCGGUCCCUUUCGCCGUCGGCUUGAUCGGGACCGACUUACUACGCCUCGCUCGGCUCCGGGCCGGCGGUCUUUUUUUUAACAAAGUUCUUUUGAUUUUUGUUUUUGCUAAUAUUAUGUAAUUUUUUUAUUGUUUCAUUUUUAUUUACUUUUCUAAUUUUUAUAUUUUUUCAAUUCAAGUUUUAUUCGGUUGUGAUUUUUAAUUUUUUACAAUAGAACGAUUUCAAAUAAUGGUAUUUGUUCAAACUCUUUUUAAAACAAAAAAAAUAUUUUCAUUCCUUUUUGCUAAUAUUAUUUAUUUUUCCCCUUUGUUUCAUUUUUAUUUCCUUUCCUAAUUUUCAUAGUUUUUUGCAUUUAAAGUUUAACUCAUUUCUGUUUUUAAAAUUUAUUUUCAUUCUUUUUUGCUAAUAUUAUUUAUUUUCCCCCUUUUUUCAUUUUUUUCUUUCCUAAAUUUCAUAGUUUUUUUGCACUUAAAGUUUAACUUUCUAUGUUUUUUAAUUUUUUACAAUAAUUUUGUACAAAAAAACAAUUUUAAAUAAUAUUAUCAACUCAAACACUCGAUUUUUAAACAAUAUUUUAAAACCAUGCAUUGAAACACACUCGAUGUUUCAUUAUAGUUUUCAUAAAUAUUUUACAUACUACUAGAAAUUUAACUUAACUAAACUAACACUACUAGGAAAAGGGCUAUAGAUGAUAUGGACACUAAUGGCGCACCACACAUGUGGUGCGCCACUACUAUAUAGCAGUGGCGCACCAUGUGUUGAUGCGCCAUUAGUGUCCAAAUACUAAUGACGCACCACAUCCACGGUGCGCCACUAGUAACAAAUUUUUUUUUUCAAAACUAGUAAUGGCGCACCAGGGGAUAGUGCGCCAUUACUAGUUUAACUAGUAAUGGCGCACCACAUCCACGGUGCGCCACUAGUAAUUUUUUUUCAAUUUUUUUUCAAUUUUUUUUCAAAACUACUAAUGGCGCACCGUGUGUGUGGUGCGCCAUUACUAGUUGAACUAGUAAUGGCGCAUCACUCCCACGGUGCGCCAUUAGUAACUUGCCACAAAAAUUCCACCGAAUGCACCCCCCCGGACCGCCUUUUCAGUUUUAGAAAAAAUAAAAGAAAAUGAUGGAAAUGUCAAAAAAAUAAAAGAAAAUAAGUUUCCCAUGUGAUAUGUGGUCUACUUGUUGGGAAAAUUUACAAAUAUGAAUUUCGACUUUAUUUGCAAAAUCUCUCUGGAAUUUGUAAAAUGUGCAUAACUUUUGCAUACGAACUCGGAUUAAAAAGUUUUUUAUAUGAAAAAUCAUCUACUCGAAAAGAUACAUCCGAAUUUAACGGGGGAACCCCGUUAAACAUUUUCAGAAUCCUCCAAAACCUAACAAAAAAAGUUACGGGGCUUUUAAGAUCCGGGGAGGCAAAAAAAUUCAAAAAAAACAAACUCAGUAAUGGCGCACCUGCCCAUGGUGCACCAUUACUAUCUUCCCGCCUUCAAAAUUCAAACUAUAUCAAAAAAAUAAUAAAUAAAGUUAGUAAUGGCGCACCUGCCCACGGUGCGCCAUUACUAUCUUCCCGCCUUCAAAAUUCAAAAUAAAUAAAAAAUUAAAAAAAAGUUAGUAAUGGCGCACCUGCCCACGAUGCGCCAUUACUAUGCCGUAUAUAUGGCUGGGCGGGGUCCUCUCCUUCUUACCUCUUCAUUGUUCUCCUCCACUCCACCUCUCCUCCACUCCAUCUCCUCCUCUCCUCCACUCCAUCUCCCCUUCUCUCCUCCACCAUACUCCCCUCCUCCUCUCCGGCGACCUCCUCCUCCUCCUCUCCGGCGACCUCCUCCCCCCUCCUCUCCUCCCCUCCCCUCACGGUUUCUCCUCCCUCCUCUCCGGUGAUCUCCUCCCUCUCCGGUGAGCUCCUCCUCUCCUCUCCUCCCCUCCCCUCAUGGUUUCUCCUUCCUCCUCUCCGAUGCUCCAGUGACCUCCUCCUCCUCUCCGGCGAUGUAGGCGAGCGCCUCUCCGGUGACCUCCUCCUCCUCCUCUCCGGUGACCUCGGCCCUCCUCUCCGGCGAACUCCUCUCCGCCAAAAGAACACGGCAAAAGAACGUACAAGAUCCAAAAACGAGAACAAAAUUUGAAAAAAUAUCGUGCAAAAAAAUGAGCAAAAAAAAACGAGCAAAAAAUGGGCAAAAAAAUCGCGAUCCAGAUCCAAAUUCAAAAUUCAAAAAUAGCAAUGGCGCAUCACCCCACAGUGCGCCAUUAGUAUGGCAAAGCACAUGUGUAAAUAUCGCCCCCUGGGAGGCACACUAAUGGCGCAUGUUGGUCUAUACUAAUGGCGCACGGCGUGAUGCGCCAUUAGUAUACCAGAUACUAAUGGCGCACCAGUGGUGCGCCAUUAGUAUUUAAUACUAGUGGCGUGGUACUAGUGGCGCACCAGUAGUGCGCCAUUAGUAGGCAAAACUGGUGCGCCACUAGUAGGCCUUUUCCUAGUAGUGUAAACAACAUUACGAAAAUAAUUAAACAUUACUAAACAUUAUUCCGAAAGUAACCUAAACUAAACUACUCGUCCUCGACACCGCCGAAGUCCGCCUCGUCGUAGAGCCCGUCGCCGUCGUCGCUGUCGUUGCUGCUGCUGCUGCUGUCGUCCAGGGGCACCACCGGCGCGGCCGGCGCAGCCAUCGAGUCGGCCACCGCGGCGUGGUAGCCGGGGAAGUCCGGCGGGUCCUCUGGGUGGACGGCGACCGGGGCGACCAGCAUGUACUCCUGGACGAGGGGCGGCGGCAUCGGGACAUUCUCCGACUCCCGGAUCGCCGUCAGGUAGCCCGGCAUGUCCUCCGGGUCGCCGGCCUCCGCCGCCAUCCGCCUGUACUCAGCCAGCAACGCCGCCUCUAGUUCCUGCGCCGGCUCGGGUGGAGGGGCGCGGCUGGACCCGGCGCCGUCCCUCGCGAGCGUACGACGAUCGCCGCUGCCGAGGCGGACAGAGCCGCGGUCGCCGCCUAUGCCGGCGAGGGGCCCACGCGGGGGCGCGUGCGUGCUGAGGUUCAUACGCGCCCCCAUGUUUUCAUGGGUGGACCACGCCUCGCCGCGGCGGAACAACGCGUAGCCGUAGCUCGUUGCGGCGGGCACGACGCCGGCGACCGCCUGGGCGCGGUACGGGGCGACGACGUCCUCGAAGGAGCGCCCGUCCCAGAGGUGGUGCCGCCCCGCGUGGUUGUGCUUCACGGGCGGGCGGGGGCCGGCGUAGGCGUGGAGACGGCGGUCGUGGUCGUCGGCGAGCCGGGCCGCCCACCCGGGGUGGCGGGGGCGUACUGCGGGUCCGCCCGCUCCUCCGGCGAGAGCCGCGCGCGAUACAGACCAACGGCAUGGGCGAAGUUGGGCGUGCCGACGUCGGGCACCGGCGCGACAGGCACGGCGUCGACGCUGAGACGCCACCUCGACGGCAAGCGGACGUAGGGCGCGGCGGGGAUGGAGAAGUGGGCGAGCUCCUCCGCCUCCUCCAAGGUCAGGUUGGGGCGGGCCAUCGCUGGCGGCAGAGAGAGAGGGCGCGAGAGGCGGUGGUGGGUGCCGGCGAGUGGGGAGGCGAGAACGGGGUGCCACCAACGGCGGGAGGGGCCGACUUUUAUAGGGCGGGGAAGGGGCGGGGGUGGGUACCGGCGAUUAAUGUCGGCAGGCGAGGGGGCGGCGUGCGCAGGCGGUCAAAGCGGUGGCAUGGGCAGGCGGCGAGCGCAGGCGGUCAGCGUGGGAAUCGACGCCGGCGAUUAGACUCCUCACUGUGGCGAUUCGACGGGGUGCUGCGCGGCGUAAAUGGCCACCGCAAUCCGCGCCGGAUUAAUGCGGGGACGGUGGUAGUGGACUAAGUAUGCGUGGGCCGCCCCUGACGCGGGCGUACACCGCCACGUACGGCGUAUAGCGGACCGUACGUCCGCGCGCCGCGGUACGCCGCGCCCACCUGAAUUUCCCAUCCUACCCCUCCUCACUUAUCCUCAUGAAGGGGUAUCUUUUAAUAUGGGCCAUUGAUGUGUCCAGCGGGAGUUGUACCGAAGACGAAGUGUUCAGACGCGCCUUGCGUCCCACAUUUCAACUUGGUUUGAGAAGCGUGAAAACGAGAAGUCCAUCCCUGAACGCAGCGGCAGCGCCGGCGCGCGUGCCAUCGCGAUUCGAAUCAGCUAAGCGUGCUACUUAGAGUAUAGCCGAAUGUUGGAGAGCAAACUGAAAUGUACCCCCUCUGUCCCAUAAUAUAAUAACGUUUUUGACAUUAUAUCAGUGUAAAAAACGUUCUUAUAUUAUGAGGCAGUGGGAGUAUAUGCGUAUUCAAAGGACCAAACCUGACACCACUAUCUGACACAAGCAGGGUACGCGCGCAGACGAGAGGACGACGUGCAACGCAACAGCAUGUACCGGCACAACCCAGUUACGCUCCAUUGUCAGGAGUGUUUUCAGUUAAUGCAUGUUGUACUGCAACGCAGCAGCCUUAGCUAGGAAAGCAAACAUAUUGAUGUUUUUUAUUAGUCGCGGUAAUCACAUGGUUGAUCCAUAAACACCAAAAAUAUCUCUAGUUUUAUUCCAAACGAAACGCUUACACUAUCAACUUAUUAUAUAAAUAAAAAACUCAUAAGCGAUCUCCAACACUAUACGUACAACAUAACCAAACUAGCAUGGCGUACUUUUUUACAGCAUUUGUGCUAGGCCACGGACGCCCACGCUGCACAUUUCGUCCAUGCCCCCAGCGCGCUCACGGGCAGCGUAUACGUCGUACACACCAGAGGACGUGUCCCCUGCAUGCGUGCAUGGUGCGGCCCCACCACCGCCGUUGUUGACAAUUGGGUCAUGUUUCCCCACCUGCUACACGCCAGGUCCCGGACGCCUAAUUACACACUCUGCAUGCCAGGUCCUUUGCGUCAGGUAUUUCGCAAGAAUGGACCGAUGUAUGUCCCCUUUUCUCGUUUGAACAAAGAUUAAUGCCCAUAUCACAUCGCCUGGAGCAGCGGCCGCUGCGUGCAGGACGUCCGCUCUCGCCUGGAAACGCUGUAUCUGCGCGAUGUGCGUAUCACGGGGGAGGAGUUAGGGUGCAUUCUGUUCAGUUCAACUGCUUUGGAACACCUCAAGCUCGUAUAUUGUGAUGAUAUAGUUCGUCUGGAGAUACCUUGCCUGCUGCAGAGGCUCAGCUUCCUGGAGGUGGCUGGAUGCAUGAAUCUUCAAGUGAUAGAGAACAAAGCUCCAAAUCUCUCCAGAUUUUACCUUGAAGCAGGUGAAC
rnacentral:lncRNA from 1 species